UAAAUUAAGCUCUUCUAACUCCUCCAUACCUUCUGAAAUCUCUGGAAACAUCUCAAGACUGGAGCAAUCAGAAAGAUCAAAGGUUUUGAGAGAUCUCAUACGAAUUUUGCUAGGUAGAAUCUUAAGUUCCUUGCAAUCUUUUAGGUUGAAAUGACUCAACCCCGAGAGAUUAUUAAUUAACAGGGGCAGUUCUUUAAUUUUUGACCCGGAUAAAUUAAGCUCUUCUAACUCCUCCAUACCUUCUGAAAUCUCUGGAAACAUCUCAAGACUGGAGCAGUCAGAAAGAUCAAAGGUUUUGAGAGAUCUCAUACGAAUUUUGCUAGGUAGAAUCUUAAGUUCCUUGCAAUCUUUUAGGUUGAAAUGACUCAACCCUGAGAGAUUAUUAAUUGACAGGGGCAGUUCUUUAAUUUUUAACCCGGAUAAAUUAAGCUCUUUUAACUCCUCCAUACCUUCUGAAAUCUCUGGAAACAUCUCAAGACUGGAGCAGUAAGAAAGAUUAAAGGUUUUGAGAGAUCUCAUAGGAAUUUUGCUAGGUAGAAUCUUAAGUUCCCUGCAAUUUGAUAGGUUCAAAUGACUCAACCCCGUGAGAUUAUUAAUUGACGGGGGCAGUUCUUUAAUUCUUGAUCCGGAUAAAUCAAGCUCUUCAAACCCCUCAAUCACUUCUGAAAUCUCUGGAAACAUCUCAAGGUUCGAGCAACCAGAAAGAUUAAAGGUCUUGAGAGAUCUCAUACGAAUUUUGGUAGGUAGAAUCAUAAGUUCAUUGCACCCAUGCAGAUCCAAUAAAACAAGGUUUGAAAGAGUCGAAAUAGAUGGGUGAACCUCAACUAAGCUUAUACAACUUCGAACAAUUAGCCUCUCAAGAUUUGGCACAUUUGUGAAGUCAGGGGUUUCCUUAAGGGAUUGACAAUUACUUAAAUUGAUGAAUUUCAACUUUUCCUGUGUCUGUUAAAACAUUCAGGAAAACAUGCAUUACUUAAUAAGACAUCUCACUCAAAGCCCAAACAUUUAAAAGAAACAAAUACAUGUAAAUGAUUGUACGUACCUGGGUUCCUUCCCAAAGUCGGUCAAUGAGACUAUAUUGCAUGUCAAGUUCAACAAGAUUUUCGAAUUGAAAGUUGGAUGGCAAAGACUUGAGAGGGAAACCAAGCCAGGAGAGAUAUCUCAAGUUAAGCAACUUUAAGGACCCAAACAGGUGGUGUUUGCAGCACUCAUCUUUAAAAACGAAGUGCCUAUAAAUGAUCUUGAGAAGUCUUCGUUGAGUCCUUCUAACAACAGCUUCAGCAUUUAUGUGCCUAUGAUUGAUCUUGAGAAGUCUUAGUUGAGUCAUUCUAACAAAAGCUUCAGCAUUUAAGCAUGGCCAGCUUGAGUACGAGAAAUCCACAAUUAUGCUUUCAACUGUUUUUGUAGCCUGUGCAAAUCAAAGUAAAGGAAAAUACAGAGAACCUUAGUUUUGAUUAUGAAAUUAAUGAUUGUUUCUUAAGGAGCCGUCUGAUAAUCAUUUCAUUUUCUGUUUAAUUGUUUUCAAUUUUCAUUAUUAAAACAAUGAAAACUAAAAAUUGAAAACAAAAAUGGUUAUCAAACAGGCCUAAGAAAUUGAUUUUGAUCAAAAGUUGAACCUUUCUACUAACAAUUGCAUAAGAAAAAGAUUUCUCACCGUAUUUUCAGUUAGCACCUCACAAACAUCUUCAUAACUCCACAACCUACUUCGUCUCCCAGGAUCUUUGCUAGAUUCUUGGCGGACAAUUUCCCGACCCAUUUCCUCUAAUGAAUCAUGCAUCUCCAAUACCCCCAACGUUGAGACAGUUAUGAGAGCUCGAUCAAUUAGAACUUUUAUUCCUGUAUGAGGAUGGAAACCACAACUGUCCAGAAUUUCAGUUGCCUGGUCUUCCUUCAUCCCUCUAAAGAAACAUGCAAUAUCUAGAAAGAUGUCCUUCUGUGUGUCAUCUAGUCCAUCGAAGCUUGUUUUAAGCACAUCAUGAACUCCCCUUUGUGGGAUUUUCCUUAUUUUUUCUAACUCACCUUCCCACACGCGUAUAGUUUUUUUAUGCAAAAAAGCUCCCAAGACUUUGAGGGCUAAAGGCAGACCUUGAGCAUAUUCUACAACACGAUUCGAGAGAUCAUAAUAAUCUCUGUUGGGUUGGUCAUUUUUGAAGGCGUACUGCCAAAAGAGUUCCAGAGCUCCAUAAUAACUCAAAGUCCGGGGAUUAUAUAUCACAUCAGUUAUGCUUAGUAACUGCGAAUCUCUACUUGUUAUAAUAAUCCUACUUCCAACACCAAAGGAACGUUUCUUUCCAAGUAAAGCUUCAAUUUGUUCUGAUUCGUCCACAUCAUCAACAACAAUAAGAACUUUUCUCCGACCAAGUCUUUUUAACAUCUUCUUAAAACCAUAUUUUGAUAUGUCAGAACUCCCCACCUUGUUGUUCGAUAUACUCGAUAGAAGUUGUGUCUGCAUAUGUGGUUUGCCAUGCUUCAUGAAACCCUCCUUGACGUUUUCAAGAAAGCAAGAAGCUUCAAAUCGACAUGCGAUUUCAUCAUAAACUGCUCUAGCGAUGGUUGUUUUGCCUAAACCACCCAUACCCCAUAUUCCAACAACGCGAACAUUAUUCGCUUCACCUCCGGGAGGAUAUAAUAAUAAAUGCAUUUCAUGCAUGUGAGAAUCCAUGUCAACCAAGCCAUUAUCUUUGCUUGAUGUUGAUGAGAUGUCGAUCAAUUUCCUAUAAACAUAUUCUACAAUUUCCUCAAUAAGCUCUGCAUCAUUCCUGUCAAAUUAAAAAAAACAAUAUAAUAACACCACCAAAUAAUAAUUAAUGGGUUUUUUCAUCUGUUAGUUAAAAAAAAAAACAGAAAUUAAAACUAAAAACUAGAUAUUUAUAAAAUUACCGCAAAACGUUACAAAAAUCCCAAAAAUUAAUAGGAAACUAAAACAAAUUAGAAUUUACUCAUAUUUUCGCGAAUCCCAGCCGGAUAAACUGGUGGCAGUUGUAAGAGCGGAUCUCCAGCUCUGAACCUCUUCCAUUUCAGCGUUAGAAUCACGAUCGUGCUGAGCAAAAGCUUCCUCGAAUUUUCUCUUGAGUUUACGAACGUCAGACGGAUCAACUUCAUAGAAAAUGGGGAGUACAAUCUGGUUAUUGGUAUCCUUGCAUUUCAAGAUUUGCACGAGUUCUUUCAAGCACCAAGUGGAAGAAGCAUAGUCUUGAGAGAAAACUACAAUCGAAAGCCUUGACUCUCGAAUCGCUGUCAGGAGCUCAGAAAGGUGGUCGCCUUUUCUGAGCUUCUCGGCAUCAAUGAAGGCGUUGAUUGGUUUCUUAACCAGAGCGUUGUAGAGAUGGCUGACGAAGCCCCUGCGAGUGUCUUCCCCUCUGAAAUUGAUGAACACAUCGUAUUUGCAACCAAGGCCAGAAGAAGAUGAAGAAGAAGAAGCAGCCAUUAUUAAUCGAUCGCACCUGGUCAGCGACGAUCGAGCAGCUAAGACUAAGAGAAUUGUAAGUACAGAGAUACUCAAUAGAUCUACAAAUUGGAUCACCGGAAAUUAGUCUGAUCGAUACCAAGUCAAUGAGUCAAUGCAAAAGGGAAAAAGGGGAAAGUGAAAUUAUGCUUUAUGUUUUUUCACAUCUUCUUCGGGGAAAUUUCGGUGUGAAAGGAAUCUUAUCCUUUUGAUUUUUUAACCGAAGCAAAUGCGAAGAAAAGGGUCAAAGUGGAAAAUUGAAUAUACACUUGCCUAUCCAACAACCUCUUAAUUUAAUAUAUUUAAUUGAGAAAAGUAGUUUAGAGGAAUGAUGGUAUCUCCUUUUCUUCUCACUCAAUCUUCCGGCAUGCGAUUUAAUCAUUAUUAAAGCCAAGCUUAAUAAUAGGUCGUAUUAUUUAGGUCGUAUUGGAUUAUAAGUUUUUGUUGUGAACUUGUGAUACGAUAGUUGAAAAAUUAAAAAAAUUAUAAUUUAAAUGUACGCGGUGAAAUCUGUUAGAAUUUAGAUUCAAAAUUGAAAAUUUUAUUAACUUCGUUAAUUAUUAGCACACGAAGCUCACAAAUGAAAUAAAAUAAUAAAAUGUAAUCUUCACGUGCUAACAAUUAAUGGAGAGUUUCAUUUUAACCUAAAAUGUGUGGCUUACGUACUAAUAAUUAACGGAAUGUUGAUAAAAUUUUCAAUUUUAAGCAUAAAUCUUAAUAAACUUCAUCACAUGAGCUUAAAUCCUAAUUCAACUAUCUUCUCACUACCUUACCUUACCACUAAAAAAAUUAUUAAUCAAAUUAAGCUUAUUACUUACUUACAAAUACGUAACUAAAUCACUGAAAGCUAUCUCCGUUUCUUUGCUGGGUGGACAGCUGUCUCUUUGUCUUCUUUUGGCAGAUAGCUACUAGACUCCUAGGCCUCGUUUGUUUGACGUCCUUAGCUAGGACUGGACUAGCUAGGACUAAUAACCCUUGUUUGGUGCAAGCCGAGAUUGAGUUUAGUGGGAUUAAGUAGGACUCGUGCCGACUAAAUCCUUCGUUAGCUGGGCUUAGCGAGAGCCCCCGAAAAGGAGGGGAUUGCUAGUCCCGUUUCCUCGUCUUCCCUCUCACGCCGCGUCCUCGUGCUCGUCCUGCACGACUGCACCAUCUCUGACGACGACUCGUCUUCCUCCACCCACCCCCUUGCCGUCUGCAACUCCAAUCCCCACCCAUGGAAGAACAAGUGAAUUAAAGCAGCUAAUUUGCAAGAACAAGUGUAAUCAGAGCAAAAAAGUCAAUAAAAAUUCGAACGGAAGAGAGUAGAGAGAUGAGUGGAGCCUACCUCCUCCUCGUCUCGUAACACACGGACUGGAUCCAUCUUUGCUCCUUCCAAUCUCAGAAUUUUUUGUUUUUCACUUUGACGGACGACAAAUUCAAACACAAGCCAAGAUCAUAUUCAGUCAUGCAUUUCCUCAGAAGGCGGCACACUGCGAGAUGAACUUGAUUGGUGUUUUGUUUUUGGGAUUUGACCAAAAUCGUAAAGGCAGAUUUUCUUCAUCUGAGAACUGGAGAAAAAUUGGGAAAGUUUUGUUUGUUGGGAAGGGAAAGGAACGGUAGAGAUAAGGGAGAAAGAAUUAAAAUGAACAAAAGAAAAAUAUCUGAAUUUUAAAAAUAAUUUAGUCCGGUACUGCACCAAACGCUUCACUAAGUUAGUCAUGCUUAGUCUAGUCCAAGCCAGUCCAGCUUAGUCCCUGAACCUAGUCCAGUCCGAGAUAGUCCGGUGCAACAAACGCACCCCUAGUGGCCGGCCUAUUUUCCACAGCUGGUAUAGGACUCAGUUGCUAUACAAGAAGUGUUAUGUUGUAAUUCACUAUUGAUGGAAAUCCAACAGAAUCUUCUUCGACUUGUUGUGAGGAUUUGGGAUAUUUAUGAAUCGUAUCCAUUUAUCGUAUAUUGUGGGAUCAGUUUUUAUUAAAUAGUAUUUGUGUUUAAUUUUAAAUAAAAAAAUUUAAAAUAAAAUUUUACCGCACGAUAUACUAUGAACGAAUACAAUUCAUAGAUCUCCAAGAUCCUCACAAGGAGAAUCCAAAAAGGAUCCGGAUUCAAUGGAAAUAUUCGUAAAUGAUCCGGAUUCAAUGGAAAUAAGCUAAUUUUGAAUCAAAUAACAUUACUUUAUUUUGUAAGUAAAUUAAUUUUAAAUCAAACAACAUUAAUUUAUUAUGUAGCUAAUUAAUUUUGUAUGUGUCAUCAUAUAUAUUAGGCGCAUUUUAUUAUAGGUGAUUUUGUGGUAUUCAUCUUCAUUUAUAAGUAAAAAGUCUUAGGUUCGAUUCUCACAAAAGUGAAUUUGAACCAUAUUAUUGCUAGUCCAUUAUGAGGCCUAACCCACCCUCCUCCCCCUUAGUGUAGAUAGAUCGUUUGUUCAAAAAAAUAUAUAAUCAAAAUAGAACGUGAAGCGAAACAAUAGAUCAACAAUAUUUAUGUUAAUUAUAAAUAGGUCAACUAUGUAUGUGAUACUUAAAUUCAUUUAAAAUAAAAUAAAAUUACAAAAUCUGCCACUACAGUUGGCACGCACUUCAAUUAACAUUUUCUUUCUCAUAAUUUUUAUAUUUGGAAUGAGUCAUACGAAUCAAAUACUGCAAUGUAUUGUCUGUUUUCUGAUUCUAUUUUUUUACAUUUGGAUUCAGACACUGUGUUGUAGUGUCCAUUUAUUGGUUUCGUUUUUUCCAUCAGUCACACGCCUCCUACAUGUUCCUUUGUACAUUUGGAUUUAGACAAUGCAAUGCAGUGUCUGUUUCUUGGUUUUGGUUUUCCCUUUUGGAUUCAAACGCUGCAUUGCAAUGUAUGUUUCCUAGUCCUAUUUUUUUCAUCAUCCACACGUCUUCUACACUUCACACUUUCACGCGACUCCUGAUUUUUACAUUCAGAUUCAGACAUUGUAAUGCAGUGCUCAUUUCCUACCUCUGAUUUUUACAUUUAAAUCUAGGGUUAAACUCUGUUUACUACCCUCAUGUUUCGUGGUUUUCAACAUAUAGUACAUCAAGUUUUUUUCAUCCCAGUCAUACCUAAAGUGUUAAUUUUGGGACAGUCUCGUAUAUCUGUUAGUCAAACUGUUAGUUCUCCCGUUAAGUGAUGACAUAGCGCCCAUGUGGACAAUGACUAGGCCCCAAGUGUCAUUAAAAAAUAUUAAAAUAAUUAAUUAAAUAAAAGUUAUAAAAAAAAUCAUCCCUUCUCUCCCUUCUCCCCUCGCUGUCACACCCCGAUCCAGACAUACGUCCAAAGAUCGACACGUGACGUCACUAAAUGCCCGUAACUCAACGUACCCUGCCUUUUGGAUAUGUACAAAAUAUAAUUCCAGAUCCAGAUGCAUAAUAAUUUUGUGUAUACUUUAUGGCUGCAUCUAACCUCUUCGUUAGACUGCCUACGUACCCUCAAUAGGGAUCAAGUCAUUCGUAGUUCAACUUUUCACUACACUCGAAUAUUUAUCACAUAAAUUGCCAUAUUUCAACAUAAUGCACAAUUCAGAGCAUGCAACAUCUCAAGGAACAAUCGACGAGGUGCAAUAAUAAUCUAUAGCCAUAUUGGUCAGCGGUAUAUCAUAAUCAUAACAAUUACAUCCAACAAUCACACCAAAUAAUAACACAUACAACACACUGACAUGCAAGGCUAGAACGACGCAGUUCGGCUGAAGCCUACAUCUCUGAAGCUGAAAUCAAAUCCAAUGAACCAAGUCACCAAAGGGAUUCUGGACCACUCAACGGAAUCAAACUCAAGAUACGAUUCCGGACCAUCACUCAACGGAAUCGUGGAGUAGUAAGGAUUCCAAACCAUCACUCAACGGAACCGGGGAGUACCAUGCAUAUAGAACCACCCAAUGUAAUACAAGCUGGAUACGAUUCAGGAUCAUCACUUAACGGAACCGGGGAGUACCAUGCAUAUAGAACCACCCAUGGAAUACAAGCUGGACACGAUUCUGAACCAUCACUCAACGGAAUCACAGAAUAGAAGGGAUUUCGAACCAUCACUCAACGGAAUCCGAGUCAGGGUACGAUUCCGGACCAUCACUCAACAGAAUCGCAGAAUCGAAGGGAUUCCGGACCAUCACUCAACGAAAUCCGAAUCAGGAUACGAUUUCGGACCAUCACUCAAUGAAAUAGAGUGGAAGAUCAAGGGAUACAACAACGGCUUGCAGAAACAAUACAAGAACCAAGUACUUAAUUUAGAAUGGCUGAAUGAAAAUAGAUCAAUCCAAUCAUACAUUACAAACCCCAUGACAGUAGGUUAACGGUCCACUACUAGCCCUCACAUUUCAUCACAUCAAUCCAAUCAUACAUUACAAACCAUAUUUCCAAAACACAAGUAAAAUCAUACUUAAUGAAAAUAGAUCGAUGGCCAGAAAUAAAAAUAACACUUCAAUAGAAUUCACAUUCAAUAAACAUAGGUCUAUGGUGUGUGUGUGUGUGUGUGUGUUGUGUUUCACAUUUCAAUAGAAUUUCAUUUAUAACCUAUAUCUUAUUCACAUAUGAUAUUAAUAUAAGAAAUCAAGGUAAUAGCUAUAUCACAUAUAUUCAAGUCACUCUCAAACCAAUGUGGUCCCACUAGGUUUCACUUAGUUCCCCGUAGUACUAAUUUUAGUAUUUAGAACGUUUCGAGACAUGUUGACCAAAAGCCAAUUCUUGGUCGACAGUAGGAUCCACAACGCUACAAAAUUUGAUCCAGAAGAUCCGAACAUCAUAAUCAAGAUCCGUAACUUCCUAGGGUCCACAUUAUUCUCAAAGAACAACGUACUAAAAUCUCAUCGCAAUCCAACGGUCAGAUCUCCGCCCAUUGCUAGAAUUAGGUGGCGGUUAACAAUUAAUUUUACUAACUUAGAAAUCUAAUUCAUGAAGAUCCGUACAUCAGAUUCCCGAUCUGUAAGUUCUUAUGAUCCCAAAAUAUUACGUACUAUAACAUAUUAAAGUUUGGUGACGAUUCAACAGUCGGAUCGUCGAUUUCUAUUUUGACUUAUUCACGUAUCAAAAUGAAACUAAGUCCAAACAAUCAAAUUACGUCAUACGGAUAUCAAACAUGAACCCAGGGCAUCUAAUAGUGCUUAAAAAGACAUCAUUGGCCCACAGGCCACGCGCCGCCGUGGGUGGCGGUCGGCCACCCCAACUAAUCGAAAAAUUCAACUAUUUUAAAAAUUCUCAAAAAAUUACAAAAUUGAAGAUCUCAAAGAGUAGAAUAAACUUUAUAUCUAUGGCCAAGUCCAAUUUGGCCUAGAAAGUCCCCAAUGUUGUGAAAACCGUACGGAAACCUUAGAAUGGGUGUGUUCGAUUUAACCUCCAAACUUGCUCUGACGCCUCCACCACUGCUUGGGAUUUGUUCAUGGGUUAUAGGGGAGUGCUUUGGUGGUAGUAGUUGAAGAGAAACAUUUCACAAUUGAUGGAUUUUGAGCAAUGGUUCCCGCGUCACCCAUGGUGCUUGUUCCCCAAAUUCCAAGACUAAUUCCACUCCAAUUUUGGGUGGAAUAGGUAGAAGGAAUGAUGAGAGAUGACUUGAAGGGGGAUGACACUGGGCUGGAUCUAUCAGCAGCGAAUUCCCCAUACAAAUAGAGGCGCCUAUCAAAAAGAUACUCCGAAGACUUCGAGAUUGAGGUAUCAUUAGCCGAAGAAGGCCUUGGCCAAUCCACGUGGCCUGCUUGACGAACGUCAGCGACAGAGACAUCAGGUGGUGGGGGACCUUCAUCUCGCCGGAAAUUGGCCGGGAGACCAUGAAUCCCGCCGAUUUGUGUCUCACGGGUCAAAAGACCCGUUUUCCACCCCCCACCUUUUUUUUCUUUUUUCCUUUGUCUCGCCACUCCUGUGGCUUUCUUUCAUUUUCAUUUUUUUUAGCAACAACUUCAAACGUCCGUAACUAUACCGUUAUAAUCCGGACUCGCAAACGGCUUUCGCCUAUGCAUUCGUGAUCUCGAUAUCUAUUCAACAAUAUAAAUUGUGACCUCGAAUGGUCUACGGAUUUUAAAUAAUUAAUUUCCCGAAAAAUAAUAUAAAAUCUCUAUAAUACCAAUAUGUAGAUUAUAAUAAUGAAAUCCAAGAAUGAGAUUUCACACUCGUCCCCAACCCAGAAGAAGAAGAAGAAAAAAAAAAAAAACCGAAUCUGCAACCCAGAAGAAGAUGAAGAAGACAUGUUUUGAAAAGUAAACUUUAAUGCAGGAAAUCAAUACUACAAAGGAAGUAGCUGAGCUAUAAAUACAGAGGAAUGUUUGAACUACAAAGGGAGUAUGUGAAGAGUAGGAUGCAAAGCUUUUUAGAAGUCUUUUUUAAUAUGUUGAGUUAAGUGUCUUUUUUUUUCAACCUUUUUGCUGCCUUUUAUAGAACCGCCAUUUUCUUCUAGAGUAAGCCUUUCCUCCUCGAUUCAUUCUCUCUGGUGCAAGCAGCUGAUAUGAUUUGUUGUCAAAGGAUGAGUUCCCACUUGUAUACUUGAGCUUUUGAUCCCCUUGAAACGUAUCAUCGUUGGCGCAUUCAUCAUAGAAGCUCCAGCUUCAUACUAUCAUAAACACCGUACAUUUGAUAUUUAUUACAAAAUUUUCCUUUCUUCUUUUGCUUUUUCUAAUAAAAAAAUUAAGGUUGAACACAACAGGCUUUGUGGUUCAAAAAUCUAAUGGAAUAUUUGAUAGAAGGGUUGGAUUGUUAGCUUUGGGCUAAUGGAGAGUUGACAAAAAUAUUAAUUUUUGGCUUGAAUCCUAACAAACUUCACCACAAGGAUUUAAAUCCGAUUUUUUUUUUUCACCAUAGGGGUAAUCUUCUUAUUAUCCUAUCACCACGGGGACCAUUGAUCCAAUUUAGCCACUAAAUCAUAUUGCAUCAACUGAACAAAUAUAUUUUUUGUAUUGACGAAGAUAGAUAUAACCGUUAAUCGAUGGAAAAUUCGUUAUUCGGUGGGUAUAAUUAUGGAUAAUUACUGAUGAUUAAUUUACGUUUAUGGAGUGGUUAUUUUCAUGGUUAUUGGGAUGGAUAUAUCAUUUCCGUCCCAAACCAAACCGUUGUCAUCCCUAUAUUUGUUUAUGAGAAAAGUUAAUGAGACUUUCUCAAAAUGAGACUCUCCAUAAACGAUCUAUGCUAACUCAUGUUUUUUGUACAAUACUUUAUAAUGUUGGCAUGAAAAUUAUGCCAAAAACAUUUGAUGGUGGAGAAUCCAUAAAUAGUACUACUUAUGAAAGAGUCUCCUUAACAUUUUUCAUUUGUAUAUAGGCUAAAUAGCCAAAAUGGUCCUUGAGAUUUGCAUAACUCAUCACUUUGGUCCCUAACAUUUCAAAUCGAUAAAAUUGGUCCCUGAGAUUGUCCACCAUCCAUCAUUUUGGUCAUUCCAUUAAAAACUCCGUUAAGUGUCUCGGAACUCUUGGCCGGAAGUUUGGACAAUUUUCAAAGCUUCGUAACUCAAUCGUUUCUUAACCAAAUUCGACCCAUAAUAUAUGAAAAUGAAGAUAGAAAAGUGUAGAAUAAGAUUAUACUUAUUUAUAAGCCCAAUGGCUACCAGAGAUAGCCGGAAAAUAGUCUCAAAUUUGACUGGUCUGAAGGAAAACUGGAAAACUCGCCGGAAACUAGGUAAACUUUAAACGUUCAUAACUUUUUCAAUACGCAACGAAAUCAAGUGAUUUAAAAAAAAAAUCAUACUUCUCAACGAGAAGAAGAGAAUGAUAUCUUUUUCGAUGGCUAAUGCACCGUGGUUUGGCUGGAAAAUGGCUCAAAAGUGGCUGUCUUAGUCUCAAGUUAGCCACUUUCGAGCCAUUUUUCGGCCAAACCACGGCGAUUUAGCUGUCUACAAAGGUACCAUUCUCUUCAUCUCAUCAAGAAGUAUGAUUUUCGUUUUUGAAUCACUUGAUUUCGUUGAGUAUUGAAGAAGUUAUGAACGUUUAAAGUUGACCUAGUUUCCUGCGAUUUUUCCAGUUUUCCCUCGGACCAGUCAACUUUGAGGCUAUUUUCUGGCCAUCUCCAGCAUCUAUUGGGCUUCCAAAUAGGUAUAAUCUUAUUCUACACUUUCCUAUCUUCAUUUUGAUAUAUAUGGGUCGAAUUUGGUUAAGAAACAAUUGAGUUACGAAGGUUUGAAAAUUUCUCAAACUUCAGGCCAAGAGUUCCAGGACACUUGUCAGAGUUUUUAACGGAAUGAUCAAAAUGAUGGAUGAUGGACAAUCUUAGGGACCACUUUUAUCGAUUUGGGAUGUUAGGGACCAAAGUGAUAAGUUAUGCAAAUCUUAGAGACCAUUUUGGCUAUUUAGCCUUUGUAUAUAUGAUGGGUAAUAUUAGGGAGAGUAAAUUUAGAUACAAAACUAGCAAAUUAAAUGACAAUAAAAUGAGCAUGUUUAUCAGCGCUUAAGUAAUAAAUUAAUCAUCAACUUUCACGUUCCUGUUGUAAACAUUCCUAGUUUAAGUAUGAUUGUGUAAAUCCUAGAUAAGAUUUGAUUCUAGUUAUCCUUUCCUAUUACAACUUGUAUUACUUGGAGGAGAAGAAAUAUCUUCUCUACCUUUACUACUAUAAAUAAAGGCACAAUGUAGGAGGGAUAACAACACAUACAUUCCCCUACAAUUCUACAAACACACAUCUCUCUCAUCUCUCUCUCUGCCGCCGGCUCUAGUCUCUCUGUCAGAUAAAAUAGAUCACAACACAUUAUCAGCACGCUCCUACCGCUGCACUUAGGAAUCUGACGUUGGAGAUUUUUUUUUCUGCAUCAAACCAGUUCAUCCAUAUCAUCACGCAAUCAGGUUCUUUCCAAACAACGGUUUUUAACUCGAUAUUUUGCAAGCCCUGAUAGCAUGAACAUUCACCAUGAUGCAUGACCCAACUUUAUGUUUUACGUAUUUUAGAUUCUACAUAAAUUGUGUAUGCUUCAUAACCAAAAUUGCUACAAUUAUGUGAAUUUGAUAUUUGCCAUGAAUUGAAUCUUACAUAUGUACAUGCAUUGAAACUAUUAUUUGCAUAUGGAUCAACGUAAAUAUGUGAUUCAUUAAAUUUAUGCAUAUAAUAUAAUUGAAUUGAAAAAAAAAUAUUUUUUUUGCGAUUUGGGAAUUAGGGUUCUUCGAACCCGUGCACUUGCACCAUGCAAGCUGCAAGCCACCAGGCCAGCAGCUUGCGAUGGCCCAGCUUGGUUUCCUCACCAGGCCUGCAGCCUGCAUCAAGUCCCCACGAGGGCUCCAACCCAGAAACCCGACGUCGUUUAUGGCGUCUCUCCCAUUGUAGGAUGGCUUGCAGCCCAUCCUCACACCUCGGGUUAACUUGUCUAACAGCCUGAAGCUCGUCCUUGACAUCGAUUGACCGAGAUUCAAUUGAAUCUCAUCGGUUUUUAAAAAAAAAACCCAAUUCGAAAUUUCUAGGGUUUGAUUGCAACAAUUGAGAUUUUAAUUUCUCCAUGUUGUAAUCAUAGUCGAAAACACCCCAGAAGGGUACCUCCGAGUCUUCCCGUCCAAGUUUUGGCCACCUGCAGUGGUGGCGCCGAUCAUCUUCUCCGAUGGAAUCACCUAACCUCGCUAGGAUUUCUUGGAUCCAGCCCGAUCCCAAAUUUUUUGGGCCUGGCUUCGACUCAGGCUGAAAAAUAAUAAAUUUUUUUCUUUUGGGCUCGCCAUUGCAAGCCCAGUUCGACCCCCUCAUUUUUUCAGCCUAGCGUUACAUCACACCAGCCCAAAUGGGCUCUGGUGUUCUCCCAUGCCCCAUACUGCAGCAGAACCCAGCCCGUGUGGCUGUUGUGCUUUCCCUGCAUCGUGAUACACACGAUUGAGGCAUUCUUUGGGCCUUUGCCACCUGGGCUUACCUGAAGCAGCCCGUGAGUGAAAAAAAAAAAAAAAAAGAGAAAUUUUUUUUAGGGCUGCACACAGCAGCCCAUUCCCCUCUUCUCACCCCGUGGGCAUGCAACCUACACCCGAGGGUCCUCGGCCUAUAUUUUUAGACCCCGAGAUUUUAUUAUUUAAUACUUUUAAAUAAUAUGGGUUUUUAUAUUUUCACCCACACUUUAAUUUGGCCCCGAAGACCAAAAAUAAAUUAAUUCACUUAUCAUUAUACAAUAUUUCUGCAUAUAUUCUUUGCAUAUUUGUUUGCAUAUAUAUUUGUGUUUGCCUGCAGGAAUAUAUGAACCUAAAGUUCAUAAUUACUUUGAAACCCGAAGUUUCUUCUAAACAUGCCUUGUUUGAAAACCUGAAGUUUUCACUUAAACAUAUCACCCAUGAAACCCGAAGUUUUUCAUGCGAAAUUAUUAGUUUUUGGAUAUUAAGUUUUUAAUCCUUGAAUAAAUGAAAUUAUUUUGAAUUGAUACUUGUUUUUAUAAACUUUUAUGCAUGUGACCGAUUCAAAUUAAUUUUUCAUUCUAGGUAUGACUAGUGGGAAAGUUAGUUGUCUGGCAGAUAGUGCAACCACGCAUACUGUUUUGCGUGAACGCAUCUAUUUCACUAACUUCGUACCUAAGAAUGCACCUCUGACAACCCUCUCAGGCCCAUCCAACCUGAUCGAAGGAUACGGUAAGGCACGUAUAAUGUUGUCCAAUGGUACAAUCUUGACCAUUGCUGAGGCACUCUAUUCUCCACGUUCCGGAAGAACGUUACUAAGUUUCAAGGACAUUAGAGAUAACAAUUACCACGCUGAAACCCACGUAGAAAACGGAGUUGAAUUUAUGUGCGUAACUUCCUACGAAUAUGGCCAGAAGCGUAUUCUAGAGAAGAUGGAGCGUAACCCGAGUGGUCUGUAUACUACGACCAUACGCCCCAUAGAAUGCCACUAUGUGGCCGGCCCUACCACAGGGACUGCGCACGAAAUUACACUUUGGCAUGAUCGUUUGGGACAUCCUGGACGAAUAGCGAUGCGCCGUAUCCUCAAAACUUCACACGGGCAUCCACUAACCCGAAGCUUAGGUUCGAUCCAUGAAAUUGCAUGUCAAACAUGUUCUAUAGGAAAGCUUAUUACUAAGCCUUCUUAUGACAAGAUUCGUUCGAAUCCUCCCAUUUUUCUACAACGGAUUCAGGGGGACAUUUGUGGACCGAUUCAACCUCCUUGCGGACCAUUUAGAUAUUUUAUGGUUUUGGUUGACGCUUCUACACGUUGGUCACACGUGUGCUUGUUGUCCACAAGGAACGCUGCAUUCUCCAAACUGUUGGCUCAGGUUAUCAAGCUCAGGGCUCACCACUCUGAUUAUCCGAUCAAAUCUAUUCGAUUGGAUAAUGCUGGAGAAUUCAUAUCUAAAACUUUUGAUGACUAUUGCUUGUCGGUUGGGGUUAACGUUGAACAUCCUGUACCCCAUGUUCACACCCAGAACGGCCUGGCAGAGGCUUUCAUUAAGCGUUUACAAAUGAUUGCUCGAUCGUUGGUCAUACAUACCAAGCUCCCGAUCGCUGCUUGGGGCCAUGCAAUAUUGCACGCAGCAAAGUUGGUCCGCCUGAGGCCUGCUGUGACACAACCAUUUAGUGCCCUUCAGUUGGUCACCGGAUGCGAACCCGACAUAUCGCAUCUGCGCGUUUUUGGUUGUGCGGUCUAUGUGCCGAUCUCGCCGCCCUUACGUACAAAAAUGGGGCCUCAGCGAAGGAUGGGAAUCUAUGUCGGAUAUGAUUCUCCUUCGAUUAUUCGUUACUUAGAACCUUUGACAGGCGAUCUGUUUACCGCUCGUUUCGCGGAUUGUCACUUCUAUGAGACAGUCUUCCCGUCGUUAGGGGGAGAUAAAAACGUCAACGUUCCUAAUGAACGACGUGAAUUAUCAUGGACGACUCCCACUUUGUCUCAUUUAGAUCCCCGCACCGCUCAGUCUGAAGCUGAAGUGCAGCGCAUAUUAGAUCUCCAGAGCAUAGCUCAGAGCAUGCCAGAUGCUUUCACCGAUCUAGCGCGCGUGACAAGAUCACAUAUUCCAGCUGCGAAUACGCCUGCAAAGAUAGAUGUACCAAAUGUACGACGGACUACUCUCCUGGAAGCCCGGGACGCAAAUUCUGGUGAUCCACGUACAUUAACGGCUAGCCAAUCAUCUGCCCCUACACAAAAGCGUGGCAGACCCCUUGGUUCAAAUGAUUCACACCCCCGGAAGAGGAAAACCACGGCACAAGGUCCUGAAGAGCCUACCGUGAAUCCGACUAUCGCUUACUCAUUUUACCCAACUCAUGAGGAAAUUCUAGAUUAUGGAAGCGUCCUUGAAGAGACGAAUCCUCCUCCCGAGAAUCGUGAGAUUUCGGUCUAUUAUGCUAGUUUAGAUGAUGUGUGGCGUAGAAAUGAGAUGAUUGUCGACGAUGCAUUAGCAUUUGCAGUAGCUACUGAGAUCAUGUUGAGCGAUGACAUUGAACCGCGUUCCGUUGAUGAAUGUCGACGUAGAGCUGAUUGGUCAAACUGGAAACAAGCAAUCCAAGUCGAACUUGAUUCACUUGCGAAACGUAAGGUGUUUGGACCUGUAGUUCCUACUCCUCCACAUGUGAAGCUCGUUGGCUACAAAUGGGUUUUCGUUCGGAAGCGUAAUGAGAAGAACGAAAUUAUGCGUUACAAAGCUCGUCUUGUAGCACAAGGUUUCUCACAACGUCCCGGGAUUGACUAUGACGAAACUUACUCACCCGUUAUUGAUGUGAUUACUUUUCGAUACCUUAUCAGUUUGGUAGUUUCCGAAAAACUAGAUAUGCAGCUAAUGGACGUAGUAACCGCGUAUCUCUAUGGGGAUCUUAAUAUGGAAAUUUAUAUGAAAGUUCCCGAAGGACUUACAUUGACUGGUUCAAAUAUUUCCAAACCCCGGAACACGCUCUCAAUUCGGCUGAGGCGUUCACUAUACGGUUUGAAAUAAUCCGGAAGAAUGUGGUAUAACCGUUUGAGUGAGUAUUUGACUAGUCAGGGAUAUGUGAACAAUGAACUAUGCCCUUGUGAGUUCAUUAAGAAGUCACAUUCCGGAUUUAUGAUUGUUGCAGUAUAUGUCGAUGACAUGAAUCUCAUCGGAACUCCUGAAGAGCUCGCGAGAACUGCUUCGCACCUGAAGUCGGAAUUUGAGAUGAAAGAUCUAGGAAAGACUUGAUACUGUCUCGGUCUCGAGAUAGAGCAUUGUUCGGAUGGAAUCUUAGUACAUCAAUCGAACUACACCCAGAAGAUGUUACGCCGUUUUAAUGAGGAUAAAGCGAAGUCUUCGAGUACUCCUAUGGUCGUUGAUGCGUAAAAUAAGUUAACACACAAAAUUAAACCCUCUUUUUGACAAUUGUAGUAUAGAUGUAAGUAGGGUAUCGUUCUAGGCCGGGGAUUAGGAGGGAUUGCUAAUCUAUUAAAUUAACUUAAAAAUAUUAAAUAAGACUCAAGGACACAAAACUAGGCUAAAAACUCUAAUAACUCGAAACACACUUAAAAUGACUCAAAAUAAUGAAAACAAUUAAAUUAAAUACUAGGAACUGAAAUGGACGGAAAUUAAAUUAAAAGACUAACAAUAAAGAAAACUAAAUAAAUAAUAUAAUUUAAUAAUGGAUGGGUGUUUGGUUUUGAUGAAAAGUAAAUUAAACUUAAUUAAAUUACAGAAUUGACAAAAACAUGAAAUUAAGGUGAAAUGAUAAAUGACGGACUAGCUAGAGGGUUCUUCUCCACACAUGACACAUAUGCAACCUAAAUUGAUUUUCAGUUGUUCUUUCAAUAAAUUGUGAAUCUCAAUACUCCAGAUUAACCGUGAAUAGCACUUUUUUAAUCUUCAAGUUUUCCUUAAGUUAUUGAAUUGGACGGAAAAAACGCAUACAACAAUUCAAAACAUUCUUCAAAAGUCCCCUACGUGAAAAGCACAAUAGCGAUACAAUCAAAGAUCAUUAAACUUUGUGAAAACUAUAAGCAUUGACGAGGCAUUCGUAACUAUGAAAAGCAUGAUACUCUUGCCAAGAAUUUACUUAACGUGAUUGUGACUAGCAACCUUUACUACUUGUGAAAAUAAGUUCAUAACGAUUAGGUGAAAUUCACUUAUAUUCUAGCAUCAAAUUCAUGCAUGUAAAUUAAGCGUACACUCUCAACCAACAUACACAAAUCAGUUUUUAUACGAACGGAUAAGUAAAUUGAAAUCACAACUUAUGAAAUCACAACCGAAGGUAAUCAAUUCAUAUUACAAAUAUAUUCAUGGUUUCGAAUUAACCUCUAGCCAAAAUAAAAUUAAUUACACAUUAUUAAAAUAAAAAUAAAAUAGGAGUUUGGAAAGAUUAAACCGAAAGAAAGGAUCUGCUGCUUGGACUCUGAACUGCAUUUUCAUGCUGACCUCCUGUCCUCCUCGCCACUGACUUCCCUUCUCUCCGCAGCUUCACGCUGCCCAAAGGGCAGCCCUCUGCCUUCCACCAAUUCCCCCCCUCCUUCUCUCUUCUGCCAAUCCCAUCUAUAUCCUCAUGCUCCUGACCUCCUCCUUAUUUCUUUUUUUUCUAUUUUAUUUUUUUUUGUUGCUGUCCACCACAUUCUCUGCGCCUACUGCGCUCCCAGCUGUCUCUCCUGCUUUCCACUGACUUUUCCCGCUCCCACUUCUCUCUAUCCUCUUUCUGCUGCCGCAAGGCAGCUGUCUGCUUGCUGCUUCUCUCUCCCUUUUUCUGCUUGUUUAUAUUUUUUUUUUUCUUCUUUUCCUUUUCCUUCUUUUCCUUUUCCUUUCUUUUUCUUUUCUUUCUUUUUCUUUUCUUCUUUGCCGUUCCUUUCUUCUUCUACAAAACAUGAAUCAUGAUGAUGUUUCAAACAUCAUCAUGACUUGUUAUUAUUAUUAUAUAUUUAUUUAUUUUUAAUUUUAUUUAAAAGCUGAUCUACACAGACAGUUUUGACGAAUUUAUUACAUAAAAUUUCACUUGUUCUAUUUUUAUUUUCUUUGCAUAACAAAUCCUAUAAACACAAAAAUAACGUAAAUAGCUCAAAAAUAUAAGGAACUAACUAAGAAAAGACGAGUGAAUUCGAAGUAAAAAUAUAUAUAAAUAUCAUCCGAUCAAAUACCCCCACACUUAACUUUUGCUAGUCCUCGAGCAAAACAAAGAAAACUAGAACAAGAAGUAACAAGAAAAACAUUAGCUUCCCCCUAUGUGACCCUCAUAGAAUUUCAUUCGAGAAAACAAAUCAUCAAGAACCAUAGCUAGCAUCAAGGAAAUAAUCCAAGUUCAUCUUCCUUAUUCAAAUAUUAGCAGUAAUCUUUAAAUCAUCCUUGAAGUGUAGUGUGUGAGAUAGCCAUGCUAAUGCAAUUUCAAGUUUUUAUUUUUAAAAUCAUCAUAUGCAAACUAGCGACCUUCUCACGGGAUAUGCACUCAAUCACACAUGUGUUUAGUUUUAAUGUGUUUCGCUCAAAGAAUCAAAUGUGAAAUUUCUACCAUAAGCUUGCAUAAAGAUCACUUCUCCACAGUCAUAAUUGCAAAACUUAAAUCAAGAGGACUUUUAUUGGAUGUAAUGAGGCUUAGGGAUAGGGUUAUUGAAAUGAAAGAAUAGGAAAACACAAGUUCCAAGCUAUAUUGCAAGCAAUUCUUUUGUUUAGAUUUAUAAGAACUCAAUUUUUUCAGCGAUUCUUCUAGCACCUCCAACCAUACCCUUAAACUGAAACUUUAAAAACUUUUUAUUUUCUUUGUAUACAAUCUUUCUUUUUCUUUUCUUUUUUUCUUCUUUUUUUUUAUUUUUUUUUAUUUUUAUUUUUUUUAUACAAACAUGAAAUACCCCCACACUUAUUCUUUUGCCAAACACCUUCAAAGUACUUCACAAACAUUUCUCAUAAGACAAUCUCACAUUGCUCACUUGGAAAGGGUAAGGAAAAAAUGUUUCAGGCAUAAGGGUAGACAUAUCUGGUGAUAAGAAAUAAAAGGCUCAACAUACACGGCUCAAAUUGGCAAUCUAAUGAUAUCAUUUUCUUUGGGAAACAUAGUUAUUUGGGCCAUAGUGGUAAACCUAAUGCCUCUAUCAUUUCCAAGUUCAUGCAAUCAAUGACAAACAUUUCGAAAGAUCGUUACGCAAGUUCUAGAGAUGUAUCUCACAUAAGUUCAUCACACAUGAAAGAAUAGGAGUGUAUGAAAAAUGCACACUUUCAAUAGGCUCAAAAACUCACAUAGGAUGUAUAUGGUCACUAAAUUCACAUAUGAAGCUUUAAGUCAUACUUUAGUUUCACAUUAACAAGGCUAUGUGCAUUUGGUUUUUCAAAGAUGGUCAAACAUGUACAAAACUAACAAGAGAAUUAGGAAUUUCACCAAAACACAUGUUAACUAAGUUCUUGAUGAUCAUGGUUCAAAUUUUUGAUCCAAUUAUAUCAUUGGGUCGGGAAACUAACAAAAAUCUGAUUCAGAACAAUAAGGGAAACAAGACAAUAUUUUUUGGAUUUUUAAAUUUUUCGAUUUUUUUUUUUUUUUUUUUUUUUUUUUUUAAGAAAACAAAAACUAACAACACAGAAACAAAUGAAAUUCUAGAGAUUUCUACCCCCACACUUAAACUUGACAUUGUCCCCAAUGUCAGAAAACACUAUAACGCAAAUAAAAAUAAAAUAAAUAAAUAAAUAAUAAGAAACAAAAUAAAAACAAUGGGACUGAAAACUUCCCUAAUUUGCAGUAAAAUCAAGCGAUGACCCCCAAGCUAAAAUUCUGCAAUCAACUUCAAGGGUGGAAAUAACCAAAAGUUUCCUGCAAAGAAAAGAAAUAAUACAGUUAAGUACGCAAGAAAAUUAAUUAAAAAAAAAAAAAUUGCAAACGAAAAAUUGAAAAUUACGAUAAAAAGAUAAUGAAUAAAACUAAUAAGUAAUCAUUGGUCGUGCUUGUUGACUUUCCACAGCUUUCCUCUUGAACAGGGUGACACUUAGCUUUUUUACUAUUUGAUGAUAUUGUACGGCGGAGCUUUGCUCUUUGGGAAUGUUGCAGUUCCUUAUUUGUUCUCCAAGCAGAUGUGGCAGCUUCUCUAGUUCCUCAGUUCGGACUCCUUCCGCUGGGAUGAUUGUGCAAGCUGCAUUCUUCUCUGCUUGUUUCUUCUGCACAACGGGCAGGCACGAGGGAAAGGUGUUGGUCCUUAUUUCUUUCUUCAAUCUUUCCAAGUGCCCACCUCUUGCUUUCUUUCUCCUUGUCCCUAGCUGAAUUGUCUCCACAUGCUUCGAGGUAUCAUUUUCACUUUCCUUACUGUCCCCCAGGCAGAUGUGGUAGACGAAGAGAAAGCAUAAAAUGAUGAAGAUGAGUACUCGAGAGCAAGGCUAGGUAAGCAAUCAGGAAAGGGUUCCAGGCAGUUGGCUCCAGAUUGGAAGAUUGAUACCAAAUGCUGGCUGAUUGCUCUCUUUCUCCUUGUCGGAAAACAAAGACAAGGAGAAGGACAUGGAGAAAGCAUGAUAUGAGAUACUCUUGCUUUCAACCUUUAUGAUAUGAAAUACUUUUGCUUUGAAUGGGUUGUUCGCAGGAGUAUCCCAAGGAAUGAGGAACACAGAGUGACUCGAGAGGAUUCUUUGGGAAUGCAUUUUCGGAGAUGAAGAGGUGUUGAGAGGGUGUGCUGAGAGAGUGUGCUUUUGCUGUGGAAGGCGAAGGUAGAAACUUAUAGGACUUGUCUUCACAACCGGAACUGUUCUCUCACUUAGUGUCGGCAGCCGGUGGAUGGGUGAAGAAUACAAAUUACGCGCUUUCUGACAAAGCUGCCCGUAAUUUCCGCAAAGCUGCCAGUUGCAUGUGACAAGUGCUGACUAGGCUGAGAGAGACAGAUGGUUGGAAUCGGCACUUCGACAGACUGCCCGUGAUUUUCGCAGAGCUGAGUUUGCGUGUGACGGGUGACAACACGUCUGGACGAAUUGAUCUUGCGAAAUCCGGGGUUCGGCUCGUGGUUUCUGAGCAAGCCCAACUUUUAAGAAAUGAACGCCUCUUUUGAGAAAAGAAUCCGGCUUUUGAGAACGGAAACUCCUCUUUUGAGAAAAGAAUCCGGCUUUUGAGAAAGGAGCCCCGACUCUUCGAUUUGCGAGAUGACGCUUCUCUGAGGAGCGCCUCUUUGAUUUCUUCUUUUUAUAGAGGCGUUAAUUUUGUUCCACAACACACUUGAGUACCCUCCUGUAAACACUCCCAUCUUGCACUUGUUUAAUCUUGAUCAGUCCAACUCUCUUCUUUCUUUACCACCUCUGAAAAAUGUCUGGCCCUUCUGAUCGUCGUUUUGACUUGAACAUUGGUGAAGAGGCAGCUCCGCCUUCACCAGACAACAUAUGGCGGCCAUCCUUCAUAUCCCCUACCGGUCCCCUUACCGUGGGGGAUUCGAUGAUGAAAAAUGACAUGACCGCUGCGGUGGUGGCCCGAAACCUUGUCACUCCCAGAGAUAACAGACUGCUCGCAAGGCGGUCUGAUGAAUUGGCGGUCAAGGAGUCUCUGGCUCUCAGUGUGCAGUGUGCGGGUUCCGUAUCCAACAUGGCCCAACGCCUAUAUGCCCGAACCCGUCACGUUGAAUCCUUGGUGGCUGAAAUACAGAGUCUCAAGUAAGAGAUUAAAGGGCUCAAGCAUGAGAAUAAGGAAUUGCACAAGCUCGCACACAGCUAUGCCACCAGCAUGAAGAGGAAGAUUGACCAGAUGCAGGACACCGAUGGUCAAAUUUUACUUGAUCAUCGGAGGUUUGUGGGUUUGUUCCAACAACAUCUGCCUUCGUCUUCUGGAGCGGCACCGCGUAGUGAAGCUCCAACUGAUCAACCUAUGCCGCCUCCUCCUUCUGUGGCCCCGCCGACUGCUGAAGCCCCGCCCGACCAAUGAAUACUAUUAGUUUACAUCAUUGUAAAAUAUUUGUACUUUUUUUUUUUUAUUUUUUUAUUUUUUUAUAAAUGUAAAUUAAUGUAAAGAGACUUUGGUUAACCUUCCCACACUUAAACUAAAUAACACAAACUCACAGAAAUCAAACAAAUAACACAACUAACUAAACAAGACAAAAUGAAAGCAUUAAAGAUAAGGGUGUAAAAAUGCAAAUCUGAUUGGGUUAGCGAUUCCAAAGUCUCCCUUCGUUGAAUGCUUGGGUUGCCUCCCAAGAAGCGCUUGAUUUAACGUCUUUAGCCGGACGCAUCUUUCCUUUAAAUUUCCCUCGGCUCCAUUUGAACCUAAAAUCAAAGAAAGAAAAAUAAAUCAAAUAUCAAAAGUAAAAUACACAAACACCAAUAUAAACAUAAACAAAAACAAAAAUAAAAGGAUUAGCAAAGUUGCUAAUCCCCGGCAACGGCGCCAAAAUUUGAUGCGUAAAAUAAGUUAACACACAAAAUUAAACCCUCUUUUUGACAAUUGUAGUAUAGAUGUAAGUAGGGUAUCGUUCUAGGCCGGGGAUUAGGAGGGAUUGCUAAUCUAUUAAAUUAACUUAAAAAUAUUAAAUAAGACUCAAGGACACAAAACUAGGCUAAAAACUCUAAUAACUCGAAACACACUUAAAAUGACUCAAAAUAAUGAAAACAAUUAAAUUAAACACUAGGAACUGAAAUGGACGGAAAUUAAAUUAAAAGACUAACAAUAAAGAAAACUAAAUAAAUAAUAUAAUUUAAUAAUGGAUGGGUGUUUGGUUUUGAUGAAAAGUAAAUUAAACUUAAUUAAAUUACAGAAUUGACAAAAACAUGAAAUUAAGGUGAAAUGAUAAAUGACGGACUAGCUAGAGGGUUCUUCUCCACACAUGACACAUAUGCAACCUAAAUUGAUUUUCAGUUGUUCUUUCAAUAAAUUGUGAAUCUCAAUACUCCAGAUUAACCGUGAAUAGCACUUUUUUAAUCUUCAAGUUUUCCUUAAGUUAUUGAAUUGGACGGAAAAACGCAUACAACAAUUCAAAACAUUCUUCAAAAGUCCCCUACGUGAAAAAGCACAAUAGCGAUACAAUCAAAGAUCAUUAAACUUUGUGAAAACUAUAAGCAUUGACGAGGCAUUCGUAACUAUGAAAAAGCAUGAUACUCUUGCCAAGAAUUUACUUAACGUGAUUGUGACUAGCAACCUUUACUACUUGUGAAAAUAAGUUCAUAACGAUUAGGUGAAAUUCACUUAUAUUCUAGCAUCAAAUUCAUGCAUGUAAAUUAAGCGUGCACUCUCAACCAACAUACACAAAUCAGUUUUUAUACGAACGGAUAAGUAAAUUGAAAUCACAACUUAUGAAAUCACAACCGAAGGUAAUCAAUUCAUAUUACAAAUAUAUUCAUGGUUUCGAAUUAACCUCUAGCCAAAAUAAAAUUAAUUACACAUUAUUAAAAUAAAAAUAAAAUAUGAGUUUGGAAAGAUUAAACCGAAAGAAAGGAUCUGCUGCUUGGACUCUGAACUGCAUUUUCAUGCUGACCUCCUGUCCUCCUCGCCACUGACUUCCCUUCUCUCCGCAGCUUCACGCUGCCCAAAGGGCAGCCCUCUGCCUUCCACCAAUUCCCCCCCUCCUUCUCUCUUCUGCCAAUCCCAUCUAUAUCCUCAUGCUCCUGACCUCCUCCUUAUUUCUUUUUUUUCUAUUUUAUUUUUUUCUGUUGCUGUCCACCACAUUCUCUGCGCCUACUGCGCUCCCAGCUGUCUCUCCUGCUUUCCACUGACUUUUCCCGCUCCCACUUCUCUCUAUCCUCUUUCUGCUGCCGCAAGGCAGCUGUCUGCUUGCUGCUUCUCUCUCCCUUUUUCUGCUUGUUUAUAUUUUUUUUUCUUUUUCCUUUUCCUUCUUUUCCUUUUCCUUUUCUUUUUCUUUUCUUUCUUUUUCUUUUCUUCUUUGCCGUUCCUUUCUUCUUCUACAAAACAUGAAUCAUGAUGAUGUUUCAAACAUCAUCAUGACUUGUUAUUAUUAUUAUAUAUAUAUUUAUUUUUAAUUUUAUUUAAAAGCUGAUCUACACAGACAGUUUUGACGAAUUUAUUACAUAAAAUUUCACUUGUUCUAUUUUUAUUUUCUUUGCAUAACAAAUCCUAUAAACACAAAAAUAACGUAAAUAGCUCAAAAAUAUAAGGAACUAACUAAGAAAAGACGAGUGAAUUCGAAGUAAAAAUAUAUAUAAAUAUCAUCCGAUCAGUCGUUCGUACGCUAGAUGCAAAACGAGAUCCCUUCCGUCCGAAUGAGGAUGAUGAAGAGAUUUUGGAGCCUGAAGUUCCUUAUCUAAGUGCGAUAGGCGCUUUAUUGUACUUAGCUCAAUGCACUAGACCCAGCAUCUCAUUUGCUGUUAAUCUUUUGGCAAGAUACAGCAAUGCACCAACACGCAGACAUUGGACUGGCGUGAAAGACAUCUUCCAUUACCUUAAGGGUACUAUGGAUUUGGGCUUAUUUUAUCCCUACGAAUCCUCGAGUGAUGCCGCACCCUAUGCUCAUCGGGUUGAUUCUCGCCUUGUUGGUUAUGCCGACGCUGGAUACUUAUCUGAUCCGCACAAGGCGCGUUCUCAAACGGGUUAUGUCUUUACCGUUGGAGGCACCGCAAUAUCUUGGAGGUCAACUAAACAGACCUUAGUUGCCACUUCGUCUAACCAUGCUGAAAUUCUCGCCUUACAUGAAGCAACUCGGGAAUGCUUUUGGUUGAGAGCAGUAAUGGGCCAUAUUCGAAGCUCCUGUGAUCUUCAUCCUGCCGUUAAUGCCCCGACGACGAUUUUUGAAGACAACGCAGCUUGCAUCGAACAACUCAAGAAGGGUUACAUCAAAGGAGACAACACCAAGCAUAUUGCGCCGAAGUUCUUCUUUACACAUCAACAACAAGAACAUCAGAAGAUUGAAGUCACGCAAAUCCGAUCACAAGACAAUAUGGCCGACCUCUUCACCAAAUCACUACCGAAGGCGACGUUUCAGAAGCUUGUUCAUGGAAUUGGUAUGCGUAAACUUUCUGAGUUGUAACUUUGCUAUUUCUCUUUGGAAUUAUGUCAAACUCAGGAGGAGUAUCCUCUGGAUACUUGCUUGAUCUUAAUGUAAUUUUUUUCCCUAUGAUUAGGAGCAUUUUUCCCACUGGGUUUUUGCUACCUAACUAGGUUUUAACGAGGCACCCACCUUGGGCUGGUCAUAUCCCUGAUGACGUCCUGUAGAUGUUUCUUUUGACUUUGCAUUUCUCACACAUUUUCCUUAGACUAUGGAUUUUGUCCCUACUCGGGUUUUUGCCAUAGCCUUAGGGUUUUUUAGUGGGACUUACUACUUAUGCAAGUUCCUACCUUAUUGAGAAUAAGCGUUGUUCCUUGGAAUCAAUGCCGACGAGUCAACUUCCUCAACUUCUGCAUGAUACUGAAUCUACCUUGAGUAUUUACACACUCAAGGGGGAAUGUUGUAAACAUUCCUAGUUUAAGUAUGAUUGUGUAAAUCCUAGAUAAGAUUUGAUUCUAGUUAUCCUUUCUUAUUACAACUUGUAUUACUUGGAGGAGAAGAAAUAUCUUCUCUACCUUUACUACUAUAAAUAAAGGCACAAUGUAGGAGGGAUAACAACAUAUACAUUCCCCUACAAUUCUACAAACACACAUCUCUCUCCUCUCUCUCUGCCGCCGGCCCUAGUCUCUCUGUCAGAUAAAAUAGACCACAACAGUUCCUUAGUUUUCAAAAUUUUAUUUUCAUAUUUAGUCUCCUAACAUUGUCCAUGAAAUCACUUUAAUUUUGAGAUUAGAAGUGUCAACGACUCAGCAAGAUUAUUUCGCCAUCGCAAUUCCAGCAGAUUGAUUGGCAAUUAACAUGAAUUGAUUGAGUAGUAUACUAUAUUUUAUAACACAAAUCAAAAGAAAUUAACGAGAAGAAGCAACCCACUAGCAACAGUGCCGAUAAAAGCAAACCAAACGAAAAGGUGUGUGAACAUCCGAGCCAAAGUUACACUCACCUUUCAGGAGAAGCGAUAAGGCGGUGAAGAUAAGUGAAAGCCGAUCCGAACUGCAAAGUCAAUGAUGGAUGAAGCCGAUCCGAAUUGAGGAACUUGGAGGGAAACAUGGAUAAAGGUGGAAGAAAAUAGGGGGAAAAGAUGGAAAAGGUGGAAGGAAGAUAGAUGGAAGGAAACACGGAGAAAAAGUAGUCUUUAAAUUUGUCCCGCCAACAACUUUUUUUUCUAUUUUUUUUAACAAAAACGAUAAUAUCUACCAUAAGAGAGGGGUGUGCCAAAAUGACAAAAAUAUCCUUCAUUUAAUAAACAAUGGGCUAAAAUAAUUUGAUAAAAAAUAAGAGUAUUUUUGUCAUUUUUUCCUUAUUUAAUAGUGAUUUUUCACGGAAAAAUCAAAAUGAUCGAUGGUAAACAAACUCAGGGACUAGUUCUUAGAUUCUAAAUCUCAAGGACCAAAAUGAGGACUUAAAACCAAUCCUAGAGACUAUUUUGACUAAAAAGCCAUUAUUUUACCAAUGACACCAAUUUUAUUAAUCUAGAAAGAGGUGAUUCUAAAUCUCAAAGACUAAAAUGAGGACUUAAAUCAAUCUCAGAGACUAUUUUGACUAAAAGAACCAUUAUUUUACUAAUGACACCAAUUUUAUUAAUCUAGAAAGAGGUGACUCACCAAUUUGAUCUAUCAAACCUAAAAUGAAAAACAACGUAGUUUGGUCAUAGCACAAAAGAACUUGUGGGGUAAACCAAAUAGGUGGAGCAGUGUGUUCGUCUCUUAACACUUAAUUUCAAAUUCCUAUACCUAUAUAUUUGAGUAGUGGAAGUAAACAUUGUAAACCAGAGUGGUCUAACACCUCUUGAUCUGCUAAUCUUCCCGAGUGAAGCCGGCUAUAGGGAAAUUGAAGAGAUCCUUCGUGGUGCCGGAGCUUCGAGAGCACAGGACAUACACCAUACUCCCUCUCAUUGUCCCAUGGAAACAAAUUGUUGAACUAUAAGUAUUUGAGCUGAAAUGUUUUAGAAUAAGUUUUGUUUAAAUUGGUGAAUCCACUUGUGCAGAAUGAGGCAAAGUGUAAAUGUCUAGUUUUGUAAAAAGGCCAUGAGUGCCAUGUGUUGGUAGAUCCAUGAAAUUAGAGAGAUGUGUGUCUAGGAUGAAAUGUAGUAGUUUAUGUGGUCCCAAGUUAAGGACCUUCAGUUAAUGUAAAGCACGUGAGUGCUCAUUUCUGAAAAAAAAAGAAGCAAUUUUCCUCUGUAAAGUUUCUGCAGAGAAAAGAACAAGAAACCGUUCGCUUUCUCCAACCUUUGUUCAUCGUGUGUUUUCUGUACAGCUCCAUCUUCAUCAAAACUCUCAUUGAAAUCAAGUUACACUAACAUGGCCUCAGAGCCAGGUUGGGUCUAACAAUCUGGGCGUAAAUCUGUGAAGCUAUUUUUGAGCUCAAUCGAAGCUCUCUUGAAGCUCCGUGAACGUUGUCGAUUCAGAUCAAAACAUGUCUGGAUCUGGAGGCUCGGAAGUGAGGACUCCAAUUUUCUCCGGUGAGAACUACGAGUUCUGGAGAAUUAAAAUGGCAACGAUAUUCAAAUCCCUUGGGUUAUGGAACCUGGUAGAGAAGGGGAUUGAAACCUCCAAUCCGAAGAAGAAGGAAGCUGGAGAAGCAUCGAAGGAUGAUGAAGAAAUGGUAGCUGUUCUGAUGAAAGACACAAAGGCUUUGGGAAUCAUUCAGAAUGCAGUCUCGGAUCAGAUCUUCCCACGAAUCGCCAAUGCCGAGUCAGCUAAGAUGGCAUGGGAUUUGUUGUACGGGGAGUAUCAUGGUGGUGAUCAGGUACGAUAUGUGAAAUUGCAGAAUCUUAGGAGAGAGUUUGAAUAUGCUAGGAUGAGAGAUGAUGAGUCUUUAUCUAGCUAUCUUACACGGCUGAAUGAGCUAAUUAAUCAAAUGAGAACAUUUGGUGAAUCUCUGUCGAAUGAGAGACUGGUGCAAAAGGUUUUGAUUAGUCUUAGUAAACCUUAUGAUUAUAUCUGUUUGGUUAUAGAAAACACAAAGUGUCUAGAGACUGUAGAGUUGCAGGAAGUAGUUGCAAUCUUAAAAAGUCAAGAACAACGGUUUGAUCUGCAUACUGUUGAUACUACUGGGAAAGCAUUCUCAUCUUUCUCAAUGAGUUCAAAAGAGCAGGAUAGGGGUGAAGGUCAAUCUGGUUCAUCUCGGUUCCAGAAAAAUUGGAAUAACAAGGGCAAGAAAUGGGGUUCAAAACCUAAGUUUCAGCAUAAAUUUCCUGCUAAUCCUGCACAUAAUGCACAGUCAAUGAGGCAGAUAGGUACAAAACCACAGUGCAGGGUAUGUUCUAAGUUUCACUUUGGAGAGUGUAGGUAUAAAGGGAAACCUAAAUGCUAUAACUGUGAAAAGUUUGGUCACUGGGCUAGAGAGUGCACAGUAGGUAAAUUAGUGCAAAAGGCAAAUAGUGCUAAUCAGGUAGAGGUGACAGGGAACCUGUUUUAUGCAAAUAGCACAAUCACUGAAUCAAAAGUGAAUGGAGAAUGGUAUGUAGACAGUGGUUGUAGCAACCAUAUGACAGGGGAUUCUAAGUUGUUGAUAGACAUGAAGACAAAUGUGGUUGGCAAGGUUCAAAUGCCCACAGGGGAACUCAUGAAUGUGGCAGGUUUUGGUACACUUGUGAUAGACACUAGCAAAGGCAGAAAAUAUGUCAAAGAAGUAAUGUACCUACCUGGGUUGAAGGAAAAUCUGUUAAGUGUGGGGCAGAUGGAUGAACACGGUUACUACCUGUUAUUUGGGGGAAAGAUGUGUAGUAUCUUUGAUGGACCUUCAUUGGAUUGUCUUGUACUCAAAGUUGAAAUGAAAAAGAACAGAUGUUAUCCUUUGACACUGAUACAAAAUGAUCAGGUUGUACUGAGAGCAGGUAUUUCUAAGUCUACUUGGAUAUGGCACAAGAGACUAGGCCAUCUGCAUUUUAGAGGUCUUCAACAGCUUAAGAACAAAGAAAUGGUGCAUGGUCUCCCAGUUUUAGAAGAAAUGGAUGAAGUUUGUAAAGGUUGUCAGUUUGGGAAACAGCAUAGAGAGUGGUUUCCAAAGAAUCAAGCGUGGAGAGCAAGUAAACCUCUAGAACUGGUGCAUGUAGAUCUGUGUGGUCCUAUGCAGAAUGAUUCUCUUGCGGGCAACAAAUAUUUCAUGCUUCUUGUAGAUGACUGUACAAGAAUAAUGUGGGUUUAUUUUCUGAAAUACAAGUCAGAUGCAUUGAUCUGUUUUAGAAAAUUCAAGUCCAUGGUGGAAUUACAAAGUGGUUUUAAGAUAAAAUGUUUGAGGAGUGACAGAGGGGGUGAAUUCACAUCUUGUGAAUUCAACAAACUGUGUGAAGAUGCAGGGAUUCAAAGACAGUUAUCUAUGGCCUAUACUCCACAACAGAAUGGAGUGGUAGAGAGGAAGAACCGAGCUGUGGUUGAGAUGGCAAAAGCUAUGCUUCAUGACAAAGGACUACCAUACUACUUAUGGGCAGAAUCUGUACUCACAGCUGUCUAUAUAUUGAACAGGUGUCCUACAAGAGCUCUUGGAGAAGUAACUCCAUUUGAAGCAUUCAGUGGUCGAAAACCUGGAAUUGCACAUCUUAGAAUCUUUGGUUGUCUGUGUUAUGUACACACACCAAAUGAGUUGAGACAGAAACUAGAUGCAAAGAGUGUCAAGGGCAUAUUUGUAGGUUAUGCAACCUGUGAAAAGGGGUACAGAGUGUAUGAUCCUCUUAGUAAAAAGCUUAUACUCUCAAGGGAUGUUGUGUUUGAUGAAAAUGCAGCCUGGGAAUGGAAGACAGCUCCUGAGAACUAUGUAACUGUGUUUAAUCCUAUUGAGUUAUCUGUGCUGCCUAAAUGUAUCUCAUCAGAGACAACUCCAGAGGAAAAUGAUUAUGUUUUGUCACCAAAUCUGGCAUUUUCUCAUGAAUCUGUAAGUGAUGUGGACAGCAGCAUGAAAAUGACUCAAGCCUUUGAUCACACUCCAUUGAAAUGGAGGAAUCUAGAUGAUGUCUUGGCACAAUGCAAUCUUUGUAUUAUGGAACCUGAAAAAUUUGAAGAGGCAGCCAAAGAUGAAGCAUGGAUGAAGGCUAUGAAAGAUGAACUGUCAAUGAUUGAGAAGAAUGCAACAUGGGAUCUGGUGAACAGACCAAGUGAUAAACCCAUAAUUGGGGUUAAGUGGGUGUUCAAGACCAAGCUUAAUCUCGAUGGGACAGUGCAAAAGCAUAAGGCAAGAUUGGUAGCCAAAGGAUAUGCUCAGAAACCAGGUGUGGAUUACAAUGAAACGUUUGCACCUGUAGCUAGACUGGAUACAAUUCGGACUCUAAUUGCUUUGGCAGCUCAGAAAAGUUGGAAAUUAUACCAACUAGAUGUGAAAUCUGCUUUUCUGAAUGGAGUACUCGAAGAAGAAGUUUAUGUAGAACAACCAGAUGGUUUUGUGAUCAAGGGGAGUGAAGACAAGGUGUACAAGCUUUAUAAAGCUUUGUAUGGUCUAAAACAGGCACCAAGAGCCUGGUAUAGUGAAAUUGAUACCUAUUUUGCUCACUAUGGGUUUGUGAAAAGUCAGAGUGAAGCUACUCUUUACAUCAAAGUAAGGGGAGGAGAAAUUCUGAUUGUUUCAAUCUAUGUGGAUGAUAUAGUGUAUACUGGGAAUAGCACUGAGAUGUUGAAGGAGUUCAAGGAAGACAUGAUGACAAAAUAUGAGAUGACAGAUUUGGGGCUCCUUCACCAUUUUCUUGGUAUGGGAGUGAUUCAAACUCACACAAGCAUAUUUAUCCAUCAAAGGAAGUAUGCUGGUUCUUUGUUAGAUAAGUUUGGUUUGAAUGAGUGUAAAUAUGUGUUUACACCACUGGUUUCAUCAGAGAAGCUAUGCAAAGAUGAUGGCAGUGGUUCAGCAAGUGAGGAACAGUAUCGAAGAAUUGUUGGAAGUUUGUUGUAUCUCACAGCAACUCGACCAGAUAUAAUGUAUGCUGCAAGCCUUCUAGCUCGAUUCAUGCACUGUCCUACAAAUAAACAUCUUGGAACAACCAAAAGAGUGCUUAGGUACAUCAAGGGAACUUUAGAUUAUGGUUUAGAGUAUGUAAAGGGAAAGAAUGCAAUGCUAAUCGGAUUCUGUGAUAGUGAUUGGGGAGGAUCUGUUGAUGAUAGCAAGAGUACUUCUGGUUAUGCAUUUUCCUUUGGCAGUGGAGUGUUCUCAUGGGCCUCAGUGAAGCAGAAUUGUGUAGCACUCUCUACAGCAGAAGCAGAGUACAUCAGUGCCUCUGAAGCAACUGCUCAAGCCAUUUGGCUUAGAUUUGUUCUUGAAGAUUUUGGUGAGAUGAAAACUGAAGCAACUCCAGUACACUGUGAUAAUACAUCAGCAAUUGCAAUUACUAAAAAUCCUGUUUUCCAUCAGAAAACCAAGCACAUUGACAGAAGGUAUCAUUUUAUCAAGAAUGCACUCCAGGAAGGGAUAAUCGAUUUGGUGUACUGUCCAACAAAUGAGCAGGUGGCAGACAUAUUUACUAAGGCUUUGUCUAAGGAUCGAUUCAACUAUCUUCGAGAUAUGCUUGGUGUGAAAUCAGCUCAAAACUUAAAGGGGAGUGUUGAACUAUAAGUAUUUGAGCUGAAAUGUUUUAGAAUAAGUUUUGUUUAAAUUGGUGAAUCCACUUGUGCAGAAUGAGGCAAAGUGUAAAUGUCUAGUUUUGUAAAAAGGCCAUGAGUGCCAUGUGUUGGUAGAUCCAUGAAAUUAGAGAGAUGUGUGUCUAGGAUGAAAUGUAGUAGUUUAUGUGGUCCCAAGUUAAGGACCUUCAGUUAAUGUAAAGCACGUGAGUGCUCAUUUCUGAAAAAAAAAGAAGCAAUUUUCCUCUGUAAAGUUUCUGCAGAGAAAAGAACAAGAAACCGUUCGCUUUCUCCAACCUUUGUUCAUCGUGUGUUUUCUGUACAGCUCCAUCUUCAUCAAAACUCUCAUUGAAAUCAAGUUACACUAACACAAAUACCCUUCAGCUGCAGCAGCCAAACGACCCGAUGGAAUACUUCAAGUUCAAAAAGGGCAGAGACUCUCCCAGCGAUGCACGCACGGCGCUGCUAGUUAUUGCUGUACUAGUGGCCACCACCACCUUUCAAGCCGGACUCAGCCCUCCGAUGGGCAUUUGGCAGGACAGCCCUGGAUCAAACAUGAAUGGGACUGGCAGUGGGAGCAAUGAACCAGCGCACACAGCAGGGCAGUCCAUCAUGAGUUCUUACAAGAUAUUAGGAUUUUUCUUCUUUUACACUUCCAACUCGAUUAGACUUUCGUUUUCGCUUUACAUGAUCCAUGUCCUCACCACCAAUUUCCCUCUGCAGUUGGAGCUUAACAUUUGUAUGUUCACGAUGUUCUUGACGUACUGUUCUGCAAUUUCCGAAAUUGGACCGGAGAUCAUGUCCCACCCUGUGUUCGCUUUAACUAUGCCAGCGUUGGUAGCGUUGGUAAGGGUGUGGUAAGCGUAAUGCACCCGCUUAGAUGACCUGCAGUAAAUUGGACUCGAAGGCUCAUUUUAAAAUAGUUGUACAUUACACGUCUGUUUCCAGGAUCAUCGUUGGCGCAUUCAUCAUAGAAGCUCCAGCUUCGUAUCAAAGUCAGUCGUGACUAUCAUAAAUACCGUACAUUUGCUAUGUAUUACUAAAUCUUUGGUGUGGACUUCUUAUAUGAUAUAGCGUUAAGAAUUCAGUACGAAAACAGUAAAACAGAAUUAUUUGCACUAAUUCUUCCUCUUGAUUUAUGAUGGUGUUAGUUCUAUAAGUCGACAUCUUUGCCAGCCGCAAUUGAUACUGCCGUUUGAUACUGCAAAUGAAAGCCCGGUGGAUGCGCAAAAUUUCAAGCCAAUCUUACAGAUUGUAUGAAGAAAGGAACAAUGUAGUUGGUAGCACAGAAGUUUAUAAUCUUCUAGUUGGAGUAAUCUAAUUAAGGCUAUAAUAUUCAUACAGAAGGUUUUACAAAAUGAUCAUCUUUCGACAUGUAUAACAAUGGCGAUCUUUAAUCACAAUGACUUGUACAGCUCGAUCAAAUGAGAAGCAUGGAGGCACCACGUAGGAGCCACGGUGCAGCCCAAACUUUGCAGAUAAGAAAUCUGGUAAUUCACAGCAUAAGAAUCGAAUUACCGGGUCUCCUGACCAUCCUACGUACCAAUGUGCGCACAAGGAAAUGAGUAAGGUAAUCAAAUGCUGAGUCCUGCGUACCUGUUUCGGUGUUGGUUCGGAUGAACCCAUUUAGUUCUCAAUCCGUAACUUCUGGAAAUGCUCCUGAAAGCAUAAAUUUAAGCACAUCAUGAAAUCCCCCUUGCGGGAUUUUCCUUAUUUUUUCUAACUCAUCUUCCCACUCGCGUAUAGUUUUGUUACCAAGAAAAGCUCCCAGGACUUUGAGUGCUAAAGGCAGGCCUUGAGCAUAUUUUACAACACGAUUCGAUAGAUCAUCAUAAUCUCUGGUGGGUUGGUUUUUUCCGAAAGCGUGCUGCCUAAAGAGUUUCAGAGCUCCAGAAUCACUCAAAGUCUUGGGAUUAUAUAUCACAUCAGCUACGCUUAGUAAUUGCGAAUCUCUAGUUGUUAUAAUAAUUCUGCUUCCACCACCAAAGAAAUGUGGCUCUCCAAGUAGAGCUUCAAUUUGUUCUAAUUUGUCCACAUCAUCAACAACAAUAAGAACUUUUCUCUGGCCAAGGCUUUUUAACAUCACCUGAAAACCUUUACUCGAUAUGUCAGAGCUCCCCACCUUGUUGUCCGAGAUACUAGAUAGAAGUUGUGUCUGCAUAAGUAGUUCGCCGUGCUUCAUGAAACCCUCCUUGACAUUUUUAAGAAAGCAACAAGCUUCAAAUCGACAAGCGAUUUUAUCAUAAACAGCAUUAGCGAUGGUAGUUUUACCUAAACCACCCAUACCCCAUAUUCCAACAACUCGAACAUUAUUCGUUUCACCUCCGGGAGGAUAUAAUAAUAAAUGCAUUUCAUGCAUGCGAGAAUCCAUGUCAACCAAGCCAUUAUCUUUGCUUGAUGUUGAUGAGAUGUCGAUCAAUUUCCUAUAAACAUAUUCUACAAUUUCCUCAGUAAGCACCACAUCAUUCCUGUCAAAUUAAAAAAUACAAUAUAAUAACACCACCAAAUAAUAAUUAAUGGGUUUUUUCAUCUGUUAGUUAAAAAAAAAAACAGAAAUUAAAACUAAAAACUAGAUAUUUAUAAAAUUACCGCAAAACGUUACAAAAAUCCCAAAAAUUAAUAGGAAACUAAAACAAAUUAGAAUUUACUCAUAGUUUCGCGAAUCCCAGCCGGAUAAACUGGUGGCAGUUGUAAGAGCGGAUCUCCAGCUCUGAACCUCUUCCAUUUCGGCGUUAGAAUCGCGAUCGUGCUGAGCAAAAGCUUCCGCGAAACUUUUCUUGAGUUUACGAACAUCAGACGGAUCAACUUCAUAGAAAAUGGGGAGUACAAUCUGGUUAUUGGUAUCCUUGCAUUUCAAGAUUUGCACGAGUUCUUUCAAGCACCAAGUGGAAGAAGCAUAGUCUUGAGAGAAAACUACAAUCGAAAGCCUUGACUCUCGAAUCGCUGUCAGGAGCUCAGAAAGGUGGUCGCCUUUUCUGAGCUUCUCGGCAUCAAUGAAGGCGUUGAUUGGUUUCUUAGCCAGAGCGUUGUAGAGAUGGCUGACGAAGCCCCUGCGAGUGUCUUCCCCUCUGAAAUUGAUGAACACAUCGUAUUUGCAACCAAGGCCAGAAGAAGAUGAAGAAGAAGAAGCAGCCAUUAUUAAUCGAUCGCACCUGGUCAGCGAUGAUCGAGCAGCUAAGACUAAGAGAAUUGUAAGUACAGAGAUACUCAAUAGAUCUACAAAUUGGAUCACCAGAAAUUAGUCUGAUCGAUACCAAGUCAAUGAGUCAAUGCAAAAGGGAAAAAGGGGAAAGGGAAAUUAUGCUUUAUGUUUUUUCACAUCUUCUUCGGGGAAAUUUCGGUGUGAAAGGAAUCUUAUCCUUUUGAUUUUUUAACCGAAGCAAAUGCGAAGAAAAGGGUCAAGGUGGAAAAUUGAAUAGGACAAGGAUUGUCAGCCCUUCCACAUCUGGUGCUCUUCCGUGCCCUUUUGUUUAUGUUGUCACGGUUAAACCACAUUAACAUUUUAUAUUACUAUUUAUUUUUGUCUUAUUAUCUCUAUAAAAAAACAAUAUAAAAUGUUGACGUGACUUAACCGUGACCACACAAAACAGAAGGGCACGAAAGAACACCGAAAAUAGGAGAGCUGACAAUCCUUGUCCAAACUUAACCGUAAGACUUUUUGUAGUGAGCUACACCGGAUGACUUGAUAUAUUAUGACGAAAUAAACUAUUUAAAUAUACGGCUUACAUUGCGCAGUGCGCAUACUGGAUAAACAAUUAGCGCACCUGAUUGUAGGGAAUGGUGAUGCUCAUCGCUUAAUUUCGUUAUUGGAUUAGUUUAAGUUUUGAGGUUUGUGAAAUGGACAGAUAUAAAUUUUAAAAUUUAAACUCAGUCAAUAAUAAUAAAUAUGGUAGUGAGAAAAAAUGCACCAGUGACUUGUGGUUUAGAGACACACUCUCAAACUUAAAUAACAAUUUUCAUGCUUUCCAACAACACAAAAAUUUUAUAACUAAAAAUCAAUCAAAACAUAAUAAUUGAAUGAACGAAGAAAGCGUAUUAAAAUAAGGUUUUCUGACAUAUUUUGAGUGACACUUGCCACAAUAACGAAGAAAGCGUGGUAUUGUUGCACCUGCCAUAAAGUCAAGCUUGACAUUCUACAGUUGGAAGGCUAGCUGGCUGACUAGAAAUGGCCAGCCCGUUGGCUUGAUUUGGGGGUUUUGGCCAGAUGGGGCCCACAAGCCCUUUGGCCUAGCCUUCGAUUGAAGAUGGUUUUCGUGUCAUUCCGAGCUAUUUUUAGCCCUAUGACCUUUUGGCUGGGUCAGUUAGAGAUGGCUUUAGGUGCGGUGAUCGUAAUACCCUGAAAAUUUAAAUAUAUGAAUAUGUUGGGAAAAAUUGAAAAAAAAUCGAUUUAUGGUUAUGGAAAAUUUAAUUGAGAACUUUUAAAGUUUUUCCGGAAAUUAUUAUAAAUUACGUAUUUGUAUUCUUAAGAUUUUAUAUGAAUUUUCAAGAAUUUAUAAUAAUUUAAUUUAGUUUAGUUUUAAAUUAAACUAGUUACAAAGUUGGAAGUUUGGAAAUUAUUUAUUUAAAAUAUGUAGACCAUUCGAGGUCACAAUUUAUAUUUUUGAAUAGAGCUCGAUCUCAUGAACGCGUGGCGCAAACCGUUAGUAAAACGGAGUUCUAACGAAGAAGUUAUUAACAUUUAAAGUCAUGAAAAUUUUGGUAAUUUUAUUCAUUUUAGAAGGCUCCAGAAAAUCUAGAGCAAUGAGUUGUGCCACGUGUGUGGCUGGGAUGAAAACAAUUGGAGAGAUGGAUGGUUGUGAUUAAAGGAAAAUAAUAGAAAUGAGGGUAACCAAUGGGGAGAGAGAAUGAGGAGGGGAAAGGAGAAAAAGGAGAAGGAGGGGAACCCGACCCUCUCCUUCGACCCGGUUUUCUGACCCGAGCCCCACGCACACCCAACACCGAUUUCGGUGUUUUUUCCCGGUGAAUUGAGCGCCGCCACCACCCCUCCUGACUCCUCUCAUUGUCACGAACGGUAUCCGUCCACAUUUGGCUCAGUUUUGAUCAUGAUUUCAGAAGAAAAGGGAGAUGGACCCGUGAGGGUUUCAGAGUUUUCCGACGACAAAUCCGUCGUCUCCGGUCUCCACCGUUCCCACCACCACCACCUCCAGUUGAUUUCACUUGAACCCAGGAGCAAGGCCUAAGCACUAGCAGGGGCAUCGGAACAUCAAUGGAGUCGAAUCGAAUCCCACCAUUUCUAGGGUUUCCGGCGAGUUUGAGUGAAAUUGGGGCACUUCCACGCCAAAUUGGACUUAGCCAUAGGUAUGAAAUUUACUCCACUCACUGAGAUCUACUUGCCUGUAAAAUUUGGUAAUUUUUUGAAAUAGUUGAAUUUUCCGACAAGCCGGAGUGGCCAACCUCCACCCACGACUGCGGGUGCGGCGGCGCACGGUCAGGGAGCCGACAUUGUGUUAUUAUGCGAAUUUCGUUAUUCUAAUUAGGCUUUUGAGACCUAACUUCUGUGGUUUGAAUAUUAAUACGAUUGUGGUAUAUGUUGGAUUAAAUAAAUAUAUUCGGAUUUGGUUUGAGUUUUGGAAAUGUGAACUACGAAUGACUUGAUUCCUGUUUAGGGUACAUAGGUAGUAUAACAAGAUGUUAGAUGCAGCUAUACAAUAAGUUAGAUUAAAUAAACGAGACAAAGCUUUGAUUGAGAAAGUGAACUGAGUAAGGAGUUUGGAAUUUUAUUAUAAAAGGAAAUCUUAUGUUUUGUACAUAUAAAUUCUUGUUAUAAAUUGUGUGAACGUUUUAUAAAUUUAAGCAAGAAAUUAUGUAAUUAUGAUAAUUGGACAAUUGAGUUUGAUCUCUUGUUGGGAAAUAGAGUCGAUAUGAAGGUAUUGGUGUUGAAGUAAAAAUAUAAAUGUAUGUUUUGCUAAGUAAGUUUGGUGGAUACUUAUGUGAGUAGUUAGGAAAAUUUUUUUUUAAAGAAUAAAGUGUACCGAUAAUAAAUCAAACAAGAGAAGUGAAUUGGGCCUAUCAUUGGAAAUAUUUCCUGAAAAUAAAUAUUUCGGGGUUGGGGCGUUUCAGUGAUUGUCUUUGAGAUAUCGAAGGUUCUGUGUGAUCGAAUACUUCGUCCUCCUCCAGAGCCGCCACUGUUGAGAGGGUUACUUGCCUCAUGCAAACAUUAUGAAUUGUAAGUGAUGAAUUGUUCUGAUGAUGAGGUUUAUUUUUUAACUCAUUAUGUUUUGAGUUUAAACAUUUUUCCCUCUCUUUAAUGUAUAUAAGAUUAGUGUAAAAUAUUGUUCGUAAUAAAAAAAUAUAAAAAUGAUACAUUCUCAUUCAUAUAUAAGAUGAUCAAGUGUGGAAUUAAUACUUUUAACGAGUGACUCAAUUAACCAUUUUCAUUUCUUACGCAUUCAAAAUUAGACAAAUUCUUUGCAUACAUUUAAAAAAAAAAAGAUAUUCAGGAGACUUUGAAACUAUUACAUUACGGGAGAGGGAAUUUUGAACUCGGGACGCAUGAGUAGAACCCAAACGCUUCUCCACUAGGAUAUUAGACUAGUGCCGGUCCUGAAUUUUUUGGUGCCUGGAGCGAAUAAUGUGCCCUUUUCAAGUACAACAACAUAAAUUAAAAAGAAAUAUUUAAAGAGGGUUGGAACCCAGUCGAAGCCGGGGGGCUAGGCCCUCACGCCCAUAUUAUAUUACUCUGAAAACAAAAAAACAUACAACAUGGGAACAUAGUACUGAAACCUCGACAAUCAAAAGCAAAAUCAAAUACAACCACUCCAAGCAGUUAACAUAGCCAUCACAUAUUGAAUCCAAAAGGUUGACUACCCAUUCGCUGCAUAUAAUGUGCAGAAGAUAACAAAUUCUGAAGUGAUAUGCUCCCAAGUAUGAUAUUGGGCAGAAAAGAGCGGCGGCUUCAACCACUUCUUCAGCUAUAUCCGGCUGGGUGAGAGCAGCUAAAGACAUGAUUGUUCCCUAAUUACAUGAAUACAUGGAGUAAACACCAAAAGUAGCAGCAAGGGAAGGAGAUUUGAAGUAGAUGAAGAGGUGUGAAGAGUCUAAAGACCUGUGAAUGUCCAACAACAAAGACUUCGGAGCUUGUUGUCGAAUAUAUGCAGCGUAUCAUUUCUGACAGAUCAAAUCGAGCCAAUUCCUGCCAACUCCAAUCCCAAAAAUCCUACAGUAAAGCAUAAAUCUUAUUCUUUUCUGAUAAAGAUGUGCCCCUAACUCCAAUGUGUUUGACGCACAAUUCCUACCCAUACAUAGAAACCUUCAUCUGCAAAGACAAAUUCCAGCGAUUCUUCUGGAGAAUUUAAGAACCAUGCAUCACCUGGUUAGAGCCUAAUUUAAAAUGUAUCCGAUGGAUGUUCAUCAAUUUACACAAUAGUUAGUUUCAAGAAAGGAAAUUUCAACAGAACCUGAAAACUUCAGAUCAGGGGGCACCAAAUAGUGAGCUAUACAUUCAAAAUUUAAAAUAAUCAACUUAGUAGGACCAAUAUGUUGAAAAAAUUAGAAGGAGCUAUGAAAGUAAGGCUUUUCACUAAUCAGGCGUCCAGAGAAUCAAUAUUUUACUCACGUAUCAGUUACGGGGAACAAUCCCCACCAGAGCAAUCUCAUUAGUUCUUCACAUCUCAACCGUACAGAAAUUACACUAACAAACACGACUCCUGUUAGUCCUUCACAUCUCAAAUCCAGGAAGUACCCAUCUUUCGUCUGAAUCUGGAAAAUAAGCAGCACUCAAUUUAACAAUCUGGGUAUCUCAAAGUUACUCACUUUAAUCACAAAUUUAACAAUUAAACAUAUAAAUGGGCAUUUUCUAGUGAAAUAUUAGUAUAGUACUCACUGUGUGCUCGGAGCAAGAGCACCCAGAAAGCUCAAUGAGCUGUGCAGUGAGGGACUGUAGCGGUGAAUGACGGCAACCGAUUCUGUAAAAUUCAGUCGAGUUUUAGGCGAUUUCGGAGGUCAAGAGGCUGAUGAGGAAAGCUGGGACGGAAGGGCACUGGUCUGGAAGAAAGGCUCUGGUCGCCGCUGUCGCGAUUUGCAAAGGAAGAAGUGACAUUCUUCCAAAUAGGAAGAUGAAAUCGUUAAGGCUUUUAUUUAUUCCUCCUCUUGAUGCGCCCUUUUAGACUGCCAAUUCCAGACGAUCCAAUCUCAUAUAUCUUCCCUGCAAAAGCAUGUGUGCCAGACUUCAAGAUCAAAAUUUUCCAACAAAAGAAACUUAAAGAUCAAACUCGUUAGCGGAAUAAAUGGUGCACAAAGGGAGUUAAAAUCUUGACAGAUGUAUAUUUUUGGCAGAUUUUAUGUGAGCAUGCAAUUUUCUGUAGAACUUAAAAGCUGCAUAGCUGCUCUUGUUCGUUGUAUUGAAUACCAUGGUUUUACUGAUGAAUGCAGAGUUUGCUGACGAUUCAUACGACAAGCAAAUGAAUCAUCCACUGUAAUUUGCAGAGUUUACUGAUGAAUGCCCCACAUAUACCCAAAAAAAAAAAGUCAUUUAAACAAAUUCAGAGCGUUCAUCCACUGUAAUUUGCAGAUAUAGACACGUUAAGAUAAAAGGAAAUGCAAAGUACCUUUCACCCAAAUUGGAGGAGCAACGGUGGCAUUAGCAAGUUAGCAACGGGAAUUGACAUACCAACAUCUUCACAGUUUCUGCACAAGCACAAAUCAAUAGAAUCCGGCGGUGGAGUUAUGUACCUCUCCUUGGAAAAUGCCACCUCUUGGGAUUUCAAAAUAUGCGGCCGUGGCUAGCCAUCUGACAACGCCAAUUCCACCAAAGCCGCCGCAAUGGGGCAUAGUGUCCGAUUGAUUGCUUCAAACAGAGUACCCAAAACCCCUGAAAAUUAUUUCUUUAUUCAGAUAAUAAAAUUUCCCAAAUUUCGAAUUUUAAUUCCGUAUCAAAAAUAGGGUUUGAAUUUUGAUUACCUAGAAAUUGGAGGGUUGGGGCGAACACGGAGCGUGUCGGGAAUACCUACAAGGCUUUUGCAGUGUAUCAGAUUUAAAUACUGAAGCCCCGUAAGCCGUUCAAUCCAGGGGGAAAGCUCUUUGAUAGAUGUUCCAUCCAAGAAAAGCUCUCUUAAUCCUUCCAUAUCUUCUUUAAUGCUUGGAAACACCUCAAAUUUUGUACAACCGGAAAGAGAGAGAGAGACAAGGGACUUGAGCUGACAAAUGCUGCUUGGAAGACUCUUAAGUUCCUUGUAAUUUUUUAGUUUCAAAUGAUUCAAUCCUGUGAGAUUAUUAAUUGAUGAUGGCAAUUCUUUAAUUUUUGACCAUGAUAAAUCAAGAAUUUUUAACCCCUCAAUCACUUCUGAAAUAUCUGGAAACAUCUCAAGAUUCCAACAACCAUAAAAAUAAAAGGUUUUGAGAGAUUUCAUACGAAUGCUGCUUGGAAGACUCUUAAGUUUUUGACAAUUUGAUAGGUUCAAAUGAUUCAACCCCGUGAGAUUAUUAAUUGACGAGGGUAGUUCUUUAAUUUUUGACCCGGAUAAAUCAAGCUCUUCUAACCCCUCAAUACCUUCUGAAAUCGAUGGAAACAUCUCAAGGCUGGAGCAAUCAUAAAGAUUAAAGGUUUUCAGACACUUCAUAUGAAUGCAGCUGGGAAGACUCUUAAGUUCCUUGCAAUCUUUUAGGUUGAAAUGACUCAACCCUGUGAGAUUAUUAAUUGACAGGGGCAGUUCUUUAAUUUUUGACCAGGAUAAAUUAAGCUCUUCUAACUCCUCCAUACCUUCCGAAAUCUCUGGAAACAUCUCAAGACUAGAGCAGCGAGAAAGAUUAAAGGUUUUGAGAGAUCUCAUACGAAUUUUGCUGGGUAGAAUCUUAAGUUCCUUGCAAUUUGAUAGGUUCAAAUGACUCAACCCCGUGAGAUUAUUAAUUGAUGGGGGCAGUUCUUUAAUUUUUGACCUGGAUAAAUUAAGUUCUUCUAACUCUUUCAUACCUUUUGAAAUCUCUGGAAACAUCUCGAGACUGGAGCAGCCAAGAAGAUUAAAGGUUUUGAGAGAUCUCAUACGAAUUUUGCUAGGUAGAAUCUUAAGUUCCUUGCAAUGUGAUAGGUUCAAAUGACUCAACCCCGUGAGAUUAUUAAUUGAUGGGGGCAGUUCUUUAAUUUUUGAAUAGGAUAAAUUAAGUUUUUCUAACUCCUCCAUACCUUUUGAAAUCUCUGGAAACAUCUCAAGAUUGGAGCAGCCAGAAAGAUCAAAGGUUUUGAGAGAUCUCAUACGAAUUUUGCUGGGUAGAAUCUUAAGUUCCGCGCACCAAUUCAGAUCCAAUAAAACAAGGUUUGUAAGAGUCGAAAUAGACGCGUGAACCUCAACUAAGCUUAUACAACUUCGAACAAUUAGCCUCUCAAGAUUUGGCACAUUUGUGAAGUCAGGGGUUUCCUUAAGGGAUUGACAAUGACUUAAAUUGAUGAAUUUCAACUUUUCCUGCGUCUGUUAAAACAUUCAGGAAAACAUGCAUUACUUAAUAAGACAUCUCACUCAAAGCCCAAACAUUUAAAAGAAACAAAUACAUGUAAAUGAUUGUACGUACCUGGGUUCCUUCCCAAAGUCGAUCAAUGAGACUAUAUUGCAUGUCAAGUUCAACAAGAUUUUCGAAUUGAAAGUUGGAUGGCAAAGACUUGAGAGGGAAAUCAAGCCAGGAGAGAUACCUCAGGUUAAGCAACUUUAAGGACCCAAACAGGUAUUGUUUGCAGUACUCAUCUUUAAAAACGAAGUGCCUAUGACUGAUCUCGAGAAGUCUUUGUUGAGUCCUUCCAACAACAGCUUCAGCAUUUAAGUUCCUAUGAUGACUGAUCUUGAGAAGUCUUCGUUGAGUCCUUCUAACAACAGAUUCAGCAUUUAAGUGCCUAUGACUGAUCUUGAGAAGUCUUAGUUGAGUCAUUCUACCAAAAGCUUCAGCAUUUAAGCAUGGCCAGCCUGAGUACGAGAAAUCCACAAUUAUGCUUUCAACUGUUUUUGUAGCCUGUGCAAAUCAAAGUAAAGGAAAAUACAGAGAACCUUAGUUUUGAUUAUGAAAUUAAUGAUUGUUUCUUAAGGAGCCGUCUGAUAAUCAUUUCAUUUUCUGUUUAAUUGUUUUCAAUUUCAUUAUUACAACAAUGAAAACUAAAAAUUGAAAACAAAAAUGGUUAUCAAACGGGUCUAAGAAAUUGAUUUUGAUCAAAAGUUGAACCUUUCUACUAACAAUUGCAUAAGAAAAAUAUUUCUCACCGCAUUUUCAGUUAGCACCUGACGAACAUCUUCAUAACUCCACAACCUACUUCGUCUCCCAGGAUCUUUGAUAGAUUCUUGGCGGACAAUUUCCCAACCCAUUUCCUCUAAUGAAUCAUGCAUCUCCAAUUCCCCCAACCUUGAGACAGUUAUGAGAGAUCGAUCGAUUAGAACUUUUAUUCCUGUAUGAGGAUGGAAACCACAACUGUCCAGAAUUUCAGUUGCCUGGUCUUCCUUCAUCCCUUUAAAGAAACAUGCAAUAUCUAGAAAGAUGUCCUUCUGCGUGUCAUCUAGUCCAUCGAAGCUUGUUUUAAGCACAUCAUGAACUCCCCUUUGUGGGAUUUUCCUUAUUUUUUCCAACUCACCUUCCCACACGCGUAUGGUUUUUUUAUGCAAAAAAGCUCCCAAGACUUUGAGGGCUAAAGGCAGACCUUGAGCAUAUUCUACAACACGAUUCGAGAGAUCAUCAUAAUCUCUAGUGGGUUGGUCAUUUCUGAAGGCGUGCUGCCUAAAGAGUUUCAGAGCUCCAGAAUCACUCAAAGUCUUGGGAUUAUAUAUCACAUCAGCUAUGCUUAGUAACUGCGAAUCUCUACUUGUUAUAAUAAUCCUACUUCCACCACCAAAGGAAUGUUGCUCUCCAAGUAAAGCUUCAAUUUGUUCUAAUUUGUCCACAUCAUCAACAACAAUAAGAACUUUUCUCUGACCAAGGCUUUUUAACAUCACCUGGAAACCUUUACUCAAUAUGUCAGAAAUCCCCACCUUGUUGUCUGAGAUACUAGAUAGAAGUAGUGUCUGCAUAUGUAGUUCACCCUGCUUCAUGAAACCCUCCUUGACAUUUUUAAGAAAGCAACCAGCUUCAAAUCGACAAGAGAUUUCAUCAUAAACAGUUCUAGCGAUGGUUGUUUUGCCUAAACCACCCAUACCCCAUAUUCCAACAACGCGAACAUUAUUCGUUUCACCUCCGGGAGGAUAUAAUAAUAAAUGCAUUUCAUGCAUGUGAGAAUCCAUGUCAACCAAGCCAUUAUCUUUGCUUGAUGUUGAUGAGAUGUCUAUCAAUUUCCUAUAAACAUCUUCUACAAUUUCCUCAAUAAGCACCACAUCAUUCCUGUCAAAUUUAAAAAACAUAUAAUAACAACAUCAAAUAAUAAUUAAUGGGUCUUUUUCAUCUGUUAGUUAAAAAAAAAUAGAAAUUAAAACUAAAACUAAAAUCUAAACGUUACAAAAAUCCCAAAAAUUAAAAGGAAACUAAAACAAAUUAGAAUUUACUCAUAGUUUCGCGAAUCCCAGCCGGAUAAACAGGUGGCAGUUGUAAGAGUAGAUCUCCAACUCCGAACCUCUUCCAUUUCGGCGUUAGAAUCGCGAUCGUGCUCAGAAAAGCUUGUGCGAAACUUUUCUUGAGCUUACGAACAUGAGACGGAUCAACUUCAUAGAAAAUGGGGAGUACAAUCUGGUUAUUGGUAUCCUUGCAUUCCAGGAUUUGCACGAGUUCUUUCAAGCACCAAGUGGAAGAAGCAUAGUUUUGAGAGAAAACUACAAGCGAAAGCCUUGACCCUCGAAUCGCUGUCAGGAGCUCGGAAAGGUGGUCGCCUUUUCUGAGCUUUUCCGCAUCAAUGAAGGCGUUGAUUGGUUUCUUAACCAGAGCGUUGUAGAGAUGGCUGACGAAGCCCCUGCGAGUGUCUUCCCCUCUGAAAUUGAUGAACACAUCGUAUUUCCAACCAAGGUUAGAAGCAGCAGCCAUUAAUCGAUCGCACCUGGUCAGCGAUGAUCGAGCAGCUAAGACUAAGAAUAAUGUAAGAACAGAAAUACUCGAUUGAUCUAUAAAUUGAAUCACUGAAGAAACUGGUCUGAUCGAUACGAAGUCAACGAAGACAAAGAAAAUAAUGCUUUAUGUGUUUUCACAUCUUCUUCCGGGAAAUUUAACGAAAAUAAUUUUCCUUUAGGCAAAAUUGACUUCAAAAUAUAAAAAUAUUCUUUCAAUUAUGGACAUAUGACAUUUCGGUGUGAAACGAAUAUGCUUAUUUGGUUUGGUUUGGACCCAAGAAAGGACAAAGAUUGUCUGCCCUCCUACUUCCGGUGCCCUUCCAUGCCCUUCUGUUUGUGUAGUCACGGUUAAGCCACGUCAACAUUUUAUAUUACUAUUUAUUUUUGUCUUAUUAUCUCUAUAAAUAAGCAAUAUAAAAUAUUAACGUGGCAUAAUCGUGACCACAGAAAACAAGAGUUGGCACCAAAAAUAGGAGGACAAACAACCCUUGUCCCCCAAGAAAAUGCUAAGAAAGGAUGGUUUAGCAGCUGUGCAUGAGGGGACUGGGUCAAAGUACCCUGUUGAAUCCACUCUUGCCUACCCAACAACUUAUUUAGUUAUUUGUAAGCCCGAAAUAUAUCCCGAUCUUUCUAUUCACACCAAAAGUAAGUAGAGUGAUAAGAAAUAUUUCCGGUUAAGUAUAAGCAUGUCAGUCUGCAGCAGCAUAGCCACGUUAAGGGCUACCGUGGGCUGUAGUCUAUGUAAUUUUCAGUGAAAAAUAAAAUUUUACAUGUAAUUUUUAUUGAUUUUCAAAUAUACUUCUUCAUAUAUACAGUCUUUAAUCUGAAUUAUCUCAUUUUAAUUAUAUAAUUAUAUAAUACAGUUUACAAACUGUCUCUUUUUCUUACAUCAUUUUUCUCACCGCUUCUUGCACAUGUACAAGUUUGGAUUUUGUUUGAAUUUUAACACGUAUUUGUUUAAAAACGAAAAUCCUUGGCUUACAUAGUGAAAAUUUUCUUAAGUUAGCUGAUACUUUGAAAAAUACAGGAUCAAGUUUCUUUGUUUAUAAAGAUUUAAAUCUUUAAGCUAGCCCACCCGGUGAAAAAUUCCUAACUCCGUCAUGCAUUUUACAUAUAAUUUUUAUUGAUUUUCAAAUGUAGUCCAUCAUAUAUACCGUCUUUAAUCUGAAUUCUCUUGGUUUAAUUAUAUAAAAUUAUAUAAUACAGUUUACAAACCGUCUCUUUUCUUACAUCCUUUUUCUCACUGCUUCUUAUACAUGUACAAGUUUUGAUUUGUUUGAAUUUUAACACGUAUUUGUUUAAUAACGAAAAUCAUUGGCUUACAUAGUGAAAAUUUUCUUAAGUUAGCUGAUACUCUGAAAAAUACAAGAUCAAGCUUCUUUGUUUAUAAAGAUUUAAAUCUUUAAGCUAGCCCCCUGGUGAAAAAUUCCUAGCUUCGCCAUUGAGCAUGUGGUAUAUCCUAUGAUAUCAUGGACGGCAAACGAGCGAUUAAUGGUUGUUUGGCAUUUAAUUUGAUGUCACGGUAGUAACGGUACUCUAAAAUCUUUGAUAUACUUGCUUUCAGCUACAAAACUACUAGAACUCCGAAAAUUGCUUAUGAAAAUAAAAAUAUUGACUAGAUUUGAACUUGUAUAAUCUAUGUCUUCACUACACAUUGUUGUGUUCGCUCGUGUUCUAAAGUUGACGCUAGCUAGAAGGUCACAGCAAGAAGCAGAGGAGGCUAACUAUUGCAGAAAUUUGUUUAUUCAAAAGCAUUUGUAAAAACACAUAUUGAAAUUAAUUCACGCCAAAAAUAAAUAAUACAGUGGUGGCAGGCACACUACAACAAUAGGGUUUUAACCCUAUGCAUUUUUAUAUUGGCUUUUGUGUUAUCAGUUGCGACCGCUCGGUGGAGAGAGCAUUUUAUGUUAUGAAUAAAAAUACCACUGCGUAACAAAAUAGAAGAUUAAUGGUUGAGUGAUAGCUGGUUUGUUUGCAAUGAGAGAGAUGUUUUUGCUUUUAUUGAUAAUGAAUCUAUAUACGCGAUGUUUUCAUAGCAUAAAACAUCGCCGACAACAAUUGUAACUUUUUGUGUUGAUAAAUUAGGAAAGACAUUAAUAUUUUCUAAUAUCUAAAAGAAUUUGGAUGUCUACAUUUUUUUGGAAAACUUUUUACCCUUCUAAAUUUCGCGCCUCUCCCGACAAUUCCUAGCUUCGCCACUGCUAUAGUCAACUCCAAGUCUUGUCCAUGAUAUCAAUAUCCCUACUGUAAACGGUGACUUCAAUAUAAGCUAACAAAAAGUUUGUAUAGAGAAGAUAUAUGCAUGAAAAAAUGGCAGUGUUUGUGUUGCCGAACGGAUGAUACUGAAAUACCUAAACCCAAGUCAAGCUCCUUUAGUCCACAAAAACAAAAGUUUAGAAUACAAUAAUGUUUGCAUAUAGAUUGGAGAAACGACAUACCACCGGCCAGGAAGGUGCAGUGAAAGAGAGAGGAAAAGAGGAAAGAAACAAAUACGAAAUGACAAAGACUAUCAAAUAGAUUAUAACAAUGACUUCUUAGCGGUGAUCACAACUAUUCAACUAUCGAUGAUGCUUUAUUUUAGAUUGAGAUGUGGAAGCAUCUGAGAAGUAGCAUGUCAACAACCAUUACACAAUAAUAUUGUCUAAUAUCUAAAAGAACUUGGAUAUCUACAUUUUUUUAGAAUCUUUUACCCUUAUAAAUUUCGCACCUCUUCAGACAAUUUCUAGCGUUGCCGCUGCUUCAGUCAACUCCAAGUCCUAGUGGUUCUUGUCUAUGAUAUCAAUAUACCCAUUGUAAAUGGUGAUUUCAAUAUACAUAGAGUGUGUACAGGGGAGAUAUAUGUAUGAAAAAAUGGCAGUUGUUGUAUCUGUGUUGACGAACGGAUGGUACUGGAAUACCUAAACCCAAGUCAAGCUUCUUCAGUCCACAAAAACAAAAUGUUUAUUAUAUAAUAAUGUUUGCAUAUGGACUUGCGAAACAACAUACCGCCGGUUGGGAAGGUGCAAUGAAAGAGAGAGGAAAGGGGGAAAUAAACGAACAAGAAAUGACAAAGGCUAUCCAAUAUAUUAUAAAAUGACUUCUUGGCAGUGAUUAAGCUAUUCAAUUAUCAAUAAUGCAUUAUUCUUAAAGUUUAUAAUAUAAUAAUGUUUGCAUAUGCACUUGCGAAACGACAUAUCGUCGACUGGGAAGGUGCAAUGAAAGAGAGAGGAAAGGAGGAAAUAAACGAACAAGAAAUGACAAAGACUAUCCAAUAUAUUAUAAAAUGACUUCUUGGCAGUGCUUAAGGUGUUCAACUAUCAAUAAUGCAUUAUUCUUAGGUUGAAAUGUGGAAGCAUCCGAGAAAUAGCAUGGUAACAACCACACAAUAAACAAAAGUGAUUAGAGAAAAGAACCAAAUGUGAAAGGAUAAUUAAAAACAGUUAUUCAAGAUCGGCGGUAAAUCAUUCAGCUAUUUACAAGAUUUGAACUUAGAACCGCAAUCUACUAGAUUGUUGUAUCAACUAUUAAGUGGUGUUCUAAUAUAAUUCUUAGGAAUUUCAAGGAGGCAUAUGGGGGUGGAUCAUUUUUUUUCUAAAUUCGACAGUACAAAGAAGAAUUUAAUUGAUAACGGAAAAAAUAAGUUACAUAUAGAGCUGGAGCAUAUAAUAGACCCAAAUUGACCAUUUUUAGGCUCCACUGCUAAGAACUAUUGCAAAAUGCUCAUUAGGAUUACCCUGUGAACUCCGUCCUUCCACACCAAGCCUCCAAACUCAGUCCGAUAUGUUGCAGCUAGUUUAGAUACUUGUCCCCUGCAUGUUACAGAAUCACAAGAGCAAGCUUACAAAACUGCAGUUUUUACUCAUAGUUAUUGCAAAUGAAAAUACAGGUUGGUGCCAGCAAUUAUCAGUGUAAUUCUCUAUCCGACGGUAUUUCUCUCGCCUUCUCUUGAUAAUUUCGGAUGUGACAUGUUUAAGAUAACUCUUCCAAACACGUUGCUUAUGCCUAAUUUUUAAUACCACCAUAUCAUAUCAUAGUAAAUCCAAAUAACUAUCGAAUGGCAUUUAGGCAUCUAGAAUAUCAAAUGCAUUACUUUACAUUGAAAAUUCAUUUAUUCAAUAGCAUUAAUACACUAGUAAAAAAAACACUUUGCACGACGUAGGUCCUUCGUCGCGCAAAGUCAAAACAUGUCGCGCAAAACUUUGCCCAACGAACCUUCGUCACGCGCAAACCGUCGCAGCAAGGCAGUGACAUAAGGCUUUGCACGACGAAGGGUUACAUGCAUCGCGCAAAGCCACUUUGCGCGACGCAUGUAACCCUUCGUCGCGCAAAGCCAUUUUGUGUGAUGCAGGCUGCGUCGCUCAAAGUGGCGUCACGCGAAGAUGCUUUGCGCGACACAUGUCAUUGAGUUGCACAAAAUGACUUUGCGCAACGUAACCUACGUUGCGCAAAGUGUAUUUUUGGUUUUGGUCAAAAAUAUUAUUUUCUUAAUUUUUAAUAAUGUUGUAAUUAAAUUCUAAACAAUAAUUAAUUAACCAAAAAAAGUAUUUAAUUAUAAAAUAUAUGGAAAUGUACAUACAAGAUGUCCGAAUAAAAAAGAAAAAACUACAAGUAGUCUUCUAGGUGAAGUGGCUACUGGGUAUCAACAUGGUGAAGUGGCUUCUAGGUGAAGUAACAUUUCGAUGACGUGAAAAAGUUUCAAUUGGUCAUCUACAAGUGUCAAACCUAACACAUUUUACUUAAAAAAGAAAAAGGUAAUAACAUAACUCAAAACGAAAAGCAAAAGGGAAAAAAAAAAACUUUGCGCGACAUAAGUACAUAUGCAUCUCGCAAAGUUUUUUUUUCCCCCUAUUGCAGAUACAAAUAACAUCAUCCUUUUGCAAGAAUCAGUCUCUGCCCUCUCGCCCUCCCUCUCCCGCUCCCUCUCCUUCUCCUUCUCCCCUGUGUAGUUGUUGGUUGUGUUGUACGAAGUCGUCCCUCUCCCUCUCCCAUGUGUUGUUGUUCGUUGCACAAAGUAUUUUGCCCGAUGCAGGUGUACCUACGUCCCGUAAAGAUUUUUUUUUUUGCCCUUUUGCUUAUGAGUACAAAAUAAAUAAAUUAAAAUCUACUUACUAAAUCAACUAUGGAGCUUUUGACUUGUGUUAGAACACUGGAAAGAAAGACAAAAAGAGACAUUUUCAUGUUGACUUUGCACGACGCAUAGUACAUCAUGCGUCGCGCAAAGCUGUUUUGAGUGACGUAGUGUACCUGCGUCGUGCAAAGUUGGAAAAAAAACGGUAAAACAUUCUUGGUUUGGCCCCAAAAUCUUGCGCGGCGCACAAAACGUCGUGCAAGUGGUCUUUAUGCGACCAUACUUUGCGCAACGAAGGAGUGCGUCGCGCAAAACAGUUUUGAACGACAUAGAUGUACCUUCGUCGCGCAAAACAAUUUUGUGCGACCCACUCCUUCGUCGCACAAAGACCACUUGUGCGACAUCUUGUGUUUAGCGUUGCACAAAGUAUGUUUGCGCGACGAAAUUUGCUACGUCACGCAAACAUGUUUUUGUACUAGUGAUAACACACACAUUGAAUCUCCACUUGCCCACCCAAAAACUUCUUUGUAAACUAGAAAUAUAUUCCAAUCUCCCUAUUCACAUGAAGAGUGAGUUAGAGUGAUUGGAAAUAUCUUUGAUUACGUGUACGCACACCACAUAUGUGCCAUAUCCAACGGUAUUGCGGACAUAAAGCAAGCAAGUAAUGGUUGUUUGGCUUCUAAUCUGAUGUCACGGUAGUGACGGUACUACUUUGAAAUCUUUGAUGUAUAUGUUUUUAACUACAAACUACUAGAACUUCACAAAUUGCUUAAAUACAAGUUCAAGCAAUAAUAAGAAUAUUUCCAAUAGAACACCUUUCAUAGGGCCGGUCCAGAAAUUUUUGAGGCCCGGGACGACGUAAAAAAAAGUGCCCUAACUUCAUGUAAGAAAAUUAUUUAUUUUCACACGUAAGACAUCGAUAAAAUUAUACUUAGAAAAACACUUCAAACUUAAUAAUUUAAAAACACAUAAAGACUAAUUUAUUUUGUAUUGAGAGAGGGAAACAACAAAACUUCGGGCUUACAAGUAGAUAGAUGAUGAGUUUUGUUUUCCAUCUGAACUUUGAAUGUGUUUUUGAAUAAAUCAUGAGGUGUUUUUUUCUUAUUUACUAAUCUUGUCAAUAUGGGACUAUAAAAAAAUGAUGUUUUCGAGUCUUUAAUUGAUAUGUAUUAUUAAUGAAUUGGCACUAAAUUAAACAUUUUGAUGACAUGUCAUAUAAUUUGCAAAUUUGGUCUACGUAUUAUUCUUUGUUGAAGAUUAGACUUGAAUUAAAACGAAUAUUUAAAAAUAACAACCCACAUAUCUACUAGAUAGUAACUAAAAAUAAAUUAACAACCAAACAAAAAUUUGUAAAAAUUGAAAAGAAUAAACAUGCACAUAGCACUUCAAACAAAAAUCAUUGUUUCUAAGGGGGGUGUAUUCAAUUGAGAAUGUGAAAGAUUUUAAUGGAUUUAUAAAUCCAUGGAUUUUUAUGGAGUUUAAUUGAUUUGUAGAGAUUCCAUAUAAAAUUUUGAUUCAAUUCCUUCGAAAUCUCAUGGGAAGAGGUGAGAUUUGUGGAUACUUAAAAUACACUACGAAAUCUCUCCAAUUCCCUCUAAUUCUUUAACUUUCUCAAAUUCUUUAAAAUCAAUUUCUAAUUGAAUACACUUGGAAUGUUAUAAACUUCUUUAAAAUCUUAAUUGAAUACACCUGGAUUUCUAAGGAUUUUAAUAAACUAUUUUGAAAUUCUAAUUGAAUACACCUAGAAUUUCAGAGAAUCACUUAAAAUCCUAAUUGAAUACCCCUGGAAUUAUUAAUUCCCUGAAACUCUCUCAGAAUCCUAAUUGAAUACACCCCUCUAAGUAGACUUCUUGAUCCUUUUACCAAAUUUUAUAAAUUUAUUCUCUUAUGAAAAGAAAUUUGUAAAAAAUGAAAUGUAAAUAAGCACACAUGGUGUUUUGAACCCAAUACCUCCUCAUUAUUUUCAAAUGACAAACCACCACUUCUAGUUAAAUUUCUAUGUCUUUGAACCAAAUUUUAUAAAUUUAUACUCUUAUAAAAACAUACAUAAAUUGACACACCCCAUCCCGAAGGAGGGCAUGCUGGCCGUCACGUGAGAGUGACGUAACCAUUUGCACAGUACGGAAGCUUUAAGAUACAAUUUAUAAGUUGAUACACCCGAAGGUGAGUCCUAAUUUUGUCCAAUCUGUCAGAACACCGUCGAAUUCCUCGUAGUCACCACACCUUUGUGAUUCUUGAACCUGGAGGGGCGCAAAACCAAAAUUGAGUGGGUCAGUAAAACAAUUCUUUUCCAAAUCCAAACAUUUCUCAAAACGUUGUAACCCCUCUCCGUAAAACCUGUAUACUUUCCCAGAAAUGUAAAAUAUAAAUAUACAUAUAUAUUCUCAAAACUUCAUUUUUACUAUCUCAACAUUUUUCUUUAUCAAUCAUGCCAUGCCAUGUCUAAUUCAACAGUUAAAUAUGGAUGCAUCAACAAUAAUCAUAUCAGGUGCAAGAAAGUAAUCAACCGGAGGCCCUCUAAUAGCCCUGUACGGUUGAACCUAGAGCUCAAAAUCUAUCACUAUCACUCUACCGGAGUCACCUCUGUGACCCGUCCGGCCUUCUGCACACAAGUUAUGCUCUAGUGCUUUCUCAUCAAUCAUCUGUGCACAUAAUCUAAGGUCACCCACCAGUCGGAAUCUCACUAACACUCUCGCGACUGGCCUGUCGUACCCACUCCGCGUGGACUGUACGACUAGCAUCUACUUGGAUCCAAGGCGAGCGUGCGAUGCGGUGAAUACUAUAAGCACUAAACCAUUGGUGCAGGAUUUGAGCUCAAUAUAUAUCAACAUCAUCAUAACAGUAAUUAAAUACUCACCUGAUACUCACCUGUGCGUCCGCCGCACCAUUCAUUCAUAUGCAUCAUAUCUCAAUUCAUACUUUUCAUAUCAUUUCAUGCAUGGCAAUUCGAUUCACAUUUCUAUAUACUUUUCAUAUACUUUUAUGCAUGGCAUUUCAACUAAUAUAUCUCAUAUACUUUUAUACAUUUUCAUUAAAAACAUAAUUUCAUGCAUUUUCAAUUUCUGGGAAACGGCAAGUAUAUAUGUAUACGGAAAACAAAACUGCCCACUCACCUGGAGUUCGCCCUACAACUCCCUAGCACAAUACGCCAAGGCGUCAUGACGAUCGGCGCCUAAAAACAAUAAUUAAUUCCAACCUCAGAAUUCAUAGUGAUAGAAUAUAUAACUUAUAUAAAAUACGUCACUACGUAGUUCGAUCCGGAAGAUCUGCCACUCAGAUUUUAAAUCCAUAACUUCCAGAGGUCCACAAUAUACCUCUAGGACAACUUCCUAAAAUUUCAUUACCAUCCAACGGUCGGAUCUCCGUCAAUUUCCAAAACUAAGUGACGGUUAACAUUUUAUUUUAUGAACUUACAAUUCCAAUUCCGGAAGAUCCGUAACUCGGAUUCCCAAUCCGUAAGUUCCAAUAAUCCUCAAAUAUUACGUAUUACAACGUAUCAAAGUUUGGUAACGAUCCAACGGUCGGAUCGUCAAUUCACAUUUUCACCAAAACUAUAAAACGUUAUUCGAACACCUAACCAACAAUCCUUAAUAACUUUCUCAUACGGUGCUCAAAUUGGGUAUAUGAAUAUACCACGGUGAUCUACUCGACGUCACGGACGUCGACAUAUUUUUAAAAUAAUUUUAUUUAUUUAUUUUUUUUAACUGUAGCACCUUCUUCUUCCUUGGGUCGCCGGACUGGUUUUUCCGGCGGCCGUUUUCCGGGCAGUUUUUCAAAUUGUCAUAACUUUGUCAUUUCUCAACGAAAUCAAGUGAUUCAAAAACGAAAGUUGUAGCCCUUGAAGAGACAAAGAGAAUGGUACCUUGCACAACACCUAGUUCGCCGUGGUUUGGCCGGAAACUGCCUCGAAAGCCUCGGAGGUCGCCGGAAACUGGGUAUUUUUCAAAUGAGUAUAACUUCUUCAAUACUCAACGAAAUUGAGUGAAACAAAAAGGAAAGUUGUAGUACUUGACGAGACGAAGAGAUUGAUACCUACCUCGACUCCUAACUCGCCGGGGAUUCGCCGGAAAAUGCCUCGAAGCUCCGGCCAAACUUUGAACUUGUCGAUCUCCGUGUUCUUACGUCCAAAAACUUCCAACGAAGCACUCCGAGCUUCCUUGGAACCUCACUAAGCUCACUGUGAGCUUGGAUUGUCCUAAAACAAAGUCAAUUCGAAGAUCAUGAACAGUGCACUUUCACGGGGAGUUUAGAAUCUAGGUUUUUCCGAAGUAAAACUUACCUGAAAUUGGUGUCUACGUGAUCGUGGAGUCUCCAGGAGUUCGAUGGUGGUCUUAACUCCGUCGUUGGUAUAGAUUUAGGGUGGUUUUGGAGCUCGUCUGUGUGAGUUUGAAGGAGAGGGAGAGAGACAGAGAAUGAGAGAUUGUGAGGGAGGAGAGAGAGACAGGGUACGGGAAAUAGGGAGGGAUUUGAGGUGUGUGGUCCUACCUAACCCCAAAUCAUAAAAUUCCAUCUCCAAAUAACUUAGAAACAUAUAUUUCACCAAUAUAUGAUUCACAUAUCUUAAUCACGUUUAAGGGAAAUUCCGUCAAUUUACAAUCACGAGUGUAAAACUUUGGGACGGGCUGUGACAUAAAUAUAUCACCCUAAUAAUUUUGGUGCCCCUAAUUUUUCUGGGCCCUGGACGGUCGCCCUGCCUACACUGGGCCUAGGCCGACCCCCUUUCACAAUCCCUGGAGAGCUAGUUCAUUAAUAGACCGAGGAAUAAGUAAAUUGACUCAUUCAUAUAUUUAGAUCAUGAAUGUUUGGAAUCCAUAUUAUGUAAGGAGACAUUGCUUUUGCUAUUAUGAAAUUUAAAAAAAAAAAUGACUAGAUUAGAACUUGCAUAAUCUACGUUUUAUUCAUGGCAUGCGAUUAUUAAUGAUUAAAGCUAAGCUUAAUACUAUGGGAGGUAAAGUAGUGGAAAGCAAAUCCUUGGCACUCAUGGCACUUAUGGAGAAGAUGAAGAAAAGAAACCUAGGUCGUAUUUAUAUACAAACAUGUGACUAAAUUACAGAAAUGAUAACGAGAGAGCAUGUGAUUGUUGACAACCAGUGACAUGAGAAACACACUCUGGGAUCAUAUCCAUCAGAAGCCCAAUUCCAUCCUGUGUAAGAAAGAGAGCAUGAGAACACGAACAUGAAAAAUGAAAGAAUUGUAUUCAGCAUUUUGUCAAGCUAUCAAUUGGUACACAAGCAUUAUGAUGUAAUAAUCAUGUUAAAAUAAAAUAUAAAUAGUAAAACUACACGUCCAAGCUUUAAUCCAAAGAAUUCUCACUUAGUAGUCCAAAGCUAAUUGAUUACCAUUCGGUUGAUCCAGAAACACUCAACCUAUCCAACUAUUUUGCGACGUUACCAAAAACUACUACUACUUUCCAGGUGAAACAUGAAGGGUGAAAAAGCAAACAUGAAUCACUAGAUUUACUACAAAUGAUAUACCGAACAAUCUAACAGUAAAUAUCAACAAGACCAAUCCAACGUUAUCACAAAGCAUAUAUCAAUAAGAAAAAUAUAAAAAUAUUGUUACCUUACUGAAAGCUCCAAUAUUCGGUAAGGUAACAUUGGAGGUCACUAUCAUCUUUCCCGCGAUCAGUGAAUAAAAGCCAAAGAUCUGACUCUUGGAUUCGAGUCAUGGGUUUGGGUCGCAAUUCUCUCGUCGCAUGUUUGAAUACCAAGUUCAUCUUAACAGACUUGGUUUUUUUUAUCAAACAUCUUAACAUAUUUAGGGGUGUGUUCAAUUGGGGAUUUAAGAGAUUUUAAUAGAUUUAUAAAUUUAUAGAUUUAUAUGGAGUUUAAUUGAUUUGUAGAGAUUUCAUGUAAAAUUUUGAUUCAAUUCCCUCGAAAUCUCAUAAGGAGAUGUGAGACUUGAGGAUGUUUAAAAUACACUACGAAAUCUCUCCAAUUGAAUUCCUCAACUUUUUCAAAUUCUUUAAAAUUAAUUUCUAAUUAAAUUCAAUUGAAUGUUGUAAAAUUCUUUAAAAUCGUAAUUGAAUGCAUCCAGAUUUCUAAAUAUUUUAAUAAACUAUCUUAAAAUUCUUAUUUAAUACAUUGAAUUUUAGACAAUUACUUAAAAUUCUUAUUGAAUACCUUUAGAUUCAUUAAAAAAUUUAAAAUUUUUCAAAAUCCCAUUUGAAUACAUCACCCUUAAUAAAUUGUACAUUACAUUAUAUCCCAUUUGAGCACAUUAGCUUAUGCCUCCGGAUUCUGCAUAUCGGGUCGGGUUCCGAAGUUCGAGCUCACAUUUGAUAAUCAAAUUCAUCACAUUUGAUCCAACGGUGGUAAUUGGCAAACCCACCUCGGAGUCAAAAGAUGCGGCCCACGCUCCCUCUCUUUUCCAAAACCCUAGCAAAACCUCGGCCCUAUAAAUACCUUCCACAUCCGCCGCAGGAGGCACCCAAAUGCCCCUUUCUCUUCCCUUUCACACACUAAUCCCUCGCAGAGGCGAUGGGAUUCCCAGUUGCUUCUCCGUCGGAGAAACCUUUCCAACUGCUCCAUCUCUUUGCACCAUCGCCUCUGUUUCUUUUUUAUUUAUUUACUUAAUUAUUUGAGCAAUUUCCUUUAUCCUUGCCAUUCAUAUUUCAGAUUUUCAGCUUGUUUUUUUUUAUCCGAAAAAUAAAAUCGAAGUUGUAUGAGUUUUUUGCAAUUUUGUUGGGUGAGGCCGGUGAUGAUCGAAACAUAUUUUGCCUACAUUGCUUGAUUAUCUUAUUUUAUUGAGAUAAUGAUAAAAUCCGAUGUAUCUGAGGCCUUCCCGGAAGAACGAGCUUUAUUUUAUUUUUUAUUUUUUGGGUAAAAUGUAUUAUUUCAAAUCUUAAUAUUUCAAAAAACUGAAUUUUUAAAUUUCGACUAAAAUGAUGAGUUUUGUUGAUAUUUGCGAUAUAUCACUUAAAUAGUGAAGAAAUUCUUAAUUUCGUCUUAUUAAAUAUGUCAGAUUUUGUUUGAUAUUUUCUCGAUGUCAGAAGUCGAACUUAGAACUCUUAACCAUAAGAAUUGAAUUGAGCUACACUGGAUGCGUUGGAGAAAAUAUUAAUAACUGAAGGAGGAUUUAUGUUAUAACAAAAAUAAAAUAAAAAUGGUAUUCCGGUGCCAGGAUUCGAACCUGGAUGAAAACUCUUAACCAAUAAGACUUUUUGUGGUGAGCUUCACCGGACGACUUGAUAAAUCAUGGCGAAAUAAACUAUUUAAAUGUACUCCUUACGUUGUGCCGUAGAUAAACAAUUAGUGCACAUAAUGUAGUUAUCUGAUUUGUGGGGAAUGGUGAUGCUCACCGCUUAAUGUCGUCGUUGGAUCAGUUUAAGUUUUGAGAUCUGUGAAAUGAAUAAAUACAAAUUUAAAAAUUUAAAUUUAUUUAAUAAUAAUAAGUAUGGUAAUGAGAAAAAAAUGCAUCUUAUGGUUCAGAAACACACUCUCAAAUUUAAAUAACAAUUUUCAUGCUUUCCAACAACACAAAAAUUUUAUAACUAAGAAUCAAUCAAAACAUAAUGAUUGAAUGAGCGAGGAUUUCUUUUAUUUUUUCCAAAUUUUCUGAAGGUUUUUUCUAUAAAAUUUAUGGUGUCAUGAUUGCCUUAAAAGAAUCGUAAAUGUGUUCCUUGAAAAAUAAUAUGAAACCGUAUUUUGAGUUCUUAUGUUUAUUGUUUUAAUUCGAUCUAUCGUUUGAAGCCGCCUCCACCAAAAUAAAUUCAUAUCUAUAUUUUUUCUAUAACGAGUGAUUAAUAAAUCCAACCGUUUUUCAGCACCACAAAAUAAGUUACAACCCGAACACUAACGAGCGAUUAAUGGGUCCAACCGUUUUGCCACAUAUAUAUUUUCUUUUUAUCAAAACAUGCAAAUAUCUUCUUUACCAACUUGAAUCUCCCAUCGUUUGUUUUCUCUUCAUCCACAGAUUUGAUCUGUCUUUUUUGGUGAUCAAACCAAAAUUUUCUUGGACAUGAUUGUACAUACAACCAUUAAUAAACUAUCUCCAACAAAAGCCUAAACAUAGCCUCGUCCAAAAUUAUAGUCUUGCAAAAAAAUAUUUUUUUAAUAAACGAUGUCAAACUAUACUCAUGUACUAUCUUUAACCUGUAUGAAACCUUAAAAUGUAGUGAGCUUCAUCAGUUCAUGUUUAGUGCAAUUAUAUAGAACAAAAUGGUUGUAUUUCAUUUAGGAUUAGGACUUAUAUGUGUGACUUGUAAGGGAUUUAGAGCCACAAAGGAGGGAAACUUGAAGUUACAAUUAUUUGAAUUUGGCGACAGUUAAUCGAAGGAAAUUGCUUGUAACUGCAUCCUUGAUGGGAGGAUGAGUUGCGGAACGUACAUAUAUAUAUAUAUAUAUAUAUAUAUAUAUAUAUCACUUUGAUCUCUCUUCUUAGGUGUGUGUGAUCCCUCACGUAGAAAUAGUCCCAUUGAGUGUUCUUGGAUCAAUUUUGUGACCAAAGGAAGAGAAGAUAUCACAUCCUGGCCCGGGACGGACCACUUCCCGGGCCCACUCCACCACCGUAGCACGAUAUUGUCCGCUUUAGGCCCCGAUUAAGCCUUCACGGUUUUGUUUCUGGAAACUCACGAGCAACUUCUUAGUGGAUCACCCAUCAUGGGAGUGCUCUGCCCACCUUCUCACUUAACUUCGGAGUUCAGACAAAACCCGAAGCCAAUGAUCUCCCAAAAUGGCUCGUGCUAGCUAGGGAUGAGAAUAUACAUUUAAGGAUCACUCCCUUGGACGAUAUGGGAUGUUACAGAAGACAAAUGAUCAAACUUGUUGUCAAUGUCUUCUUCUACAAGUAAGUAAAUUCUCAUUACUUGUUAUAAUCGCUGCAUGCAUAAUGACACAAUAAAUGCAACAAUUAUCAUUCAAUGUUAAGAUUUCUGAACUAGGAUCAUGGUUUAAUUGUUAAUGAUAUAUAUAUCCAAGCAUAACCGAAAUAGCUAAACAUAGCCCCAUAAUAAUUUAUUAUUUUAAACCUUAUACUUUAAAUUAAUUAAUUAAUUUAAUUUAAUUAUCAUUGUAUGUUUUCAAAUUUAGCCGUUUAAUUUGAAUUAAUUGUUGCAACUGAGGAGCUGGAUCCCCAAAAAGGGCUAAGAGGGGUUCUAUAUUUGACCAACUUGAUACCCCUUAGGCUAAUAAUCAUCUGGUGGGCUCCAUAAAAUUAUAGUCUAGUCAUCGGUUGGAAAUAAAUUUUUAGAUAAAUCAAGGUCAUUUUUAGUUUUUAAACCUUUAGUCAUCUCAAUUGAAAAUGACCUUAUGUCUUUAUACGAUGUGCCUCCUAUUUCCAGCUUCAACUCCAACUGAAGGAUGUAAACGUAAUUAUCAUCUAUAGAGAUUCAUCAGAAUUUGAGGGGUUAGAUGACCCCUACUUGCCUCUUAAUGGAUUGGCCUAGGGGUGGGCAAACGGGUAUAGGAACCGCGGGUCGGGGCGGGUACGGACCGGUUCUUAUUUUGUAAAAAUAAAAAUGAGGCGAGGUAGGGCGGGCUUUUGAAAUUUUCGGUUCGGGCUGGUUCCUGAAGUAUGGUAGCGUUUGGUACGUGGGACGGGACGGGACGGAACGGGACGAGCCGUUCCGUCCCACGUUUAGUGCGCCUAAAAACUGUGGAACAGGUUGUUCCAUGGGACAAAAUUUGGCUGAUUUUUCGUUCCACCUCUUCCCCCUGGAACGACCCGUUCCACAUCUGUGGAACACAAAUUUAUAACAUUUUAUGACAAAAUUUCUCCUUAUCUUUUUCAAUAUUUACAUCAUCUGUUCCGUCCUGUUCCAUCUCGUCCCGUCCAGUCCUGUUCCGUCCCGUUCUGUCCCAUCUGCGUACCAAACGGUACCUAUAGGAACCGCGGUUACCCGGACCUGCCCGUUUGUAGUUAGAAUGGACGUAUAAGAUUGAAGAGAUCAUCUCUCCAUCCAAUCUGAAUCGUUGGUUUUAGGUUUGCUCAUCCUCAAACUUAUCGAAUUCAACUGUCACUCUUACUCUGUUGAUCGAGUCUCUCUCGCCGUCUCCAGUGCGUCGUCUCCUUCCCUCCACCACCCCGACAACACGACGGCCCAGACGACCACCAUCUUCUCGAUUUGUCACCUCUCUCUCACCUCUCUCUCGCCAUCUCGAUUUGACAUCCCAAGGACCCAGACUUACAUAACCCAGCCACCCCACCACCCAUCUUCUCGAUUUGUCACCUCUCAUUUGCCGUCUCGAGUGUGUCUUCCCCUCCUUCACCGAGGAGGACGAGAUUCAAAUCCUGCUGGUUUACUCCAAGGAGAUUAACAAGCGCAUGCUCGACACCGUCAAGUCCAGGAACGCCAUUGCUUCCGCUGCUCAAAACGGCGCCAUGGAGUCCGAGACUGUGAGCUCUGCGGUGGAAUGUACCGCUGUUGCCGCCAAUGAAGAUGCUAAGGCUGAAGAGCACAGAUCUCUCCAUGUGUGUUAGGUCACUCUUAGCUUCAUAUUAGCCUAUUAGAGCUUUCAUAUCGAGAUCUGUUCAUAUUUAUCAUGGAUUUCUUGUGAUGCCUAUAUACCUAAUGACCUGUUAAAUAUUUAAACUUUGUUAAUUUCGCUAUGCGCUUCAAUUUUCUGUGGAUUAUAUUAUCUGGGUUUCUGUUGUGAGUAUUGAUCUACUGAGUCUUGAUCUGCUUUGUUCAGAGAUGUUUAUGUUGAAGAUUUUAUAAGGAAGUGGGUGCAUUUGGAAUUGGAAAAUUAUCGAAAUCUUUCCUCUUGCAUUAUUUAGGUUUCCUAUUGCAUAAUCUGCUGCAUUAGUGAAUCUGUGCAAAUUCCAAUUUUUUUUUUUCUAAACAAAAAGAAAACCAAGAACCCGUGGACCCGGCCUGAACCGGCCCAUUUCAACCAGGCCGAGUAAGGUCCAAUUCCUAUAUAAGAAAAUGUAAUCCCCAACUCGGUCCGGCCCAUCUCCUUUGCACCUGGAUCCACCAGUGGCCAUAUGCUAUUGCCCUUUUAUUUUCUUUUUUCUCCUGCCAUGGGCGCAGUCAUGGGUAAGUAGGUAAGUUUGAUUACGCAAUUAAUUGGGCACUCUAGGAGACGCGUAGUGUUAGUGCAGGCUCAAAAGUCAAAAGGUUAAUGAGGAGUGUGGAUGGAAAGCCUGCCCUAAAUACGUUUGUAUUCCUUUGCUGAGUUACUGUACUCUGCCCUUUUCUCCUCUCUUCCUGGAAAAUUCACUCUAUUGAUCUCUGGCCGUGUUUUGCGUGGCAUGAAACAAAACGGUCAAGUAGUGUAUAACAAUUUCAAAAAAAAAGGUCAAAUAGUGUAUAACAAUUUAUCAUAUAGAAAGUUGAUGGUGCUGCAGAUGAUUAAUGAGAGUUUUAACGAAAAACUCACAGCACUGUUUACUUUAACGAAAAGCCACAUUUUUACAUUAAAAAGUCAAACCUAGUACUAUUCAUUUUAUCCUUUAUUUUGUCUUUAACAUUAAAACUCAAAGUUUUCAAACAUUUUUCAUUAGUUUUCCUAUGAUUAAUUGGUGUCCGUAGAAAUUACAUGAUAUCACUCAGACUUUAUCCAACAUAUUAGGCCAUCUCCAACAAAAGUCUAAACAUAGCCCCAUCUAAAAUUAUAUUCUUGUAAAAAAUUAUCUUUUAAUGAAUGAUGUUAGACCAUACUCAUAUAUCAUCUUUAACCGAAAUGGUUAAACACGGCCACUUAAUAAUUUAUUAUUUUAAACCUUAUACUUUAAAUUUAUUGGUUAAUUUAAUUAAACUACCAUUGCAUGUUUUCAAAUUUAGUUGUUUAAUUUGAAUCAAUUAUUGCAACUGAGGAGCUAGAUCCCCAAAAAGGGCUAAGAGAGGGUCUAUAUUUGGUAAGCCUGAUACACUUUUGGCCAAUAAUCGUCUAGUGGGCUCCACAGAAUUAUAAUCUAGUCAUCGGUUGGAGAUGAAUUUUUGAAUAAAUCAGGUAAUUUUUAGUUUUUAAUCCUUUAGUCCUCUUAGUUGAAGAUGACCUUAUGUCUUGCUUUAUAUGAUGUGCCUCCUAUUCCCAGCUUCAACUCCAACUGAAAGAUGUAAACGUAAUUGUCAGCAAAGAGUUAGAAACAUACCCGAAUCCACGUUUUAUAAGCAGAAACUACACUUAUUUGACAUGUUUCCUCAUUUUUUUUACUUGCAAAUUCAAAACCGUCUUGUCGGACCAGUAUAACAAAAUAAUGUUUACGAACAACUGUUAAAACUAAUCACAACAAGUUAAUGCAUAAAGAACUUACGGAUACGGAGGGUGCUAUGAGGCCACCGAAAAGGGUAAACCCCGCAAUAAAUGAAUUCACCUUGUGAUUAAUACUUUGCACAACUUUUUAUGAACCGACAAAAGGCUACAACAAAUUAUGGCUAAAACAGGUCGGGGAUAUGAAAAUAAAUGUCUUCACAGGGUCAGCAGCUUACCAGGGGAGGCAAAAAUGGAAUGAAUGAUGGAAAACUUGAUCUUCAUUUACCGCUCCAAGCUCUGCGCGUUUAAUCCGCUGUUGUAUCCUCAGCCUGCGAACCUACGCAUAUCGAAGCUCAUUCUUAAAGAACACAUUUCUAAUGGCAAUUGGAGAGUAAUUUAAAACAUGCUAAACUGAGAAAGUGGUAGCAACAAGCAAUUGCUCUCACCUCCUCCAUAUGCAAGAAAAUUUUGUUGCGACGACUCCGAAUAUUAUCUUGAAUUUCCUGCAGCUCCAUUGUCGCAAGGUCCUGCACUGUUUCAGGCCCCUCUAUGAUACAAAAUCUGCACAAUUAAGCAUGUAAAAACAAAAAUUUACAGGCUACAAAGCAAUUUCCAUAAUUUUUGGGUUAAUUAACAUCAACAGCAGAUAAAUCACAUGGGUUUUUCACAUAAAGUUACAAACUUUCAAAGACCAGUAAGCUGUCUGCAAUCUCAUAAAUUUCACAGUGCAAAGUAACAAUCCAAAGCUUGGAAAAUUUUCAUUUUCUGUUAAUUUCCUAGAGAGAGAGAGGGGGGAGUACCCGGCGGGGUUUGUAUCGGCGGCGGGAUUGGGAUCAGAAUCGACAGACGGAGCGAAAGAGGAGGAGUCGGGCUCCGAAGCCAUGGCCAGGGAUCACCAUCUGGAGCUGCUUGUUGAUAUGGGGCUUCUUGGGUAGCUGAAUUUGGAGCAGCCGGAGCUACGCAGUUUGUACGGACAGCACCGAUUUACGGGGAAAGAAACGGCAAAAAGUCUGCCGGAGCAGAGCAUCUCUCUCUCUCAAACCAGAAGGCAGAGCUUUCUGUUUCUCUACAGGUUUCUUUCACUGGUAAAUUCCGGAGAAGCAGAGAAGAAGGGUCAAAGGGCCAUGUAUAGUUUUAUAGUCAUACAAAAAAUUAUAUUUUAAUAAAAAAUGUAAGGCCAUAUUUUAUUAGGAAAAUUAAUGAAAAGGCUUGAAAACUUUGAGUUUUAAUGAUAAGGACAAAAUAAAGGGUAAAGUGAAUAGUACCAUGAUUGACUUUUUAGUGUAAAAAUGUGGUUUUUGGUUAAAGUAAACAGUACCAGGUGCUUUUCGUUAAAGUUCCCUAUUUUAUUCCAUAUCCAACUUAGUGGGCCAAUGGACCGUAGGCCAAACAUAGUCAUUUGACAAAAAUCUUAUCUCUAACCGAGAGAGCUAAAGGACCGUAGGCCGAAUAUAACUCCUUAAUAAUUUACUUUUAACGAGUGACUCAAUUAACUAUUUUCAUUUCUUACACGUUCAAAAUUAGACAAAUUCUUUGCAUACAUAAAAAAAAUAUAUAUAUAUUAAGGAGAGAGUAUUAAACUAUUACAUUACGGGUUUCGAACUCGCGAGAACCCUAAUGCCUCUCCACUAGGAUAUUAGACCAGUAAAUUAAAAAGAAAUAUUUAUAGAGGGCUGGAACCAGUCGAAGCUGGGGGGCUAGGCCCUCACGCCCAUAUUAUAUUACUUGAAAAAAAAACAUACAACAAGGAGGACAUAGUACUGAAACCCUGACAAUCAAAAGCAAAAUCAUAUACGACCACUCCAAGCAGUCAACAUAACCAUCACAUAUUGAAUCCAAAAGGUUGACGACCCAUUCGCUGCAUAUAAUGUACAGAAGAUAACAAAUUUUGAAGUGAUGCUCCAAGUAUGAUAUUGGGCAGAAAAGAGCGGCGGCUUCAACCACUUCUUCAGCUAUAUCCGGCUGGGUGAGAGCAGCUAAAGACAUGAUUGUUCCCUAAGAACAUGAAUACAUUGAGUAAACACCAAAAGUAACUGCUAGGGAAGGAGAUUUGAAGUAGAUUAAGAGGUUUAAUACCUGUGAAUGUCCAACAACAAAGACGUUGGAGCUUGUUGAAUACAUGCAGCGCAUCAUUUCUGAUAGAUCAAAUCGAGCCAAUUCCUGCCAACUCCAAUCCCAAAAAUCCUACAGUAAAGCAUAAAUCUUGUUCUUUUCUGAUAAAGAUGUGUCCCUGACUCCAACGUGUUUGACGCACAUUUUCUACCCAUACAUCGAAACCUUCAUCUGCUGGAGAAUUUAAGAAUCAUGCAUCACCUGGUUAAGAUCAAGAAAAGCCAGUAACCAAUUUCAAUUGAGUUUGAAGCACAUUAGAGCCCAAUUUAAAAUGUAUCCGAUGGAUGUUCAUCACUUCACACAAUAGUUAGUUUCAAGAAAGGAAAUUUCAACGCAACCUGAAAACUUCAGAUCAGGGGGCACCAAAUAGUGAGCUAUACAUUCAAAUUUUGAAAUAAUCAACGCACAAUAUGUUGAAAAAAGUUGGAAGGAGCUAUGAAAGUAAGGCUUUUCACUAAUCAGGCGUCCAGAGAAUCAAUAUUUUUACUCACGGAUCAGUUAGGGCGAACACUCCCCACCAAAGCAAUCUCAUUAGUACUUCACAUCUCAAACCAAACAGAAAUUGCAGUAACAAACAUGACAUCUAUUAGUCCUUCACAUCUCAAAUCCAGUAAGUACCCAUCUUUCGUCAGAAUCUGGAAAACAAGCAGCAGUGGAUUUAACAAUCUGGGUAUCUCAAAGUUACUCACUUUAAUCACAACAUAUAAAUGGGCAUUUUCUAGUGAAAUGUUAGUGUAGUACUCACUGUGUUGCUCCGAGCAAGAGUACCCAGAAAGCUCGAUGAGCUGAGCACAGAGGGACUGCAGUGGUGAAACGGCGACCGAUUCUGUAAAAUUCAGUCCGGUUUUGGGUGAUUUCUGAGGCUGAUAAGGAAAGCUGGGACGGAAGGGCACAAGUCUGGAAGAAAGGCUCUGGUCACCAUUGUCGCGAUUCGUGGAGGAAGAAGUGCCCCAAAACAAUUUCAGUCCUGAACAGGUGCACCGUUUGCACUGGGCCAGGGCCGACCCUGAAUCGCUAUAGCGUCCUUCUCCAAACAGUAUAUAUACAGAUGCUAGAAAUAUCUACCAGAACCAUUCAAAUCUAGCAUCUACAGCUUUAGCAUUUAGUUGGUACAAGGUACACUCUUCCGAAGGGAGAUGAAAUCAUUGAGGCUCUUAUAUAUUCCUCCUCUUGAUGUGCCCCUGUAGACUGCUAAUUCCAGACGAUCCAAUCUCAUACAUGUUCCCUGCAAAAGCAUGCGUGCCAGACUUCAAGAUCAAACUCGUUAGCGGAAUAAAUGGUGCACAAAGGGAUUUAAAAUCUUGACAUAUGUGUAUUUUUGGCAGAUUUUAUGCGAGCAUGCAACUAAAACUGGCAUCACUAUCAAUGGUGCACAAAGAUCGGCAGAAAAAACGUAAAGAGAAGCAAUCACAACGCAAAAUGUACGAAGUAAUCUGUCCACGUAUUGGGAAAACAUUAACACUGGAUGAGGGGAAUAAACAUGGAAUUUUGAUAAAAGUCAGAAUUUAUAAAUUGACAUGCAGUAAUUUUCUUGUUUGGAUUUAUAAACAUAUAAAUUUAGAAUUUCCGCGUGGGAAAAACAAAACUUGGAACUUAUGACCUCCAAUUCUCAAGUUUAAAUUUCAUGUAAAUAUGUGUCAUUUCUAAAUUUCCAUGAGAGAGUUUAAAGAUAACAAAUACUGUUAUUUCAAUUUCUAUCAUUUUAAAAUUUCUUAGUAAUCUUAAAUUUCCUCUUCCAAACAGAGUGUAACAGUUUGUAACUUCUCCAUUGUAUUUGUUCAACUAUGCAAUUUUCUGUAAAACUUAAAAGGCUGCUUAGCAUCUCUUGUUCGUUGUAUUGAAUACCAUGGUUUUACCGAUGAAUGCAAAGUUUGCUGAUGAUUCAUACGACAAGCAAUUGAAAAUCCCAUUAUUAUGCCCCACAUCAUUUACACAAAUUCAGAGGGCUCAUCCACUGUAAUUUGCAGGUACAGAAAUGUUAUGAUUAAAGGAAAUGCAAACUACCUUUCACCCAGAUUGGAGGAGCACCGGUGGCAUUAGCAAGUGAGCAACAGGAAUUGACAUACCAAUAUCUUCACAGUUUCCGCACAAGCACAAAUCAAAAGAAUCCGGCGGCGGAGUUAUGUACCUCUUCUUGGAAAAAGACACCUCUUGGGAUUUCAUAAAAUCCGGCUGUGCCUAGACGUCUGACCACGCCAAUUCCACCAAAGCUGCUGCAACGCGGCGUAGUGUCCGAUUGAUUGCUUCAAAACAGAGCUUCGUAUCCAUGUGUUUAUAAGCACAGAGUACCCAAAACCCCAGAAAAUUAUUUCUUUAUUCAGAUAAUAAAAUUUCGCAAAUUUCGAAUUUUAAUUCCGAACCAAAAAUAGGGUUUGAAUUUUGAUUACCUAGAAAUUGGGGGUUGGGGUGGAGAGGGACUGAGGCCAAGACGCAGCUAUGUGUCCGUGAUCAGGUGUGCCAAUUUACAGAGGGUGUCGGGAAGAUGCACAAGGCUUUUGCAGUUUCUCAGAUUUAAAUACUGAAGCCCCGUAAGGCGUUCAAUCCAGGGGGAAAGCUCUUUGAUAGAUGUUCCAUCCAAGAAAAGCGCUCUUAAUCCUUCCAUAUUUUCUUCAAUGCUUGGAAACACCUCAAACUUUGUACAACCGGAAAGAGAGAGAUAGACCAGGGACUUGAGCUGACAAAUGCUGCUUGGAAGACCCUUAAGUUCCUUGCAAUCAUCUAGCUUUAAAUAACUCAAUCCCGUGAGAUUAUUAAUUGACGAGGGCAGUUCUUUAAUUUUUGACCCGGAAAAAUAAAGAACUUUUAACCCCUCAAUCACUUCUGAAAUCUCUGGAAACAUCUCUAGACUCGAGCAACCAGAAAGAUUAAGAGUUUUGAGAGAUUUCAUACGAAUGCUGCUUGGAAGACACUUAAGUUCCUUGCAAUCAUCUAGGAGCAAAUGACUCAACCCCGUGAGGUUAUUAAUUGACAGGGGUAGUUCUUUAAUUUUUGACCCGGAUAACUCAAGCUCUUCUAACCCCUCAAUCACUUCUGAAAUCUCUGGAAACAUCUCUAGACUCGAGCAUCCAGAAAGAUUAACGGCUUUGAGAGAUUUCACAAGAAUGCUGCUUGAAAGACACUUAAGUUCCUCGCAAUGAUCCAAGCUUAAAUAACUCAACCCAGUGAGAUUAUUAAUUGACGAGGGCAAUUCUUUAAUUUUUGACCCGGAUAAAUCAAGAAAUUCUAACCCCUCGAUCACUUCUGAAAUCUCUGGAAACAUCUCUAGACUCGAGCAACCAGAAAGAUUAAGCACUUUGAGAGAUUUCAUACGAAUGCUGCUUGGAAGACACUUAAGUUCCUUGCAAUCAUCUAGGUGCAAAUGACUCAACCCCGUGAGGUUAUUAAUUGACGGGGGUAGUUCUUUAAUUUUUGACCCGGAUAACUCAAGCUCUUCUAACCCCUCAAUCACUUCUGAAAUCUCUGGAAACAUCUCUAGACUCGAGCAGCCAGAAAGAUUAAGGGUUGUGAGAGAUUUCAUACGAAUGCUGCUUGGAAGACACUUAAGUUCCUCGCAAUUAUCUAGGCUUAAAUAACUCAAACCACUGAGAUUAUUAAUUGAUGGGGGCAAUUCUUUAAUUUUUGACCCGGAUAAAUCAAGAACUUCUAACCCCUCAAUCACUUCUGAAAUCUCUGGAAACUUCUCAAGACUCAGGCAGCCAGAAAGAAAGGAAUUUAAGAGAUUUCAUACGAAUGCUACUUGGAAGACACUUAAGUUCCUUGCAAUCAUCUAGGAUCAAACGACUCAACCCCGUGAGGUUAUUAAUUGACGAUGGCAGUUCUUUAAUUUUUGACCUAGAUAAAUCAAGCUGUUCUAACCCCUCAAUCACUUGUAAAAUCUCUGGAAACAUCUCAAGACUCCAGCAGCCAGAAAGAUUAAAGGUUUUGAGAGAUUUGAUACGAAUGUUGCUUGGAAGACUCUUAAGUUCCUUGCAAUUUUCUAGGUUCAAAUGACUCAACCCCGUGAGAUUAUUAAUUGACGAGGACAGUUCUUUAAUUUUUGACUUGGAUAAAUCAAGCUCUUCUAACUCCUCCAUACCUUCUAAAAUCUCUGGAAACAUCUCAAGACUGGAGCAGCCAGAAAGAUUAAAGGUUUUGAGAGAUUUCAUACGAAUGCUGCUGGGUAGAAUCUUAAGUUUCUCGCACCCUUUCAGAUUCAAUAAAACAAGGUUUCUAAGAGUCCUAAUAGACUGGUGAACCUCAACUAAGCUUCUACAACCUUGAAGAAUUAGCCUCUCAAGAUUUGGCACAUUUGUGAAGUCAGGGGUUUCCUCAAGGUAUUGACAAUAACUUAAAUUGAUGACUUCCAACUUUUCCAGCGUCUGUUAAAACAUUUAGGAAAGCAUGCAUUACUUAAUAAGACAUCUCACUCAAAACCCAAACAUUUAAAAGAAACAAAUACAUGUAAAUGAUUGUACAUACCUGGGUUCCUUCCCAAAGUCGGUCAAUGAGACUAAAUUGCAUGUCAAGUUCAACAAGAUUUUUGAAUUGAAAGUUGGAUAGCAAAGACUUGAGAGGGAAUCCAAACCAGGAGAGAUACCUCAAGUUAAGUAACUUAAAGGGCCCAAUCAAGUGGUGUUUGCAGUAAUCAUGUUUAGAAAUGGAGUCCUUAUGACUGAUCUUGAUAAGUCUUAGUUGAUUCAUGCUAACAAAAGCUUCAGCAUUUAAGCAUACCCAGUCUGAGUACGAGAAAUCCACGAUUAUGCUUUCAACUGAUUUUGUAGCCUGUGUAAAUCAAAGUAAGGGAAAAUACAGAGAACCUUAGUUUAGAUUAUGAAACUAAUACUUGUUUCUUAAGGAGCCGUUUGAUAAUCAUUUUGUUUUUAGUUUAAUUGUUUUCAAUUUUCAAUUAUUAAAACAAUAAACACUAAAGGUUGUACCCAGUGCACAAGGCUCCCGCUUUACGCAGGGUCUGGGAGAGAUGAAUGUUGGCUAGCCUUACCCCCAUUUAUGGAGAGGCUGCUUCCAAGUCUCGAACCCGAGACCUACCGCUCAUGGGCGAAGGCACUUGUCAUCACACCAAGUGCGACCUCUUAUUAAAACAAUAAACACUAAAAAUUAAAAAUUAAAAACAAAAAUACUUAUCAAACGGACCUAAGAAAUUGAUUUUGAUCAAAAGUUGAAACUUUUUAUUGACAAUAAGAAAAAGAUUUCUCACCGUAUUUUGAGAUAGCACGUGAUGAACAUCUUCAUAACUACACAACCUACUUCGUCUCCCAGGCUCUUUGAUACAUUCUUGGCGGACGAUUUCCCGACCCAUUUCCUCUAAUGAAUCAUGCAUCUCCAGUUCCCCCUCCCCUGAGACAGUUAUGAGAGCUCGAUCGAUUAGAACUCUUAUUCCAGUAUAAGGAUGGAAACCACAAACUUCCAGAAUUCGGGUUGCACAGUCUUUCUUCAUCCCUUUAAAGAAACAUGCAAUGUCCAGAAAGAUGUCCUUCUCCUUGUCAUCUAGUCCAUCGAAGCUUGAUUUAAGCACAUCAUGAAUUCCCCUUCGUGGGAUUUUCCUUAUUUUUUCUAACUCAUCUUCCCACUCGCGUAUAGUUUUGUUACCAAGAAAAGCUCCCAAGACUUUGUGUGCUAAAGGCAGGCCUUGAGCAUAUUCUACGACAUGAUUCGAGAGAUCAUCAUAAUCUCUGGUAGGUUGGUUUUUUCUGAAGGCGUGCCGCCUAAAGAGUUUCAGAGCUCCAGAAUCACUCAAAAUCUUGGGAUUAUAUAUCACAUCAGCUAUGCUUAGUAAUUGCGAAUCUCUAGUUGUUAUAAUAAUUCUGCUUCCACAACCAAAGGAAUGUGGCUCUUCAAGUAAAGCUUCAAUUUGUUCUAAUUCGUCCACAUCAUCAACAACAAUAAGAACUUUUCUCUGACCAAGGCUUUUUAACAUCACCUGAAAACCAUUUUUUGAUAUGUCAGAACUCCCCACCUUGUUGUUCGAGAUAUUCGAUAGAAGUUGUGCCUGCAUAUGUAGUUUGCCAUGCUUCAUGAAACCUUCCUUGAAAUUUUCAAGAAAGCAACAAGCUUCAAAUCGAUUAGCGAUUUUAUCAUAAACAGCUCUAGCGAUGGUUGUUUUGCCUAAACCACCCAUACCCCAUAUUCCAACAACGCGAACAUUAUUCGUUUCACCUCCGGGAGGAUAUAAUAAUAAAUGCAUUUCAUGCAUGUGAGAAUCCAUGUCAACCAAGCCAUUAUCUUUGCUUGAUGUUGAUGAGAUGUCGAUCAAUUUCCUAUAAACAUCUUCUACAAUUUCCUCAAUAAGCACCGCAUCAUUUCUGUCAAAUUUAAAAAACAAUAUAAUAACACCACCAAAUGAUAAUUAAUGGGUCUUUUUCAUCUGUUAGUUUUCAAAAAAAUAGAAAUUAAAACUAAAAACUAAAUAUUUAUCAAAUUACCCCUAAACGUUACAAAAAUCCCAAAAAUUACUAGGAAACUAAAACAAAUUAGAAUUUACUCAUAGUUUCGCGAAUCCCAGCCGGCUAAACUGGUGGCAGUUGUAAGAGCGGAUCUCCAGCUCCGAACCUCCUCUAUUUCGGCGUUAGAAUCGAUAUCGUGCUGAGCAAAAGCUUCCGCGAAACUUUUCUUGAGUUUACGAACAUCAGACGGAUCAACUUCAUAGAAAAUGGGGAGUACAAUCUGGUUAUUGGUACCUUGCAUUCCAGGAUUUGCACGAGUUCCUUCAAGCACCAAGUGGAAGAAGCAUAGUUUUGAGAGAAAACUACAAUCGAAAGCCUCGACUCUUGAAUCGCUGUCAGGAGCUCGGAAAGGUGGUCGCCUUUUCUGAACUUUUCGGCAUCAAUGAAGGCGUUGAUUGGUUUCUUAGCCAGAGCGUUGUAGAGAUGGCUGACGAAGCCCCUGCGAGUGUCUUCCCCUCUGAAAUUGAUGAACACAUCGUAUUUCCAACCAAAGCCAGAAGAAGAAAAAGAAGAAGAAGAAGAAGCAACCAUUUAUCGAUCGCACCUGGUCACCGAUGAUCGAGCAGUUAUGACUAAGAGAAUUGUAAGUACAUAAAUACUCAAUGAGUCAAUGCAAAAGGGAAAAAGCGAAAAGGAAAUGGUUGUGAUAUCCAUACUUUAUUUUACUUUUUUAUACAUUUUUGAUAAUUUAUUUUUGUUAAUUUUUUUUAAUUCAUCUAGUUUUACAUUUAAAAAUUAAAAAAAUUUAUGAGAAGUUGAAAUGUGUGAAUAUCACGUCCAAAGGAAAAUUAUGCUUUUAUGUGUUUUCAGAUCUUCUUCAGGGAAAUUUCGAUGGGAAUGGAAUCUGCAUGCUUUUGAUUUUUAACCCAAGAAAAUGCCAAGAAAGGGGUCAAAGUAGUAAAUUUAAUCUACACUUGCCUACCCAACCACCUCUUAAUUUAAUAUAUUUAAUCGAGAAAAGUAGGUUAGAGGAAGGAUGGUAUCUCCUUUUCCUCUCUCAGUCUUCCAGCAUGCCAUUUAAUCAUGAUUAAGGCUAAAGCUUAAUUAUAGAUCUUGAUUGGAUUAUUAGUUUCCGUUGUAAUAUGGUGGUUAGAAGAUUAAAAAAAUUAUGAUUUAUGCUUUCAUAUGCUAACAAUUAAUGAAGAAUUAACAAAAUUUUAAAUUUUAAAUCUAAAUCCUAACAUAUUUUACCAUAGAAGCUUAAAUCUUAAUUUACUUAUCACAUGGAUUAUUUUAUAACUACCUUACUAUUAAUUCAAUUAAACCUAUUAUUUCUACGAAAACUAAAGAAAAGUUAAAAAAAAACUUUAGUUUUAAUGAAAAAAGAAAAAUGAAUGUGUAGUAAAUAAUACCAGAAAAAAAUAAAAAAAAUAAUUUUUUAUUAAAAAUAAACAGUAUAAAAAAUGUUGCAUUAAUACUCUCAUUAUUUAUUUACAAAUACGUGACUAAAUCACAAAGUGUUAGAAUGAAAGGGAGCGCUCAAAACGAUGAAAAGCAGGAGCACAGAAAGCUAUCUCCGUUUCUUUGUUGAGCGGACAACUGUUUAUUUGUCGUUCUUUUGGCAGAUAGCUCCUAAUGGCCCAUUUCCACAGCUGGUUAUAGGAUUCUGUUGCUAUAUAAGAAGUGUUUUGUUGUAAUUCAAUAUCGAUGGAAAUUCAACAGGAUCUUUUUCAAAAUUUUGUGAGGAUUUUGGGGUGUUCGUGAAUCUUGUUCAUCGUAUAUUGUGUAGUUGUUUUUUAUCGAAUAUUAUUUUUGUUUAAUUUUAAAUAAAGUAAUUUAAAAUAAUUUUUUACUGCAAGAUGUAUGAUGAACGUAUAUGAUUCACAGAUCUCCAAAAUCCUCACAAAGAAAAUCCAAAAAUGAUCUGAAUUCAAUGGAGAUAAGUUAAUUUUGAAUCAAAUAACAUUAGGAAAGAAAAAUAACAUUAGACGCCAGUCGGGCGAAGGAUUGGAGCCUAGUGCCUAGGCAGCUAGGCGAAGCCUGGGCGAUUAGGCGGCUAGGCGGCCUAGACGGUUUUAAAUAAUUUAUUGUAUAUUUGUAUAAAAUUAUUAUUAGCACUUCAAAAAUCUCAUUUUAUACUCCAAAUUUUCUAUAUUAAAAAAGAAAAAUACACUUAUGAUGAGUGUAGAAUGAGAUUUUUGAAAUGCCAAUACACUUCUCUAUUUUUAUUAUAUAAAUCAGUUGGACUUAAAAAAGAAAAUAAAGAAAAUAAAACAUUGUUCAAAAACUAAAACUCUAUAAAUAUAAAAAGUCAGGUCUUGAUUUAUCAUUACAAUUGAUAAAUAAAGGAGUGUGCUAUCUACACAACUUUUUUUACUUCUCACUCCUAAAUAAAAAAAUGAUGUGUGGAUAUCACAUCCCUAAAUAAAAUAUAUAAAUAUAGAUAGUUGGAGGAUAUCCAAGAGACAUUCUUUGGAGGAUUUUAGAGAAGAAAGGAGUACGAGUAUAUAUCCAAGCUAUAAAGGAUAUGUAUGAAGGAGCAAAGACUGCCGUAAGAACUCAUGAAGGACAAACCGAAAGCUUUCCCAUAACUGUAGGAUUACAUCAAGGCUCAUCCUUAAGUCCUUACCUUUUUGCGUUGGUAAUGGAUAAGUUAACAGGACAUAUUCAAGAUGAUAUUCCUUGGUGUAUGCUUUUCGCAGACGAUAUAGUGUUGAUAGAUGAAACUCAGGAAGGGGUAAAUGCAAAGCUUAACCUUUGAAGAGAAGUGUUGGAAUCUAAAGGUCUUCGCCUAAGCCGAUCAAAGACAGAAUAUAUGGAGUGCAAGUUCAGUACAAAUGAAGGCCAAAACGAGUUAGGGGUGAGGAUCGGAGAUCAAGAAAUACCAAAGAGCAACCGUUUUCGUUACCUAUGAUCUAUCUUGCAAAAGAACGGAGAAUUAGAUGGAGAUCUCAAUCAUAGAAUGCAAGCUGGAUGGGUGAAGUGGAAGAGUGCAUCCGGCGUGUUGUGUGACCGCCGUAUGCCACUGAAGCUCAAGGGAAAAUUUUAUAGGACGGCAAUAAGGCCGGUGAUGCUGUAUGGCACAGAAUGUUGGGCAGUGAAGCAUCAACACGUACACAAAAUGGGUGUAGCGAAGAUGAGGAUGCUUCGUUGGAUGUGUGGGCACACGAGAAAGGAUAAGAUUAGGAAUGAGGAUCCGGGGUAAAGUAGGAGUAGCCGAAAUUGAAGGAAAGAUGAGAGAAAAUCGGUUACGGUGGUUUGGACAUGUGCAAAGAAGGCCUACUGACGCUCCGAUUAGAAUAUGCGACUAUGGGACAGAGGUUCAGGGCCGAAGGGGUAGAGGAAGACCUAGGAAAACUUUGGAAGAGACUUUAGGAAAAGACUUAGAGUACUUGGAUCUAACGAAGGACAUGACACAGGACCGAGCACAAUGGCGUUCUAAGAUUCAUAUAGCCGAUCCCACUCAGUGACUUGGAUUUUCCAAGUCUCCAACCGAGAAGUUUUCCUCACUCGGGAAAUUAAGGGAACACUACCUCAACCUACAUGCUCCACUCACAAAGCUUCAACAAAAGAAAAUUCAAAGAACUUAGCGAAGAAUGAUUUGGUGUAUUUAACACAAACGUUGAAAUGAAGGAAAGCUUAUUUAUUGAUAUUCCCGAUAAGCUACAAAUAUGUACAUAUACAUAAGGUUGCUUAGGAGAAGUCUCAGCAGCCGGUAGAGCCCCAGAAAGAGAAGGCACCAGAGGGGGAUCAUUCGGAGCCUCAGAACUGGACAGAACCCUAGAAGGAUGAGGCAUCAAAGGUUGAUCAUUUGGAGCUUCAUUACGCGGUACAGCCCCAGAAGAUGAAGGCAAUAAAUGCCUUUGGAACAAACCCACAAAUCUCUGAUGAUCAAGUAAAACCUGACCAUCAGAUUCCUUCAUCUGGUCAAGCUUCCUCUUCAUGUUUGUAGCAUAGUCAUGUGCGAGCCGGUGCAACUGUUUAUUCUCAUGCUUGAGCCAUCUAAUCUCCUGUUUGAGACUCAUCACUUUAGCCGCCAAUGAUUCAACUUGGCGGGUUCAAGCAAAUAGGCGUUGGGCCGUAUUAGACACAGAACCUGCACACUGAACACUGAGAGCCAGCGAAUCCUUAACAGCUAACUCAUCAGACCGUUUGGAAAGUAGUUUGUUAUCUUUGGGAGUGAGAAGGUUCCUGGCCAUCACCGCAGCGGUCAUAUCAUUCUUCAUUACGAAAUCCCCAACGGUAAGAGGACCAGUAGGGGAGACGAAGGAUGUGCGCCAUAUGUUGUCUGGAGAAGGCGGGGCUGCCUCUUUAACAAGGUUCAAGUCAAAACGACGGUCGGAGGGGCCAGACAUUUUCAAAGGUGUUGAAGAGAGAAGAUGUCGGAUAAAUCAAGAUCUUAGAAGUGCAAGAAUGGAGCUUCUACUGGUGGAUUUCAAGUGUGCUUUAGAACUUAAUGACAGCCCCUAUAAAAAUCUGCACUCGACGGAGCUUCAGAAAUCGAAGAGGCGUUUGCUUUCUCAAAAGUUGGGCUGCUCAAAGACCACGAAGGCCAAUCUCAGAAAUCGAAGAGGCGCUCGCUUUCUCAAAAGCUGGGCUACUCAGAGACCACGAGGGCCGAUCUCAGAAAUCGAAGAGGCACCUACUUUUCCAGCCUUGUCAGCACCUGUCACACGCACACUCAGCUUUGCGGAAAUUAUGGGCAUUCUGUCGAAGACUUCUGGUGAAGUAAAAAGCACAUGAAUCUUACUGUUCAAUCACCCACUUCCCACACGCAACAAUAGCUCAUGGGUACCACAGAUAACUUUGCCAAAGUUGAGCACGUGAAGCUUGCAGCUCCUACUACAUCGCUCUGACCAAGAAGGGUAAAAGAAUAGCAAAGAAACAGCACUAACAAAGUUUAGACCCAUAAAUUUUGAAGGUCUAGCUACCAUAUUAUUACCCACAAGGGUAAAGGAACAGUACCACUGCUGGAUAAUUGGAAAGUCCCUGUGUGUCAACCUCUGUGCUUCGUGGCAAGGUAGACUAGCAAACAUGCCCAACCUUUACUCACAUUCGAGAAAACACUCCCAAUAAGAUUGCUUGCUCCAAAAUCGAAGAGGCACCGUCCUCCGAAUCUCGAGAGCCAGACUCCCAACAUGAAUACUUUCUCAAAAAAAUCGAAGAGAGGGUAAAGGAACAGUACCAUUGCUGGAUAAUUGGAAAGUCCCUGUGUGUCAACCUCUGUGCUUCGUGGCAAGGUAGACUAGCAAACAUGCCCAACCUUUACUCACAUUCGAGAAAACACUCCCAACAAGAUUGCUUGCUCCAAAAUCGAAGAGGCACCGCCCUCCGAAUCUCGAGAGCCAGACUCCCAACAUGAUUACUUUCUCAAAAAUCGAAGAGACACUGCUAUCCCGAAUCUCGAGAGCCAGACCCCCAGCAUGAUUGCUUUCUCAAAAAUCGAAGAGGCAUCGUUCUCCGAAUCAAUCGAAGAGGCGCUCGCUUUCUCAAAAGCUGGUGGGCUGCUCAGAGACCACGAGGGCCGAUCUCAGAAAUCGAAGAGGCACCUACUUUUCUAGCCUUGUCAGCACCUGUCACACGCACACUCAGCUUUGCAGAAAUUAUGGGCAUUCUGUCGAAGACUUCUGGUGAAGUAGAAAGCACAUGAAUCUUACUGUUCAAUCACCCACUUCCCCACACGCAACAAUAGCUCAUGGGUACCACAGAUAACUUUGCCAAAGUUCUCUGCCAAAGUUGAGCACGUGAAGCUUGCAGCUCCCACUACAUCGCUCUGACCAAGAAAGGUAAAAGAAUAGCAAAGAAACAGCACUAACAAAGUUUAGACACAUAAAUUUUGAAGGUCUAGCUACCAUAUUAUUACCCACAAGGGUAAAGGAACAGUACCACUGCUGGAUAAUUGGAAAGUCCCUGUGUGUCAACCUCUGUGCUUCGUGGCAAGGUAGACUAGCAAACAUGCCCAACCUUUACUCACAUUCGAGAAAAACACUCCCAACAAGAUUGCUUGCUCCAAAAUCGAAGAGGCACCGUCCUCCGAAUCUCGAGAGCCAGACUCCCAACAUGACUACUUUCUCAAAAAUCGAAAAGGGUAAAGGAACAGUACCAUUGCUGGAUAAUUGGAAAGUCCCUGUGUGUCAACCUUUGUGCUUCGUGGCAAGGUAGACUAGCAAACAUGCCCAACCUUUACUCACAUUCGAGAAAACACUCCCAACAAGAUUGCUUGCUCCAAAAUCGAAGAGGCACCGCCCUCCGAAUCUCGAGAGCCAGACUCCCAACAUGAUUACUUUCUCAAAAAUCGAAGAGACACCGCUCUCCGAAUCUCGAGAGCCAGACCCCCAGCAUGAUUGCUUUCUAAAAAAUCGAAGAGGCAUCAUUCUCCGAAUCUCGAGAGCCAGAUCAUCAAUAGGAUUGCUUGUUCGAAAACCGAAGAGGCACCACUUUCCCAACUUCAAGAGCCGGAUCUCCUUGGAUAAAGCUUGUCUAUAAUCUUCACACGGAACAUCAGCUUUCCAGAUACCACAGACCACUUUUUCAAAGUGCUCUGACAGAGUUAAAACAUGUGAAGCUGGCAGGUCCCACUACCGUGCUAUGACUAAGCAGGGUAAAGGAAUAGCAUUACUACUUGUUGUUAGGGAGACUCCUAUAUAUGUCGACCUCCAUCCCCAACGACAGGCAGACCUGCAAAAAUGCUCAACCCUUCCUCAUAUCUGAGAGGCCACUCCCAACGAAGCCUUUCAAAAUAUUCAGCUUUCUUCCCCCUCCCCGAUAAUACCUCUGCAAACAAGCUAUACUAGAGCAAGAAUAUCUCAUAUCAUCAGGGUUAAAAGCAAGAGUAUCCCAUAUCAUGCUUUUUCCCUGUCUUUUCCUUUGGCCUUGUUUUUACCUGCAAGACAAGGAGAAAGAGAGCAAUCAGUCAGCACUUGGAAUCAAGCUUCCAGCCAGGAACUGACUGCCUGGAACCCCUUACCUGAUUACUUACCUGGCAUUGCUCUCGAGUACUCAUCUUCAACAUCUUAUGUUUCCAGGGAAGAUUACCGCAUCUGCCUUGAGGAACAGAUAGGGCAAGUGCGAAGGAUACAAGGAAGCAUGUGGAGACAAGCGUAACAGCACACGUGCCGAUACAUCCAUUACUCUGUCAAAAGCAAAAGUAUCCCAUAUCAGCAGGGUCGAACGUACUCUAGAUUUGAUGGACUUGUUUUGACCCUCAAAUUCUUCAGUCGGCCUUAUACUCUGGAGGAAACCAGAAAACCCUCCAGCUCAGUUCAAGAAUAAGCCUGUGGAAAGUUACUUCUUCAAAAGCAAAAGUAUCUCAUAUCAUCUCUUCUCAUUUUUCUUCUCUUUAUCCUUCAUGCUGCCUGCAAGAUGGGGAGAAGGUGAACAAUCAGCCGGAGCUCUGAUUGCUUACCUUGUCUGUCACCUCUUUCAGCAGAUCCCCUAGCUCGGCGACUUGGGGGACUCCUACUACAUGGUUUGUAUCGCGCUUGACCAAGCCUGAAACUACAAGUAAGCUUCAAGUGAAAUUGAUACAUUACCUUGUGCAUCUCCACCAGUUAAAGAUACCACCCCUGGAUGGAGGAAGAGUACUUCCAGAGAAGAUGCCACAUCUACCUAUGAGACAGAUAAGGCAAGUCAAGACGAUACCACACUCCGAUACUUAGAAGUUUCGUGAUUACGAGAUCAUUCUCCCACAAUAUUUCCUAAUGUCAUUUGUACUAAAUCAUUCACUUGUACUCACUAAAGGAGAGCUUGAACCUAUGUACUUGUGUAAACCCUUCACAAUUAAUGAGAACUCCUCUAUUCCGUGGACGUAGCCAAUCUGGGUGAACCACGUACAUCUUGUGUUUGCUUUCCUAUCUCUAUCCAUUUAUAUACUUAUCCACACUAAUGACCGGAGCAAUCUAGCGAAGAUCACAAAAAGCAACCGUUUUCGCUACCUAGGAUCUAUCUUGCAAGAGAACGGAGAAUUAGAUGGAGAUCUCAACCAUAGAAUACAAGCUGGAUGGAUGAAGUGUAAGAGUGCAUCCGGCGUGUUGUGCGACCGUCGUAGGCCACUGAAGCUCAAGGCAAAAUUUUAUAGGACGGCAAUAAGGCCAGCGAUGUUGUAUGGCACAGAAUGUUGGGCGGUGAAGCAUCAACACGUACACAAAAUAGGUGUAGCGGAGAUGAGGAUGCUUCGUGGGAUGUGUGGGCACACGAGAAAGGAUAAGAUUGGGAAUGAGGAUAUCCGAGGUAAAGUAGGAGUAGCCGAAAUUGAAGUAAAGAUGAGAGAAAAUCGGUUCCGGUGAUUUGGACAUGUGCAAAGAAGGCCUACUGACGCUCCGGUUCGAAGAUGUGACUACGGAACAGAGGUUCAGGGCCGAAGGGGUAGAGGAAGACCUAGGAAAACUUUGGAAGAGACUCUAAGAAAAUACUUAGAGUACUUGGAUCUAACGGAGAACAUAACACAAAACCGAGCGCAAUGGCGUUCUAGGAUUCAUAUAGCCGACCCCACUUAGUUGGAAAAUGCUUUGUUGUUGUUGUUGUUGUUGUAUAGAUAGUUGGCGCUUUGUAGUGGGCGGUAAGUUCUAGUUUUACCAUUAAAAAAUAUACACUGUCAAACUAGUGUGGGUUCUAUCAAUUUUUUUAGUAUUUUAUUUAUUUUUUCACUCUGUCUCCGUGCCAUGGUCUUGAUAUUAUCACUCCUUUAAUAUUUUAUUCAUAUUUUAUUCUACUUGAUUUAUGAUGGUGUGUUUUUUUGACCAAGGUUUAUAAUGGUGUUUGUUCUAUAAGUCGGCAUAUUUGCCAACCGCAAUCGAUACUGUCGUUCUCAAACACAAAGCAAUAGUUUGCUACCGAAAACAACCAAAGUGUGACAAAGGGAACCGUCUUACACCUAACCUGUUUUUCCCUCAUCAAAUGAGCGCGUUGAUCUGCAGGUAUUUUCUGCCAUCUCAAAACCUGUUACAAAGAAAUAUAACGUUGAUGUCGAGCUGGAUAGCAUAUUAUACCAAUUAUGUGUACAAACCUAUUGAAAUAAAGUAGCUGUAGUUGCAUAUUACGACAGAUAUUAACGAAAACAAAAGAAGGCUCGCCUAUUCAAGAUCCUAAAUCCCGUGAUUCUUUUGUUUUUAGUUUCAGAAAUUUUCAGAGCACAAACUGGAAAGUACCAAGAUACUUACAUAUUGGGCAUAAUGAAAUGCAUCUUCAUCUUUCAAGCAAGAUUUGAGUGAGCGCAAACCGUCCUGAGAGUUACAUAAGUCAAUCAGUAAUAUAAAAACGUAUACGCAUCACAUCCAAACACAAGUAUUCAAACACCAACAACUUCUUCAUGCGGUGAGGCAUGUUAAAAAAUAGGGAAGAACAGUUAUUGAAUAGGAAGUUAAAGGACUAAAUUUAUGACCUUGUGUUUGUAGUUCUUGGCUCGUAUGCGUUCAUCUAUUACAAAACCAAUCUGUAACAGGUACAACAGAAAAUAUAAGCAGUAGUCAGAACAUUAAUCUUCGGCAUUCACAUUGCCACCAAUCCAAAGUUAAAAGUCUGAAGGCAAAACAGUAUGAUUCUUAUCUCUCAAACAAAAAUGAAACUAUACCCCGGUCUCAGACAUAAAUGAAAUAAGUUCUACUGCCUCAACUGAGUACUGUGAUUAUAUAUAAAUCCAAUUCACCUUGUCAAGUAAUCUCUUAGGAUCUUGAAAUGCUUCCUUCUUAGCCCAGUCAUUAAAUACAUGCGAGAAAAUUGAUCUCUCAUCCACACUGAAUCUAUUGCACAGUGACAGAAGAAUAAAGUUAAACAUGAACAUAACCAACCAAAAAUGCUAGUUAUAAUAGUACACCCAUAAUUGCAAGCAAAACCUUUUUAAGAAGCCAUUUCCAUGGUUUUCCUCCCCAAAUUCCAUCAAUUCUGCAGAGGCAACGUCAAAUUUACUAUGAUGGAGAUCAUUUUGCACUGUAAUAACUUCAGAAGGUAGGAGAUUUGGUUUCAGAUCAUCUGUUGACGGAGUAGUUUCUUUUGAAGUGUCAUGAUGCUUUGAUUGCAAGCCUUCUGUACUUACGUCAGCCUACAAAACAAAAAUUGCAUUCAUCCACACUAGACUUAAUAAGAUUAGAAACACUUCAGAUUCUUCAUUAUUUGUAUUUUUGACUAAACAGCAGAACAACUGAGGAUAAUGAACAGUAAUACACACCUGGACUUCUCGUAGAUGAUUUGGAAUUUCUUUCAGAAAUCGCGAAGGUUGAAGCAUCUGAAGGAGUCACCUUCUCAGUCAGAGCAACAACAACAAAUAAGGAGGACAGGAAUUCAAGCUAAAACGAACCUGCCAACUGGAAUCCAUCGUAACAUAAAGAAUGAAAAGCUUUUUUCGAGCACGAGUCAUUGCAACAUAUAAUAGGCGUCUCUCCUCCUAUGAUUAGAGUGGGAUUAUUGAGUUAUUGAUCAAAAGAAAAAAGAGUGGGAUUAUUGUGAAAAACAUGUCAAAGCUCUGCAUAUAACUGAAAAAUGUUGAACAAUUUACCACACACCUCAAUGGAGGUCCCAUUUUCUUUUGCAACCCCAUUGAAUUCAUGCAACAACGGGAUCUCAGAUUCAUUUACCUGUGUUAUUGGCAUGAGCAUUAAAGCAAGCUAAGAUGAUUUGAAGAGGUUGAUAUCGUCAUGAAUAUAGUAGAACAGAGAAUACCAAUUUCAAGCCAUCAAUUAGGUAUAGCAUUGGCAUGUUUAAUCCGUAAAAUCUAAUGACAGAACACCUCAACUCUACACAUAAAUAAAUAAACAACCUGAAAAAUAUUACAGCCACAUGUUAAGGCAAAUACCUUAAUUAUGAAAACUAUAUCCCACUCUAAACCUUUUGACUGCAAGAGAAUGAAAAAGAAAGACAGUAAGCCAAGAAUGUUUUGUAGAACUCCAAAGGAAGUCCAAUAGGGAAAUCAUCGCAAGUAUAAGAGUUAGCGAGGUUCGCAUAAGAGGAUAUCAAAAAGAUCUAGAACCUGAUGAAUAGUAGUCAAAGUGACAGAACUUUGGUUGUCAUGUCUUCGGGAGUGAAAAUUUUCACUCUCCUGCUCAGAUAUGUAGUCGAUGAAAGCUUUGAGUAAAUUAACGCAGCCUUUUUCUUCUGCUACGACUUCUCUCUCUCCCCUUUUCCCGCAACAAAAUGAGUUGAUAAGAAAUCAGAUACGUCGUCUAGUAGGUACUGAAGAACCUGCAAUGAGAAUAAUCGCAUCACAGCAACAGGGUUGGACCAAGAUUUAAGUGACAACAAUGAUUAACUAACUAAAAUAGAGAAAUUAUUCAUUUAAGACCUUGUUGACGGAAAAAAGGGUUUUCCAAGCAGCGGGUCAUUUAAGCUUAUUGUAUAAAUGACAAUCAUCACAAACGGCAAACUUACAGAUCUCACGUCAUUGUCUUCAUUCAGCAGUUUUCCUCCAUCUACAUCAACGACUGCACGUUGCUCAAGACGGUACUUCUAAAAAUUGAAAGUCAACAACAACAACAACAACAACAAAGCCUUUUCCCACUAAGUGGGGUCGGCUAUAUGAAUCCUAGAACGCCAUUGCGCUCGGUUUUGUGUCAUGUCCUCCGUUAGAUCCAAGUACUCUAAGUCUUUUCUUAGAGUCUCUUCCAAAGUUGUCCUAGGUCUUCCUCUACCCCUUCGGCCCUGAACCUCUGUCCCGUAGUCACAUCUUCGAACCGGAGCGUUAGUCGGCCUUCUUUGCACAUGUUCAAAAUCACCGGAGCCGAUUUUCUCUCAUAUUUCCUACAAUUUCGGCUACUCCUACUUUACCUCGGAUAUCCUCAUUCCCAAUCUUAUCCUUUCUCGUGUGCCCACACAUCCCACGAAGCAUCCUCAUCUCCGCUACACCCAUUUUGUGUACGUGUUGAUGCUUCACCACCCAACAUUCUGUGCCAUACAACAUCGCUAGCCUUAUUGCCGUCCUAUAAAAUUUUCCCUUGAGCUUCAGUGGCCUACGACGGUCACACAACACGCCGGAUGCACUCUUUCCAUCCAGCUCGUAUUCUAUGGUUGAGAUCUCCAUCUAAUUCUCCGUUCUCUUGCAAGAUAGAUCCUAGGUAGCGAAAACGAUCGCUUUUUGUGAUCUUCGCUAGAUUGCUCCGGUCAUUAGUGUGGAUAAGUAUAUAAAUGGAUAGAGAUAGGAAAGCAAACACAAGAUGUACGUGGUUCACCCAGAUUGGCUACGUCCACGGAAUAGAAGAGUUCUCAUUAAUUGUGAAGGGUUUACACAAGUACAUAGGUUCAAGCUUUCAUUUAGUGAGUACAAGUGAAUGAUUUAGUACAAAUGACAUUAGGAAAUAUUGUGGGAGAAUGAUCUCGUAAUCACGAAACUUCUAAGUAUCGGAGUGUGGUGUCGUCUUGACUUGCCUUAUCUGUCUCAUAGGUAGAUGUGGCAUCUUCUCUGGAAGUACUCUUCCUCAAACGAUAAAUUAUUACGAAGCAUUGAAUAUAAGCAUGAAACGAAGAAAAUGUUAUGGAAUGGUGAUCCUCAUCCUCAAAGAUGAUUAAAAGCAAUUUGAUUCAAAAAUGACAUAUCAACUCUGGAGAAAUGGAAGACAAACCUGUGGUACCAUAUUCGCAACUGAGGUUAUGACAGCUGAAAUCGAUUGUUCCUGUGUGCAUUGAUAAGUGAGACUACCAUAGAGAUUCACAACUAAAUAAAGACAGGUAUUCCACAGAACAACCUUUACCUCUUUGGAAACACAGAUCUAACAAAAACUAUAACAUUUUGGAUUAAUAUUGACGAAUCAAGAAUAAUGCAAGGGAGCAAGAGAUACUCUUCCUUCUAAUAACAAGGAGGCGUGAAAAGUAUACAGAGUUCCAACAAUUAGAGAACUAAAAUCAAACUAAAAAAAUCACCAAAGUAGACAGAAUCUCACUUCGCCAAAAAUUUGAAAAUAUAUCCUUUUUAUCCAUUGAGAUUCAUGAACUACUACUACUACUACAUCAUGCCAAUAAGCAAUGCGUAAGAGGUGCUACAAUUUACCGAAUAUAUUUACCCUGAGAACAAGUUUUGAAAUCAUCUCUAGUGUUAACAGCACCUUGCGUCCUUGGGUAAGCUGAGUCCUAUUAUCAAGUAAAGAGACCAAUCAGUACAUAUCCAAAAGAUCUUAAAUGCUUGUAAUACCAAAUAAGAAAGAAACAUGAGUAUAUCUUGAAUUAACCAUGUAAAAAUGUAAUGUUAAAGCAUCUUGUCAUACAGACCUCUUCAAGGUACCAGAAAUUUUUGCACUAAAGAUGUCACAAGCAGCUGAUAUGAAGCUGCAUUUUCUGUGAGUUGAAAUUUUGUCAAUAUAAUCGAUCACCUGAAGAGAGAGAGAGAGAAAAAGACAGUGAUAUCCAGAGAUGUGAGCCUAAAUGCUGAGUGUGUAAAAAAAGAAGAUUAAAUGGAUAGCAAGAAUAUACAACUUUAAUGCUGAAAAGAACAUUGAAUAUGAUGCUCAUUCAUCAUUCCCAUUGAACGUGUACCUUCUUCUUUUCCUCUUUCUCAAAAGCAAGUAGAGCCUUGAAGACUUGCCUAUAUGAUCCAUCAUCACAACCAGGCAAAGUUGUUUUAAUCAUAGCAACAAUGGCUCUAACUACCUGCCAUAAGAAACAUGCUACAUCAACAAGAUCACAGAGUGUACCAGAAACCGUAAUGUAGCAAAAUCUUGGAUAAAAUAGCUGACCAAAAGGGAAUGGAAAAGCAAGCACGAAAAACAAUGAAAAGGACCAGUGAUGCCAAAAUUCUGGUGGAAAAGGUGAAAAGCUUCUGCCUAUUACAAUUUUUGUAUGCAUUCUUUAUAACUUAAGUUCUACUAGCAAAAACCACCUUAUGCAAAAUAAUAUUGGAAAAAUUAGAUACAUACAACUGAGAAGAUAGGUUUUCAUAAUCUGGACAAGUGCUAACUACCUUCUUCCUAUAAACUGCCACUCCAUGAACAUUAAAUGGUAUUUUCCUUUCACGCAAGGCUGUCUGGAAGACUUUUCCUGAUACCUGUAGCAUAAAAUACAAAAGAAAAUGUGACCAAAAUGUCUUAUAUGAUUCACCUCAUUCACAUUAGCACUAAGGCAAGUAAGCUUGACCUGCCUCCGGUAAAGGAUUGCUAUAUUUCCAUAGGAGCACCCUGCUUCUGACCGUUUCGAUGCAGUCUCCAGGAUCUUGUCGACAACAAAGGCGCAUUGUGCAUCCUCAUUGUGACUUUCCUUGAUAAUUACCUACAUUUUGCCAGUAAAACCAGUGUCACUAACUAAAAGGACUGAAAAAUGACAUCAAAUUGUACUUGUUGGAGCAAGGAAAGAUUAAGUACCUUAGACCCAGAAGAAUUGUCCGUGUCAACAUUCUUUAGUUGGCAUCGCUUCUUAUUGUUUUUUAUAACAGAAGAUGCAGCUUCCACAAUAUAGCGUGUGGACCUAAAGUUUUUAUUAAGCCUAAUCUGAACCAUAAAGUUAUGUCAAAUCCCACAGAAACCCAUAAAAUAAAACUUACUUUCCUGUAAUUGUACAAUAUAUUUGUUCUAUACUAUAUAUAAUGAAAAAAGACACUGUGAAUGACAUAAGAUAACAUAGCAGUCAAGUGCGAAGCGAACCUCUUUGUAAUUUGAAAAAUCUUUACGAAAAGAAUCAAAUCCAGAAAUGUCCGCCCCAUUGAAACUGAAAAUGGACUGCAGCAGGAUAUAUGUUAUUUGAUUUAGAACAGAUAAGGGCUGGAUUAGAAUGAGCUGAGAGAGAGAGAGAGAGAGGGAGAGAGGGAGAGAGGGAGCAAUAACAUUGGAUUUCCAUAAUAAAUCAACAACAUGCCUGAUCAUCAUCACCAACAAUGGUUAUGUGGUUAUGAGAGGCGAGAAUCCGCAAAAGACUAUAUUGCAUAGCACUUGUGUCUUGAAACUCGUCUAUUACAAUAGCUUUCCAUGACUCCUGGCACUCCUUCAACACUAAUUAAGAGAACACCAUGUAUCAACAUUUAGCAUUACUUGUAAAACUAGAUAAAUCAAUGAAAUAUACUUAGAUGAUAGAGACCUUCAGGAAAAUCACUUAGCAGCUUCACAGAGCAGCUAAUUAAGUCGUGGUAGUCCAAAGCGUUGCACGAUUUCAAGAUAUCAUUGUAAUUCCUAAGAAUUUCACCCUGAUUCAGAUUGAGAGCUAAAACUCAUAAGCAAUAGUUUCAAAGAACUGAAAUGAUAUCUGAAAUUCUAGUUCUGAGCGUACUCCUGUCACAUCACCCAUUCUUCGGCAUUCAGCGGGAGUCUUUCCAGAAGCUUUUGCCUGAAACAUAAAUAAAUUUACUGCCUAAUGCCACAUAUUGUAAGACACACCAUUGUAUUGGUCAUUCUAGCUUGAUUGUAGCUAAUAUUUUUUAAAUCGAAUGAUUAGAGUUCUUAAUCCACAAUAAUCUGAACAUUAAAUUUGGUAUUCAAGACUAACCUGUGUCACAAACUUCAGCCAUUUCUUUGAUGCAUCCUUAAAAUGAUGUGGAGAUGUUACGCCGUCAGACUCUUCCCCAUCUAUAGCAACAUUAAGAUUCGUUUUACUCUUUUCAUCUUCUGAUAACCGCACAGCUUCAAUGAUUGCUCUUCUCUGUUGCCCAUGUCCAUAUAUCAAAAAUUCUGGUCUGCGCUUGAGUCUAAAACACAAGCCAACAUAACAGACUCAGCUAUACCACCAAAUGUAUGGUGUUCAAAAUCAAGGGAGGUGAAUCAAUAGCUUACUUCUCAGCAUGUGAUCGGCAAAGUUGCAAUGAAAAUGAAUGAAAUGUACUGAUUGUUAGUAGUUUUGCCGUUGCUUUCCCAGUCACAGAUCCAAUUCGAUCUCUCAUCUCGGAAGCUGCUGCUGUAGUGAAAGUCAUUGCUAGAAUGUUCGACGUGCUAAUGCCCUAAGAACACAAAAAAAAAAAAAAAACGAAUAAGAUUUCGAUCAUAAACAAGAAAUGUAGAGAAACACACAAUUACGAAAGAAAAAGUUAGAGGGAAAGUAGCAACACCUCAUUGAGCAGCAUUAGAACGCGCCCAACUAUCGUUGAAGUCUUUCCACUUCCAGGGCCGGCAACAAUCAUCAAAGGUACUGAAAUAUAGCUGCAAGCUGCCUCACGCUGCCUUUCGUUGAGAGAAAGCAAAUACUUCAAAUACUCAUCCGGCAUGUUAGGCAAUCCAUGGUUAACAGAAUCUGUUUGGUUUUCACUACUCAAAGGCGGCGCUGAUGGCACUAACGUGUUAUGACCCAAAUUAUUACUGAGGUUUUAUGCUUUAUUACUGUGAGGAAUUGUUAAUAUACCAGCUGGCAUUUAAAAGUGUAGAGGUUUUAUAAAAGGAGCCCCAGCUCCCCCAAAUGUAUCAGAUCAGAAUUUUACAAAAGAAAUCAAUAUUGGAGCUCUGCUCCUUCUUCUCUCCUUCCCUCUUCUUCCAUAGCUUUCUUGUGCCACUUACAGGUUGAUUAAGGGAAUUGAGAAUUAGAUCUUAUCAAUGGUAUCAUCCUUCUCGAAUCCUGGUUUCCCUCCUGUGCACACCCACCCACCUACGUUUUCUGCCAUGGUUGCUGCGCCCAAGGAUUCGCUUCGCGAGACCCUGGAUGCUCUAUUCGCACCCUACCUGGCUAAGAUCCGCCGUGCCCGUGAGUUGGCUCUCAGCGCUGAGGGAGACUCCACUCCAACCCUUAUGUUCGCUAUCAGUGAUGGGGGAGUUCCUGAUCCAGCCCCGAUGAUUGCCGAUGACGCUGCAGGAAUCGAUCUCGGUCAGAAAAUAAUUCCACGAGUCGCUGCAUCAACUAAUCAGAUUCUGCCGUUGCUCUCGUCAUCGCCGUUAUUGCGAGCACUAGCAAAUCCUCCUGUCAGGCCACCGUCGAACUCAAACGCUUCAUUGGCAAAUUCGCCCAGCCAGCCGCUACACUCAAAUGAUAUUGUAGCAGCCACAAUUCCAUUGCGGAAUGUUGAGAAAACCAGGCCCGUUGCGAUUGUGACCACAAUGCCGCUAUUUCCGAUUUCAGCAACCUUUAGCACUGAAUCAGCCCACGCUCACAAUCACAACCUCGUUUUGAGCACCAAGGAAGCUACAACAAUGGCGCAUGUUCUGGGUUUUCCUCUCAAGAAAGCAGGAGCUACUAAAUCUGUAGGUAUAUCUCAUACAAACACCACGAAGCGUCGACACGAGGUAUUGACAUCCUUGCUUUCCAAUUCUACAAAUCGGAAGGACAAAUGGUAUUGGGUUUUGCAGGUUAUUUUGGCAUAUUAUACUGGUGUUAUUGUGAUAAUGUAUGACGACUUCUUAACUGAUAAAUGUGGAUGGGGUAAUUGGUACCUUGUGGGACAAUUUGUGUUACACGCGCCCCUAAUUUAAAUCGUAUUUUUACUAAAUUUGAGUUUAUCUUGCUUUUAAAAUUAUUUUUGGGUUUUAAAUGGUGUGCCCAAGGCCCACCCCCUGUUUUGUCCCCCGUUCCCUUUCCCUUUCUUUUAUUUAUUUUCUUCUUUCUUCUUCUUCUUCUUCUUCUUUUCUGUUUCUUUUUCUUUCUUUUCCGUCUGUCCCUCUCGGCUCUCUCUGCGCCCUCUCUUCUCUGCACCGCAACAAGCACACGCACGCACCCAUUGCACCUGCGCGAGGAAGACCAUCAUCAUCUCGUCCUGCUCUCUCUCCCUCUCGUGUUUGCGAACCCAGAAAAUCGGAAAGGAUCUUCCGCGAGAUUUUUAUAUUUUCCGGUUAGGUAAGCCUCAAAUCCCUCUCUUUCGUCCUAGAAUCUUUUGAGAAUGGGUUCUAAUUGGUUUUAUUUCGUGAUUUUUGGAGGUUUUAGGAUGAAAACAAACUCGGGUGCAGGAACACCCAUUUCCGGCGAGGAACCCGCCACUUUCGAGUUAAUCUCCGGCCAAACCACGGCGAGUUGGCCGGCGUGCAAGGUAUCAAUCUCUUCGUCUCGUCGAUUACUACAACUUUCCUUUUUGUUUCACCCAAUUUCGUUGAGUAUUGAAGAAGUUAUACUCAUUUGAAUCUUACCCAGUUUCCGGCGAGUCCGACGGCUUUCGAGGCGUUUUCCGGUCAAACCACGGCGAAUUAGACGUCGUGUGAGGUACCAUUCUCUUCGUCUCUUCGAGGGCUACAACUUUCGUUUUUGUCUCGCUUGAUUUCGUUGAGUUUUAACAAAGUUAUAGCCAUUUAAAAUUGGGUGGUUUUCCGGCCGAAAUUCCAGCCUUCUUCUUCCUCGGGUCCGGCGACCCAUCAAACUUGGGCCCUUUGGGCCGUUUCUGUUAAGGGCUUUAAGCCCAAACCCUAAACCUUUGGGCUUUAGGACCAAACCCAAGAACCCAAACCCUAUGACCCAAACCCGGAUCCAAGCCCAGACCCGUUUGACCUGGUCCGACCCGGAUCCUGACCCGUUGACUUUGACCGGUCAACGUUGACUUUUCUAGUUGACUUUUCGGGUUUUCGUCCAAGACCUUCCUAGGCUAAUUUCGACGUCCUGGAUCCGUUUUUGAAGUUCGUUUUCCCAAAUUCAAUCGUUUGAGUAGAGUUUGACUAAAUGGAUCAUUUAUGUGCUUAGGUGAAUUUAAUGACGGCGGUUCCGUUAUUCCUAUUUGGUAUGGCGUUGCACCAACGGUGUACGGUGAGUGGACCCCUUCUAAAAUGCAUGUUUUAUAGUAGAAAUGCAUACAUAAAAAGUAUGAUUUGAUGAUUACCUUUUAUGAAACGUUUUGUGAGAUAACAUGCUUAUUGAGGCUACUUUAAAUUAUUACUAUUUUUCCUAUAACCCGUGUUCUUAUAGAAUAUCUGAUGGAUGACGAUAUGAUAUUAGAACAUGUUUAGAACACCUCUUUAUAGUAUAGAUGAUGGAUGACUUUAUACUAUGAAGUUGUUUUUCAAUAUAUAUGUUCAAUGGUUUUGUACUUACCUAGUGGUCAUUUCCGCUACGGGACGUAGGGAUAGAUUCCGGUCAUUCCCGGGCGACGGUUUGGUGUUGGCAUAGGGCCUGGAGUGUGUUUCCUCUGGCUAUUUAGCACAGGGACGGGGAGCCGGCAUGGGGCCUGAAGUGUAUUUUCCUCUGACUGUCUGCUCAGAGACGGGGAGCCGGCAUGGGGCCUGGGGGUUAUCGGACAAUUCACUAGUGAUUAUUAUAUAUAUAAAAGUUAUGAUUUGAGACACUGCACAUCAUGCUAGGUUUCGGAAAACCUAUGUUUAUCAUUAUAUAUGUGUUUUCAUAAAACUUGGGGGUUAGUACGUUGAUAACUGUUUUGUUAUAUUUAUAUCAAAUUGGUCCACUCAUGUUUGUUUUGCGCCCCCUUCAGGAUUUAGGAUCGAGGCGUACAAUCCCGGCAAUCCAGGCACUUCCGCAUCGGUAUCUUCAAGUCCUCUCGGUGUAGAACCCACUUCUGUGUUCAUUCAAUUUUUAUAUUAAUUCUUUUAAUGUUCUAGAUUAGAUGUGUGCUCUGAACACGUUCCUUAAAUGCAUAUUCUUUAUUUAUAUUUAUAAGUUUUAUCUAUCCUUUAUUUUCAGCAAUUGCACUCAAUAAAUGGCUUUCGUCGCCCUCGGGUGUCGGCCAGCACGUGACCAUCCUGAUAUCCUGAGGAUAUCGGGAUCGGGGCGUGUCAGAUUGGUAUCAGAGCGUGGUUUGUUCAGAGCAUACUUAGGAUCCUCUUCUAUUAUCGUAGAGUGUUGGUUUUGACAUCAUUUGGAUGUCCAGACUUCUAGAUUUGGUGCCAUUCGGCGCAGUCGUGCGAAUCUUCCUCUAUUUGAAUUGUCACAUUCGGGUUGAUAUACAAGAAUUUGUGUCGGGAUUGUGCCUCAUCGGUGACGUGUUUGAAUUGUUGGACGACUUUCAGCUUCAGAUUGAUACUCUACGACGUGCAUUCCCUGGGAAUGACGGGCAUAGUCGGUGUUACUUGGAAGCGACGGAUUUUAGAAAUCUCAGCUUAAGGAAGUCUGGUCAAGACCAGCUGUAAAUUCGAAAUGGCGAUGCCACUCUACAACAUGCGUUCCCUAGGAAUUGCGGGCGGAGUCGGCUUUGCAUCGAAAUCUUGGGAAGCGGAAAAAAAAUCUUGGCAGUACGAAUUGACUAAGACCAACUGGAGUUCUGAAGCGGUGUUGUACUCUGCAACAUGCGUUCCUUAGGAAUGGCGGGCAGAGUCGUAUCUCUUUAGAAAUUACUCGAAACUUUCGAAAUGCAGAUUGAAGAAGCGAGUAAGUGCUAGUGGUGACGACGGUUAGUAGGUGGUAGUUGGUGGGAGCAAAAUCAAUGUUCUCGAACUCAUUACCACUGAAGAAAUUUGGGUGAAUCUUUAUAACAGUUCUCUGUGAUUGUUUUAUCGAUUACCUUCUCGUUUAUUCCAACGACGAAGUCAAGUUCACUGACCUUUGAUCGUCAGCUUCACAUCAAAUCCCUCGAGAGUUGACUUCGUCUAGAGAUUAUACUUUUCUUGGGAAACUCCUCGGUAGCAGACGUUAUUCUCAUCAAUUUCGAAAUGGAGUUGCGAUUCUUGUUGUUGUUGUAGUUGAACUUGGAUAAUGAAGAUUCAGCCUUGUUUGGAUAAACAAAUUCCUUGAACUUCACCUGGGUUUGGUACUUGGUAGUAAACCCUAGUUCCUCAUCCGUGUACUUUUCAGUGAAGGUGAACUUAGUCCCUUGCUUGCAACCUAACUGUUCAGCCUUGUAAUUUUCAGCGUAAUGGCUUGAGACUCUAUCAUAUUCAUCAUUGUACGAAGAUCGAGCUUUACUCUGAACUUCUCUGGGCUCGUUAAGCUUUGAUUUGCUCAGAGGCAUCACUUUAAGGUAGCCAAUCGUGUCACUGCAUGCAUACACAAGCUGCUUUGUAUCUUUCUUCUUCGUUAUUCUGCUGAUUCAGAGGUUUUAUGUUUAAUUUCUGAAUUUUUAAAUGACUAUCGCGAAGUACCGUGAAUCUCGAAAUGUCUUUGGCCUCGUCAAAUCUUAUUAAUAGUUCUUGACUAUUCUUGAGAUUAGACUUGUUCCUUUUGGCUAAGAAACCAGUCGACCUUAUUGUGAUGAGUAGCCAAAUAAUCAUAAACAGUAACUUCUAUUUCUGCAUCUUCAUUUUCCUUCGUUUGUUUGUUUGUUUCUCAAUGUGAACUGGAUCAUGCCGGGACAUUACACGAAGGGUGUAAAAAAAAAAAAAAAAAAAAACGUUUGUUCUCGGCGUGGUUUCUAGUUCAAAUCCGGAUAUCUUGUACUCUAUAUUUAAUGGACUUGUUUUGAACCUUAAAUUCCUGAGUGUUCUUUUAGCCUUAUCGACAUGGUUUCUCUCUCAAUUAGUGAGAAAUUCAUGAUCGAUGGUUUCGGCGGAAGUGUGCGCCCAAUUCUUAUCGAUUUGGACAGGAAUGUUGGGAGCAUAAUCUUUUCACAAGCUUACUAGACUUACCAGAAAGAGUUCCACGUGGGUGUGAAGUUUGAGUUGUCUUUUGGUAAGAGACUGGUGAAGAUUGUGGUGCAGAUGAUUAGCAGAUUGUAUCACUAUCUUCACGCUGAAUUGAAUGGUCACCAUUCAUUAUCCUGCUGCAAUUCAUAAUCAUCAUAUCUUACUCUGGUAGACAUUUUUGAUGAUGUGUUCGCCUCAACGCAGCUUUCCACUACCUCUCACCAGGAUCCUUCGGUUCGAGAGCACGUGGGCGUGAGGUUGAGCGGUCUUUUAGUAAGAGUUGGUUGAAGGUUUUAGUUCAGAAGGUCAGCAUAUUGUAUCACCAUCUUACUAGAAUUCAUAGGCAUCACAUCGGUUAUUUUCCAACGAUAUGUGUUCGUGUCAAUGCAUACUUCGACUGCUUCACUUCUGAACCUUAUUCUUGUGAGUAUGUGGAUGUUGAAUCACUUAUAGCAGAUUUGUUUGGUGCACUCUGGAAUGGCACCACAACGUAGUUGAGAUAAGAAUCGGAAGAUCUUUGCACUUUUUGCGAAUGGUGUGUGCUCUCAUGGGGUGUUUAGGUUGAUUGCAUGAGAGUCAUUCUUUCCUCCAACAUUGAUCUUGUUUGACUAGAAAUCUGCAACUAAGCAAAAAUGGAGAGGUGGAUUGAGCACUACAACAGUUCCCAAGAGAUACUGCGUGUUGAGGAAGAUGACUUCUCGUUUUCUGCUUACCUAGUUCGAGCUUUUGGGUCUACUACUAACAUGGUGGCCACUUCUCUUGAAUCCCAAAGUACAGUUUCAAAUGGGUUCUUUGUUGGCAUAACUCUGGAGUAGUUGGUCACAUUUGGAAUAACUGAGGAAGAGGUUGUGCUUGGUACUAAAGGGAGUUAGUAUGACGAUAGUUAUUGGUUUUGUUCGAUUUGGGUAUGGCACUAUUUGCGACAUGGUACGAGAGUUGCUACACGCAACAUUGGUUGAUAGAGGAGACGUGCAAGCUUGUACUUGGAGGAUCGAAUUUUCGACGUGUGAAAUUGUGCACCCUCAGGAAAUUACUGCUUGUUUACUGAGACAACAAAUGUGUGGUCGAUAUCGCGGGCGGCCGACUGUGGUAUCGAUAAUUUAUUUGUUGGGUUCGUUAAGCAAGUGGGGCAGGAAUAUCCUUUUACGGCAGCCGUUAAAGAUUCACUAUUGUUAGAACUGGACCCAAAGACACAUCUAUUUUCGGAGUACGCGACGUUUCGAAUUCUUGGGCAAGACCCACUCUCAUUCUUCAGUUUUGGUUUUCAGUAUAAGUAUUUUAACCUCAUUUACUCUAGUUAAUUGUUUUGCCAUUACAAAUGUUUUUGGAAAAGUAUUUCCGUUUUCAGUUUUUAAGUGUAGCUCGAAUUUUCAACCUAUAUGUUGGUACAUAUCCAUUUUGACGUUAUCGUAUGUUAUGUUCUUACUUUUGACCUUAAUCUAUUUUAUGUUUUCGACUUUAUAUCUUUAUAAAGUAUGUUUUCUACUUUUACACUGAUGGGGAAGAAAGUAAGCUUGGAGGCAUGAUAGAGGAUUUUGCAACCCGCUCGCGACGGUGUGGUAUAUUCUCUUUGAUGCACCCACUCUGACUUGAUUUCUCUUUAUACAUAUAUUCUUCUUACUAUUUUCGUGUAUUUCAGUUUAGUAGGUGAUUUUAAAUUUCGGGGACGAAAUUCUUUUUAAGGGGGGUAGAUUGUUACACCCGCCCCUAAUUUAAAUCGUAUUUUCACUAAGUUUGAGUUUAUCUUGCUUUUAAAAUUGUUUUUGGGUCUUAAAUGGUGUGCCCAAGGGGCCCCACCCCCUGUUUUGUCCCCCGUUCCCUUUCCCUUUCUUUUAUUUAUUUUCUUCUUUCUUCUUCUUCUUCUUCUUCUUUUCUGUUUCUUUUUCUUUCUUUUCCGUCUGUCCCUCUCGGCUCUCUCUGCGCCCUCUCUUCUUUGCACCGCAACAAGCACACGCACGCACCCAUUGCACCUGCGCGAGGAAGACCAUCAUCAUCUCGUCCUGCUCUCUCUCCCUCUCGUGUUUGCGAACCCAGAAAAUCGGAAAGGAUCUCCCGCGAGAUUUUUAUAUUUUCCGGUUAGGUAAGCCUUAAAUCCCUCUCUUUCGUCCUAGAAUCUUUGAGAAUGGGUUCUAAUUGGUUUUAUUUCGUGAUUUUUGGAGGUUUUAGGAUGAAAACAAACUCGGGUGCAUGAACACCCAUUUCCGGCGAGGAACCCGCCACUUUCGAGUUAAUCUCCGGCCAAACCACGGCGAGUUGGCCGGCGUGCAAGGUAUCAAUCUCUUCGUCUCGUCGAUUACUACAACUUUCCUUUUUGUUUCACCCAAUUUCGUUGAGUAUUGAAGAAGUUAUACUCAUUUGAAUCUUACCCAGUUUCCGGCGAGUCCGACGGCUUUCGAGGCUUUUUCCGGUCAAACCACGGCGAAUUAGACGUCGUGUGAGGUACCAUUCUCUUCGUCUCUUCGAGGGCUACAACUUUCGUUUUUGUCUCGCUUGAUUUCGUUGAGUUUUGACAAAGUUAUAGCCAUUUAAAAUUGGGUGGUUUUCCGGCCGAAAUUCCGGCCUUCUUCUUCCUCGGGUCCGGCAACCCAUCAAACUUGGGCCCUUUGGGCCGUUUCUGUUAAGGGCUUUAAGCCCAAACCCUAAACCUUUGGGCUUUAGGACCAAACCCAAGAACCCAAACCCUAUGACCCAAACCCGGAUCCAAGCCCAGACCUGUUUGACCUGGUUCGACCCGGAUCCUGACCCGUUGACUUUGACCGGUCAACGUUGACUUUUCUAGUUGACUUUUCGGGUUUUCGUCCAAGACCUUCCUAGGCUAAUUUCGACGUCCUGGAUCCGUUUUUGAAGUUCGUUUUCCCAAAUUCAAUCGUUUGAGUAGAGUUUGACUAAAUGGAUCAUUUAUGUGCUUAGGUGAAUUUAAUGACGGCGGUUCCGUUAUUCCUAUUUGGUAUGGCGUUGCACCAACGGUGUACGGUGAGUGGACCCCUUCUAAAAUGCAUGUUUUAUAGUAGAAAUGCAUACAUAAAAAGUAUGAUUUGAUGAUUACCUUUUAUGAAACGUUUUGUGAGAUAACAUGCUUAUUGAGGCUACUUUAAAUUAUUACUAUUUUUCCUAUAACCCGUGUUCUUAUAGAAUAUCUGAUGGAUGACGAUAUGAUAUUAGAACAUGUUUAGAAUGUCACAGCCCGUCCCGGGAUUUCUAUAUCGGGGGCGUGAAUUGACGUAACUACCCUUGACGGACAUUCGGGUACGUGUGUGUGCGACAUUAUUGAAUUAAUUUUGUAAGUUUUGGGAUUUUAAUUUUGGAAUUUGGAAAUUUUUGUGGUUAGGGAAUUGGAUGGAUGGUGAGGAUUGUGUUGGACCACACAAUCACACACACACGCACUCCCUGUCUUCUCUCCCUCCCGUAGCUCUCUCUGUCCCUCUCCCUCACGAUCUCUCUCUUUCCCCUCACCCUAUACGUACGGCCUUCACCCAAAACCCUUCAAAACUCGACGGAUCGAGGCAAAUAAGGUAUGCAUCUUCAUCCUUUCGUCGUCCUGAGUUCAUUGGUGCUAGUUUUAGGAAGUGAAACCUUCGAUUUCACAUAGAUCCCGAACCUCCAUUUUUGAGGUACUGUUCAUGCGAACGUAAAAUGUUGUGUUUCAGGAGAUUUCAAGCUUGUGGUGAGCUUUAGGAGGUUCCUAAGGAAGCUCGGGGACGUUCGUUGGAGAGUUUUGGACGUCGGGAUCGUAGGUUUCAAGUUUGGCCGAAUCUUUGGUUUUUCCAAGGUGAGAUUUCGUAGUUUUUAGGCCCUAAAACAAGUCCAACGUGAUUGUACACUCUUAGGGCUUCAAUUUGGUAUAAAAUACGAAGAAAAUGGGUGAAAAACGAAGGAGAAUAGUGAGUUUGAAAAUCGGCCGGAGUUCGGCCGGAGUCCGGCCACCAGAGAACCAGUCCGGCGAGACCUGCGAAGAAGACGACACGUGCGCUGCACGUGCUGCGCGUGGCCAGCGCGUGGACCCGUGCCACGUGUGGCGCGUGGGGGCGCGUGGGGCUUCCAAAAAUUUUUCUAAAAAUUUCUCGACGCUCGUGACGUCGAGUAGGUCGAUGUGGUAUAUUAUUAUACCAAAAUUGAGCAUCGUAUGAGAAGUUAUUUCAAAUUAUUGGUGAUGUGCUUAAAAUUAAUGUUUUUAUAGUUGUUUCGCAUAUAGGUGAGACGUAUCCCGAGGACGACCGCAUCCAGGGACGCCACGGGGGUUACGACGACCCGUCGACUUAUCAGUGAGUGGGCAGUUUUGUUUUCGUAUUACCUAUAUACUACUGUUUUUCCCAGAAAAAUGUUUAUAUGAAAAUAUGUUUUGAAUAUGCCAUGCAUAGAAUUAUUUGAAAAUCAUGAAUUGGUUUAUGAACUAUAUGAUUGAAAUAUGAUGCAUACAUGUUGCAUGGUGCUGUGGAGGCACAGGUAAGUCAGGUGAGUUCAUUUAUUCAUUGAAUUGUUGUUGUUGAGAUGAGUUGAGCUCAUAAUCUGCACCCUAGGUGUUAGUGCUUAUAUUAUUCACCACACCGCACGCUCGUCUUGGAUCCAAGUAGGUGGAUGUCGUACAGACCAUGUGAGGGUUCCGACAUGCUAGUCGUACAGAUCACUAGGCGUGAUUCCGACUAGUGGGUGACCUUAGUUAUGCGCGCUGAUGAUAUGAUGAGAGAAGCACUAGAGCGUAUUUUUACACCUUUCAUCGUAUAGACUACCUUACGUAGUUCCGAGUGAUGUGCAGAGUAGGGCCGUAUAGGUCACUGUGGUGACUCCGGCUUAGUGGGAUUUUUGAGCUAUUGAAUUAAUCGUAUAGGACCAACUGCAGGGUCUCCGAUUGAUUCCUUAUUUCACCUGAUUUAUAUUUUUUAUUUAUGUCAUGGCAUGUUUUCUUGAAAAUGUUAAAGAUUUGAGAUUUAAAUGUUGAGAUUUUAUAUGGUUAUAUAUAUUUCUGGGAAAGUAUACAGGUUUUUACGGCGAGGGGAUAUAACUGUUUUAAUGAAAUGUUUUGGAAAACUAAUUUGUUUUACUGACCCACUCAUUUUGUUUUGCGCCCCUCCAGGUUCUAGUUUAGCGGUGGUUGGCUCACGAGGUCCUUUCCGGCUUUCUGACAGAUUUGGGACAUGUAGGACUCACCUGAGGGUGAUGUAUUCUUAUUUUAGUCCUACUUGACUGCAGUUAACCUAUGCUCUGAACUUAUGUGUUUACUUGUAAACUCGUCCGGUUAUGUCCGUAUGUGGUUAUGUUGAGUUUGGGUUGAAUUUCUGUUGUUAUUACGCUUCCGUGUCGUGCUUAUGGUUACGUCACGCCCACGUGACGGCCAGCACACCUGGAUCCUCCGGAUCAGGGUGUGUCAGUUUGGUAUCAGAGCUUAGGUUGCAGUCCUGUAAAAUUGUUAAUGUCUUAACGAUCUUUUUGAUGUUUUCUGUCAGAAUCAUGCCGCCUCGUAGAGAGCGUAGGGAGUCCCGCCGUACUCCUGAACCUAAUUUCCCAGAUAUUACUCAGUUAGGGGAAGCGAUGGCCCAGGCUUUACAGAAUGUGAUUCGUCCUCCCCCUCCUCCGAGGACACCUCUGGAGACCAUGUACAACUUGAAGUUAGAUCGGUUUAUGGGUAAUGAAAGUCAUGAGGGGGCAGAGAAAUGGCUUGAUCAUAUUGAGAAAACCUUUCAGGUGAUGCAGAGUCAGGGGAAUCUCCCUGCUAAUAGGUGGGUGGAGACCACCACUUGGUUUCUGGGUUGUGAACCAGCAGCAUGGUGGAUAAAUCAGGCUAGGUACAUGUCACCUGAGACGGCAGCCGACUGGAAAGUAUUCAAGGAGCAUUUUAUGAAGAGAUUUCGUUCCUCCUGAGUAUAUUGACCGUAAGAAGCAGGAAUUCACCAGGUUGAAACAGAGAAAUAUGUCGGCACAUGAAUAUUAUAGAAAGUUUACUGAUUUGUCUCGUUAUGACACUGAUAUAGCUGGUAAUCAGGGAGAGAUGCUUCGACGUUUCAAGUUGGGAUCUAAGAAGAAGUGGCGUACCUUUGCCAAUGCACUUCCCUGCGCUGAUUAUCAUGAGUAUUUCGAGAUUUUGGUUAGGAUGGAGGACUCUGAUAAUCUUCCUGACAGUGAGGAUGACGAGGACAAGAAUGAGGGUCAGAAGAAGAAUGAUAAGGGUAAGGGUAUUUCUAUUCCUGGACCUCGACAGACACAGAGUUUUUAAGAAGAGUGGAGCGAGUUCGAGUUCUUCUAGUGGGGGAUAUAGUUUUACUGGCCCGAGGAGAGGUGGUGGAAGAUUUUCUGGUGGACCCAGAUUUCAGGGUCAGAGGGAUGCUGGUGGAUCUGGCGCUCCAUGGUGCCGCCGUUGUAACUCCCGUCACCAUGGUGAGUGUAGGAGAGGUUCUGGUGCCUUGUUUUUACGUGUGGGACAGAUGGGACAUCGGGCUUCUCAGUGCCCCCAGGGUCAGCAGAGACCGCAGCAGACUAAUAUGCCACCUCCAGCACCAGUUCAGCAGAGUUUUGGGACCGGGUGGUUAUGGCCAGCCGAGUCGUGGUGGUGCCUACCACUAUCAGGGGGAUGCUGCUCCGUAUGCUUCCGGACCUUAUCAGUAUUCUCAGGAGCCUUAUCCUCAGGCAGGGUAUUCUCAGGAUUUUGGAGGUUAUUCUUCUUAUUCCUCUAUGCCAGCUGGUGGAUCGCAGUGGCAUCAGGGAGGCCAGCCCCGUCAGGGGGAAGUUGCUACUGGUGGUGCAGGAUCAUCCAGGCAGCCUAGUCAGCCAGGCCAGGGACGAGGUAAUCAGGGCAAUAGAGGCCGAGGUGGACGUCAGCAAGCUCAGGGGCGAGUUAAUCAUAUUGUCCCUGCAGGAGGCUCAGAACCAUCCAGACUUGAUAAUGGGUACGUUAAAUGUUCUUGGUCAUUUUGCUAAGGUUUUGAUUGAUUGUGGCGCUACGCACUCUGUGAUUUCUCAUACGUUUGCUCAAAUAACCCAACCUCACCCUUCACCUCUAGGAUUUGAUUUAGAGUUUGCCAUGCCUAGAGGAGAUAAAUGUAUUGUGGAUAGUGUGUAUCUGGGGUGUCCAGUGAUGGUUGAGGGCGUGAUUAUGUCCGCUGAUCUUAUUCCGUUAGAUAUUGUGGAUUUUGAUGUGAUUUUAGGGGCCGAUUGGUUACACCAUAAUCGUGCCCAUAUUGAUUGUUAUGGUAAAUCAGUUACUUUUUAUCGUCCUGGAUUACCCGAGGUUAUUUUUGUGGGCGAGAGAAGUGGGGUGAGACAUGGAGUUAUUUCUGCCAUAAGGGCGAGGAAAUUAUUAUCGAAGGGUUGUCAGGGAUAUUUGGCACAUGUGGUAUUAAAUGAUGUUGCUCCUACUAGUAUAGAAGAAGUUGGUGUGGUCAGACAUUAUCCGGAUGUUUUCCCUGAUGAUUUGCCGGGAUUGCCGCCAGACAGAGAGGUGGAAUUCUCUAUUGAUUUGCUUCCAGGUACGGACCCUAUAUCUCUGACUCCUUAUAGAAUGGCUCCUGCUGAGUUAAGGGAAUUAAAAAUCCAGUUGCAAGAAUUACUUGAUAAAGGUUUUAUUCAACCUAGUUCUUCACCUUGGGGUGCCCCAGUAUUAUUUGUGAAGAAGAAGGAUGGAACUCUUUCGAUUGUGUAUUGAUUAUAGACAAUUGAACCGGGUAACGAUUAAAAACCGUUAUCCAUUGCCCCGCAUUGAUGAUUUGUUUGAUCAGCUGAAAGGUGCGUGUGUAUUUUCUAAGAUUGAUUUGAGAUCCGGGUAUUAUCAAUUGAAGAUUAAAGAAGACGAUGUACCUAAGACGGCUUUCCGAACUCGGUACGGACAUUAUGAAUUUUCGGUUAUGCCGUUUGGGUUGACUAAUGCACCUGCAGCUUUUAUGAGAUUAAUGAAUGAGGUAUUCCAGAAAUAUCUUGAUAAAUUUGUUAUUGUUUUUAUUGAUGAUAUUCUGGUAUACUCUAAGUCCCAAGCAGAUCAUAUCCGACACCUUAAUUUGGUGUUAAGGAAAUUAAGGGAGCAUCAGUUGUAUGCCAAGUUCAGUAAAUGUCAGUUUUGGUUGACUGAAGUGGCAUUUUUGGGGCAUGUUGUAUCAGCUCAAGGUAUUCAAGUUGAUCCUCAAAAGAUUGCAGCAGUGGAGAAUUGGGAGCAACCUCGAACCGUCACGGAGGUACGAAGUUUUCUUGGCUUAGCAGGUUAUUAUCGACGGUUCGUUCAGGAUUUCUCUAUGAUUGCUUUACCGUUGACAAAGUUGACCAGGAAGGAUGUUAAAUUUGAGUGGGAUGAGAAUUGUGAGCGGAGUUUUCAACAAUUGAAGUAUUGCCUCACUCAUGCACCGGUGUUGGUACUUCCCGACGAUAGCGGUAAUUUUGAGAUAUAUAGUGAUGCUUCAUUAAAUGGUUUGGGAUGUGUUUUGAUGCAGCAUAAUAAGGUGAUUGCCUAUGCUUCUAGGCAGUUGAAAAAAUCAUGAAAGGAACUAUCCUACUCACGAUCUUGAAUUGGCAGCAAUUGUUUUUGCUUUGAAAAUUUGGAGGACAUUACUUUGUAUGGUGAGAAGUGUAAGAUCUUCACUGAUCACAAGAGUCUUCAGUAUUUGUUUACUCAGCAUGAUCUUAAUCUUCGUCAGCGAAGGUGGAUGGAAUUGUUAAGUGAUUAUGAUUGUUCUAUUGAAUACCAUCCAGGUCGUGCUAAUGUAGUAGCGGAUGCACUGAGUAGGAAACCUCAAGGUAGACUUAAUGCCCUUAUAUGCUAGUCGUGUUCCUCUUCUUGCUGAAUCUGAGGACAACUGGGGUAAGGUUGGAAAUUGAAAGACCGAGGAUGGAGCUUUUCUUGCUAGUUUUCAAGUCAGGCCAGUUUUGGUGGAGCGUAUACUUGCAGCUCAGAUGGUGAAUGAGGAAAGUUCAAGGAGUUGGUUCAGUUAAGAAGUGAAGGGAAAAAGAAAGACCUCAGAAUUCGGGAAUCAGACGGUAUGCUCAUGCAAGAAGACAGAAUGUAUGUUCCGAAUAAUGAGGAAUUGAAGAAGGAAAUUCUGGACGAAGCACAUUGUUCAGCUUAUGCGAUGCAUCCGGGAGGAACAAAAAUGUAUAUCAUACCAUUCGACCAUUUUAUUAUUGGCCGGGUAUGAAAAGAGAAAUUGCAGAAUAUGUGAGCAGGUGUAUUAUUUGCCAGCAAGUGAAAGCAGAAAGAAAGAAGCCAUUUGGGCGAAUGCAACCCCUUCCUGUUCCCCAGUGGAAAUGGGAAAAUAUAACCAAUGGAUUUCGUGUAUAAACUUCCUCGUACGCGAAAUGGAUUUGAUGGUAUUUGGGUGAUUGUGGAUCGACUCACCAAGUCGGCGCAUUUCAUUCCUGUGAGGGAGAAAUACCCUCUGAAUAAAUUGGCUAAGUUGUUUAUUUCGAAGAUUGUCAAGUAUCAUGGAGUCCCAGUAAAUAUUAUCUCCGAUCGAGACCCGAGGUUUACUUCUAAAUUUUGGGUGGCUUUUCAGGAAGCUCUGGGUACUCAAUUACUGUAUAGCACAGCUUAUCAUCCUCAAACUGAUGGGCAAUCAGAGAGGACCAUUCAGACGUUGGAAGGAUAUGUUGAGAUCUUCAGUACUGCAAUUUGGUGAUUCUUGGCAUGAUCGUCUGGACUUAAUGGAGUUUGCUUAUAAUAACAGUUUUUCACUCGAGCAUUGGUAUGUCCCCAUUCGAGGCACUUUAUGGUAGGGCGUGUCGAACGCCAUUAUGUUGGUCUGAGGUUGGUGAACGGGUAUUAGAAGGCCCUGAGAUCGUGGAUGAGACGACUCAAAAUGUUCAGAUAAUUAAGUCAAACCUGAAAGCAGCCCAGGAUCGACAGAAGAGUUUAGCGGAUCGGCAUACUACUGAUCGAGUGUAUGAUGUGGGUGAUUGGGUAUUUUUGAAAUUGUCGCCUUGGAGAGGUGUAGUACGAUUUGGGAAAAGAGGAAAGUUAAGCCCGAGAUAUAUUGGACCUUAUGUGAUCACUGAAAGAGUUGGUGAAGUUGCCUAUCGGUUGGAACUGCCUCCGGAGUUAUCUAAGGUCCAUAAUGUGUUCCACGUCUCUAUGCUUCGGCAUUAUAUUUCUGAUCCUUCUCAUGUGAUCCCUCCUCAACCGUUAGAGAUUAAUCCGGAAUUUGACGUAUGAUGAGGAACCGGUCACUAUCUUGGAUUGGAAAGAUAAGGUUCUAAGGAACAAGACGGUGAGUUUGGUAAAGGUGUUGUGGAUGAACCAUUCUGCAGAGGAAGCCACCUGGGAGACGGAAGAUCGGAUGAGAGAGAUGUACCCAAGGUUAUUUUAUGGGUACUAAGUGGUUAAUUUGGAUUGUGGGAAUUUCGGGGACGAAAUUCUAUAAGGAGGGGAGAUUGUCACAGCCCGUCCCCGGGAUUUCUAUAUCGGGAAUGUGAAUUGACAGUAACUACCCUUGAUUGGACAUUCGGGUACGUGUGUGUGCGACAUUAAAUUGAAAUUUUGUAAGUUUUGGGAUUUUAAUUUUGGAAUUUGGAAAUUUUUUGUGGUUAGGGAAUUGGAUGGAUGGUGAGGAUUGUGUUGGACCACACAAUCACACACACACGCACUCCCUGUCUUCUCUCCCUCCCGUAGCUCUCUCUGUCCCUCUCCCUCACGAUCUCUCUCUUUCACCCUCACCCUAUACGUACGGCCUUCACCCAAAACCCUUCAAAACUCGACGGAUCGAGGGGCAAAUAAGGUAUGCAUCUUCAUCCUUUCGUCGUCCUGAGUUCAUUGGUGCUAGUUUUAGGAAGUGAAACCUUCGAUUUCACAUAGAUCCCGAACCUCCAUUUUUGAGGUACUGUUCAUGCGAACGUAAAAUGUUGUGUUUCAGGAGAUUUCAAGCUUGUGGUGAGCUUUAGGAGGUUCUAAGGAAGCUCGGGGACGUUCGUUGGAGAGUUUUGGACGUCGGGAUCGUAGGUUUCAAGUUUGGCCGAAUCUUUGGUUUUUCCAAGGUGAGAUUUCGUAGUUUUUAGGCCCUAAAACAAGUCCAACGUGAUUGUACACUCUUAGGGCUUCAAUUUGGUAUAAAAUACGAAGAAAAUGGGUGAAAAAACGAAGGAGAAUAGUGAGUUUGAAAAUCGGCCGGAGUUCGGCCGGAGUCCGGCCACCGGAGAACCAGUCCGGCGAGGACCUGCGAAGAAGACGACACGUGCGCUGCACGUGCUGCGCGUGGCCAGCGCGUGGACCCGUGCCACGUGUGGCGCGUGGGGGCGCGUGGGGCUUCCAAAAAAUUUUUCUAAAAAUUUCUCGACGCUCGUGACGUCGAGUAGGUCGAUGUGGUAUAUUAUUAUACCAAAAAUUGAGCAUCGUAUGAGAAGUUAUUUCAAAUUAUUGGUGAUGUGCUUUAAAAUUAAUGUUUUUAUAGUUGUUUCGCAUAUAGGUGAGACGUAUCCCGAGGACGACCGCAUCCAGGGACGCCACGGGGGUUACGACCCGUCGACUUAUCAGUGAAUGGGCAGUUUUGUUUUCGUAUUACCUAUAUACUACUGUUUUUCCCAGAAAAAUGCAUUUAUAUGAAAAUAUGUUUUUGAAUAUGCCAUGCAUAGAAUUAUUUGAAAAUCAUGAAUUGGUUUCACAUGAACUAUAUGAUUGAAAUAUGAUGCAUACAUGUUGCAUGGUGCUGUGGAGGCACAGGUAAGUCAGGUGAGUUCAUUUAUUCAUUGAAUUGUUGUUGUUGAGAUGAGUUGAGCUCAUAAUCUGCACCCUAGGUGUUAGUGCUUAUAUUAUUCACCACACCGCACGCUCGUCUUGGAUCCAAGUAGGUGGAUGUCGUACAGACCAUGUGAGGGUUCCGACAUGCUAGUCGUACAGAUCACUAGGCGUGAUUCCGACUAGUGGGUGACCUUAGUUAUGCGCGCUGAUGAUAUGAUGAGAGAAGCACUAGAGCGUAUUUUUACACCUUUCAUCGUAUAGACUACCUUACGUAGUUCCGAGUGAUGUGCAGAGUAGGGCCGUAUAGGUCACUGUGGUGACUCCGGCUUAGUGGGAUUUGAGCUAUUGAAUUAAUCGUAUAGGACCAACUGCAGGGUCUCCGAUUGAUUCCUUAUUCACCUGAUUUAUAUUUUUUAUUUAUGUCAUGGCAUGUUUUCUUGAAAAUGUUAAAGAUUUGAGAUUUAAAUGUUGAGAUUUUAUAUGGUUAUAUAUAUUUCUGGGAAAGUAUACAGGUUUUUACGGCGAGGGGAUAUAACUGUUUUAAUGAAAUGUUUUGGAAAACUAAUUUGUUUUACUGACCCACUCAUUUUGUUUUGCGCCCCUCCAGGUUCUAGUUUAGCGGUGGUUGGCUCACGAGGUCCUUUCCGGCUUUCUGACAGAUUUGGGACAUGUAGGACUCACCUGAGGGUGAUGUAUUCUUAUUUUAGUCCUACUUGACUGCAGUUAACCUAUGCUCUGAACUUAUGUGUUUACUUGUAACUCGUCCGGUUAUGUCCGUAUGUGGUUAUGUUGAGUUUGGGUUGAAUUUCUGUUGUUAUUACGCUUCCGUGUCGUGCUUAUGGUUACGUCACGCCCACGUGACGGCCAGCACACCUGGAUCCUCCGGAUCAGGGUGUGUCAUAGAACACCUCUUUAUAGUAUAGAUGAUGGAUGACUUUAUACUAUGAAGUUGUUUUUCAAUAUAUAUGUUCAAUGGUUUUGUACUUACCUAGUGGUCCUUUCCGCUACGGGACGUAGGGAUAGAUUCCGGUCAUUCCCGGGCGACGGUUUGGUGUUGGCAUAGGGCCUGGAGUGUGUUUCCUCUGGCUAUUUAGCACAGGGACGGGGAGCCGGCAUGGGGCCUGAAGUGUAUUUUCCUCUGACUGUCUGCUCAGAGACGGGGAGCCGGCAUGGGGCCUGGGGGUUAUCGGACAAUUCACUAGUGAUUAUUAUAUAUAUAAAAGUUAUGAUUUGAGACACUGCACAUCAUGCUAGGUUUCGGAAAACCUAUGUUUAUCAUUAUAUAUGUGUUUUCAUAAAACUUGGGGGUUAGUACGUUGAUAACUGUUUUGUUAUAUUUAUAUCAAAUUGGUCCACUCAUGUUUGUUUUGCGCCCCCUUCAGGAUUUAGGAUCGAGGCGUACAAUCCCGGCAAUCCAGGCACUUCCGCAUCGGUAUCUUCAAGUCCUCUCGGUGUAGAACCCACUUCUGUGUUCAUUCAAUUUUUAUAUUAAUCCUUUUAAUGUUCUAGAUUAGAUGUGUGCUCUGAACACGUUCCUUAAAUGCAUAUUCUUUAUUCUCUUAUAUUUAUAAGUUUUAUCUAUCCUUUAUUUUCAGCAAUUGCACUCAAUAAAUGGCUUUCGUCGCCCUCGGGUGUCGGCCAGCACGUGACCAUCCUGAUAUCCUGAGGAUAUCGGGAUCGGGGCGUGUCAAUUUGUGAAGAAGAAUUUUUAUGCACUGCAACUGUUUGAUCGUCUGUCUAAGAGAGGGAGUGCAAAUGUACAUGUGCUUUAUGUGGCCUCUUUAGAUAUGCAUGAUUUAGAAGCUAGCCCUAAACUGGAUGGUAGUAGCAGCAAGCCAAGGGUUAAAGAAGUGUCUUCUGAAGAAAAAGAUAAUGUGUCUCACAUUGAGAUUAAGAUUACUGAAUACCAUAGCUCCGAUGAAAAGUGUGUUCUGAGGUAUCUUAAUCUUUCAGACAACGCCAUGGGCAACUAUGGUGUCAAUGCAUUUGAGUCACUUCUUAGUUCACAAAACAAUUUGAGAGAACUUUAUUUGAUGAAUAUGGCAAGGCUCAAUAUGUGUCAUAACAUGAGGGAGUGGCACUGCGAUGCUAUUAGGAAGAUCAAAUGGCUGAAUGAGAAUGAGAUUUCUGUUAUGAUCAAUACCGAAGGACAAGCAAACUAUGAAGGUUUUUUUUAUUGUAUCAAAUAUGGUGAGGAGCUCACUUUUAAGCUGUUGCUCUAUUUCCAAGCUGUCAAGGCAAAAAGUCUUGGGUUUACUAAACUUGGGUCACCAAAAGAGGCUAAGAAGGUUGUUGGGAACAUGAAUGAUGUUACUGCUAGUGCCAAACAGCUAAAGGAGAUGGAACAAGGCUUGACCAGUUUGAUAGUUUUGGGGAAUGGGCGAUUGUCUGAUCUUAUUGCACAGCUGCAGGAUAUAUUAGAGGGUGUAAAUGAAGCUGAUAUCUUGCCGGAGAAGUUUGAUAAUGCAGUUAUUAAAGCUCAGAUUCCACAAUUGGCUCGAGAAAUCAGGGAGUUAACCUCAUCUCGACCUGUAACCAUCUACAAUGAGAAUUCUUCCUCUAGUGGGAAUUAUGCUUCAUAUUUAGUUCCACUUGCUGCACUUGCUGCAAUGGGCUAUUGUUACAUGUGGUGGAGAGAUUGGUCAUUUUCAGAUGUGAUGUAUGUGACAAGGCAUAAUAUGGCAAAUGUUGUUGAAGCUCUAAUUAGAGAGGUAGCUAGCAAGAGCAAUGACUUUGCUGGGAACGGAACAACAAAUACAUUGAAGAUGAGUGAAUGCGCUAUGGGCACCUAUUUAGAUUUAGUAUGCUCUCUUAGUCACCUGGAAAGCAAUUUUGGUGGUGCCUUAGUUAUUGAUUUACAUGUUGAGUUCUCUUUGUUUUUCACUUGUAACCCUGACUGUCGGCUUUUAUGGGAUCCAGGAGAUGCAAUGGCUAAAACUGUUAAGAUGAUACUCUAUUUUAAAAAUGUCAAGGCAGAGUGGCUUAACAGGGUUACAAAAAUAACCAAGUUUGGUAGUUUUAUGGUACAAUUGGAUAGAAGUGUUGAAGCUUUGAAUAAGGGCAAAAAGCAAAAAACUAGAGAUGGUGGAUAUGGUGAUGAGAUAAAGAGAUUGCAUGAUUUAAGCGUGAACAAGGUUGUGGAUAUGGCGACUAGGUUCGAAAGUGCAUUGGUAGGACAUGUUAACAAUAUAAUUUGUAGUACUACUGUAAGAUUGGAGAGACUUCACUCCGAUGAUUGGUGGUGUUCUGCUAUAUCUCAACUGCUGAUGAUUGGUAAAUCCAUCGUAUCUAGUUCAAACAAAACUCAGGAAGCAAAUGUGGAUGCUGUUUUGGGAACCGGUGAUCCGAGUCUACUAGUUGAGAACACUUCAGUUGAGCAGCUUGGUUUCGUCAGAAAGGUGACAAUCUUUAAGGACUCCACUUCCAUUAUUGGUGAUGCAGCAUCAAAAGAUGGGUUGCAAGUCCAUGGUGUGUCUCCAUUUGACAUUAUGGGCAGAAAUCUUUUCUGGGAAAAGCAACUGCAAAGGCUGCAAAUGGGAGCUGUCACAAGAAAGUUCUUGGUGGUUAAUUUCAGUUCUGGUUUUGAUGAAUCUUCAUAUCUCUCUCGGGUUGAAAAUUUUGAGGAGAUGUCACAAGAAAAUUAUGGAGAGGCUACAGGAAACAAGAACUCACUCACUCAGUUCAAGCGAGCUGCCAUACCUGGAAGGAUUAUAAUGAUUUCAAAGUCAAGUUCUACAAUUCCAUUUUUAAGCCUUGAGGACAAGGCUAAUUUUCAAGGGGGAAGUAUUGUUAUGACCCAAAUUAUUACUGAGGUUUUAUGCUUUAUUACUGUGAGGAAUUGUUAAUAUGCCAGCUGGCAUUUAAAAGUGUAGAGGUUUUAUAAAAGGAGCCCCAGCUCCCCCAAAUGUAUCAGAUCAGAAUUUUACAAAAGAAAUCAAUAUUGGAGCUCUGCUCCUUCUUCUCUCAUUCCCUCUUCUUCCAUAGCUUUCUUGUGCCACUUGCAGGUUGAUUAAGGGAAUUGAGAAUUAGAUCUUAUCAUAACGUCACUACCACAACUCCCAAUAUCAUCACGCUGAAUGUCCACACUCGGUUUCUGCUCAAUUAAAGCGUCAAUUUCCUGCAAAAUACUCUCAUCGAAAUCAUCAUCGUUAAGAAUUCCAGAUGCAGAGAAAGAAUCAAAUGAAGUCAGAAACUGCGGUUGUCUGAUUGGAGUUGUGAAAGAAUCCGAUUUUGACACGCUUGAUUCGGUCCGGCUAACGCUUAAGCUCCCGGAACACGAAGCACUGCCAUAUUCACCACGCGCUGAAUUGUACCGGCUUGCGGAAAUCGGAAGCGGUGUUCUUUGAACUCUAUUGAGCUGAGUUGGCGUUUGGAUUCCAUUUCCGCCAAAAAACACAAUUGAAUUGAUUUAAAUUGAAGCAAGAAAACAGCCAAGUAGCCAAAAAAUAGUAAGAAGAUGAAACCUUUGAUUCCUGAACGACUUACUUGGUAUGAGGGAGGUGAUGAUCAGGUGAAACGGCGUCGUUGCAGGGGCGUUUGCGAUCAAUGAGGGCCUUGGCGGCUCUGAAAUUCCGAGAGAUGCGGUUUCUUUGUUCCGCCGUGAGCCCUCCGCCGUACGCCUGAACGUUUUCCUUGGACAUUGCUUCCAAGAUUCCAACGGAGGAUUUGGCCUGACGGCCUGACCAGGCUGAUAACAGUGUAAAACCUUAGGAGCUAAGGAAAAACUAAGAGAGAGAUUGUAGAGAGGGAAAGUUUUUUCUUUUUGGAAACCAGUAGAGAGGGAAAGUUUGUUAAACCUGAAUAAUAUUCUUUUCAUUCAACUUGUCUACAAUAAUUACCACUCGUGGUAUUUAUACAUUUGUAACACACCUCACUAACUAACUAAGACCACCACCAAUCAUACAUAAACACUUGUCAUAAUCCUAUGCACUCAUAGUAUCAUCACUUUAACAUUCCCCUCAAGCUCAUGUGGCAGAUUGCCAAGCAUGAGAUUGGAACAAUUACGAGCGAACUGGGGUGAACACAAGCCUUUGGUGAACAUGUCGGCAUAUUGAUCUGCAGAGGUAACAAACUACAAAAUAAUUGUCCUUUGAUGAACUCUUUCACGAACAAAGUGGCAAUCAAUCUCUAUAUGUUUGGCUUUAUAGUGCAAUACAGGAUUAGUGGCAAGAGCCAUUGUUGAAAUGUUAUCACAAUGCAAAACUAGAACAGAAGGAGAACCAACAUGCAAAUCUCGAAGAAGCUGUUGUAUCCAGAUAACCUUAGCAGUGGUUGUAGCCAUUGCUCUAUAUUUAGCUUCAGUGGAAGACCUACUCACUGUAUGCUGCUUUUUAGAACUCCAAGAGAUAGGAGUAUCUCCCAAAAAAAUGACAAAACCCGUGGUUGAACGACAAUCAUUGGGAUCCCCUACCCAAUCAGCAUCUGUAUAAGCUUUCAACUGAGAUGAACCUGAUUUAAAACAUAAUCCCAAAGAUAUAGUGCCUCUGCGAUAUCGUAGAAUACGUUUCACAGCAGCAAAUGAGUGGCUAAGGGUGAAUGCAUAAACUGACGUACUUGAUUGACAGAAAAAUAAAUAUAUGGUCUUGUAAAUGUUACGUAUUGCAGUGCCCCAACAAUACUUUUGUAAGUGGUAGGAUCAAAAACAGGUUCACUACCAUGAUUCAGAAGCUUCUGAUUAGGAUGACAAGGUGUGGAAAAAAGGUUUACAGUCUAGCAUAUGCAUCUUUUAAAGGAGUUCUUUGACAUACUUGGUCUGAUGAACAAAGAGUCCCUGACCCUGAUACUCAAUCUGUAAACCAAGAAAAUAAUGCAACACACCUAGAUCUUUCAUGCCAAACUCACUAGUUAACUAACUAAUAACCUUCUGAACCUUCACAGCAUCAUUACCAGUGAGAAUGAUAUCAUCAACAUAUAAUAAGAGAACAAUAAUUGAUGAACCAUCACACUUGACAAAUAAAGAAGGAUCUGCAUAUGAUGACUUGAACCCAAGCUUAGGCAAAUAACCUGAAAACCUGUCAUGCUAGGCUCUGGGAGCUUGCUUGAGACCAUAUAAAAACCUCUCUAGUUUGCACACAUAAUCUGGAUAGGUAGAAUCCACAAACCUUUGGGACUGAGACAUAUAAACUUCUUCAUCAAGAAAGCCAUGCAAAAAAGCAUUAUUGACAUCUAACUGUUUGAGUUUCCAAUUAUGAGAUGCAGCCAAGGAUAAAACCAAUCGAACUAUGGUUGGUUUGACCACAGGGCUAAAGGUUUCAUAAUAGCUAAUACCAACUUCUUGAGAAUACCCAUUAGCUACAAUUCUAGCCUUGUACCUAGCCACUGAACCAUCUGGAUUUCUCUUAAUCUUGUAAAUCCAUUUACAACCAACAAGAUUUUUGUCAGGUGCUAAGGGCACAAGCUUCCAAGUAUGAAGCAUCCAUCUCUUCUUUCAUGGCAUUUUGCCAUUGAACACACUUGACUGCACUAGAAAAAGACCGAGGUCCAAUAAAUGGAAAUGUGGAAGAAACACUAGGUGGAUGAAUGAAUGUGUUUGAAUGCACAACAGACACUGGUGAGGAAGAAUGACCAGAAGUAACUUGAGGAUUGAAACCCAAAGCAUUAGAGUCUAUAGGAAACUUGGAUUCAUAAAAAAUAACAUGUCUAGAUACUAAUAGUUUAUGAUCUUUGAGAGAGAAGCAAAUAUACCCUUUGUAUUGUGUAGCAUACCCCAGAAAAAUACACUUAGUAGUUUUAGGUUCAAGUUUAUUGCUUCUAUAGGGUUUCAAUGAAGGAUAGCAUAAACACCCAAAAAAUCUCAAAUGAUCAAGCUUAGGUGGAGAUUUAUAUAGCAUUUCAAAAGGAGACUGCAUAUGUAGGGUAGGUGUGGGCAUUUUGUUUAUAAGAAAAGUAGCAGUGGCACAGGCAUGGAACUAGAAUUUUGAAGGUAAUGAAACUUGUUGUAAAAAGGUAAUAGUUGUUUCGACAAUAUGUUGAUUUUUUCUCUCAGCCAACCCAUUAUGUUAUGGGGUAUAAGGACAAGAUUUUUUAUGAACAAUGCCUUUGGUAAGAAGAAAUUGCUUAAACUGAGUACUAACAUAUUCCCUACCCCCAUCACUCUGCAAAAUUUUUACAUGAGCAUCAAAAUAAUUCGAGACAGAAGCAAGAAAGUUGACAAAAACAGUGAACACUGCAACUUUAUUAUUUAAUGGAAAAAUCUAGGUAUAUCUUGUACAUUCAUCAAUAAAGGAAACAUAAUACUUGUAACCUUCUAUAGACAAACUAGGUGAGGGACCCCAAACAUCUAUGUGAAUUACUUCAAAUGGAGUAAGUGACUUCGAAGCAAUUACAGGAAAAAGGAGCUUGGUAAACUUGCCUUGCAAACAAGCAUUACAAGUAUGAGAUUGAGAGUUACAAGGAAAAGAUAUACAAGACUUAUUAAGUGCUGCAGUGACAGUGGAAUGUGUAGGAUGGCCUAAUUGACAAUGCCACAAUGUAGAAGAAAUCUUUUGACCCACAAAUGCAACUGGAUUAAAAACAGGAGAAAUAGACCUCUGUGGUUUGAUUAUGGGAAGUGGAUAGACAACAUUAUUACUCAGCCCUUGGAAUAGCACUCUCCCGGUGACCUUGUCCUGUAGACAGAGAGAAACAUCAUCCAUGAUACAACGACACUGAUUAUCUUUGCACAACUGAUUCAUAGAUAAUAAGUGUUGUGACAGUUUUGGAACAUGUAACACAGAGUUUAACUUGAAAUUAUGUGACUAAGUGAGAAGAGAAGAGGAACCAAUAUGUUUGACAGCUAAACCUUCACCACUAGCACUGGUCACAAUAUCAUUUGAUGGAUAAAUUUAUUGUCAUGUGCAAGUUUGACAAAUCUGAGGUCAUAUGGUUAGUUGCUCCCAAGUCAAGAAACCAGAAAUCUUGUUGAAGAGUUGAGGAUGAUGCACCAGCUCGUGCUUGCAUAGCAAGAGGAGGAUUUUGUGAGGAUAUAGUUAAUAGAUACAUAUGUGGUAUGACAAGAUACUGAAACUGUGAGCUAUUAGACUGUGGAAUCAUGCCUUGUGAAGGACCACAUGGAUUCUAGCUAGGUGCUUCACCAUAUGACCCAGUAGGCAUUGGAGUUGGCAUAGAUGAGGAUAAACCCUAAGAGAAAUGCUCUGAUGUGCCUGUGAAAUUUUUAUUCUGAUCAAAGCAAGUAGCAGCAACAUGACAACCUCUGUGACAAAUUUGACAUCCAUGUUGAAAACAAUUCAAUGCAGAAUGACCUUUGCGAUCACAUAUUUGCAGAAUGGCCUUUGCAACCCUAGAAAGAAGGAGCGAAGAAGACCAAAUGUGUACGUUUCUCUUUGGUUUUUUUUCCCUCCUAAUCGCGCUGUUCGAAAUCACGGACCUCGGGCCUGGGCCUAGUGGGCCCAAUUAUGAGGCCCAUUAUCUCCGGUCUUCUCGUUCUACUUCUAGUUACCCAAAUUAAGAACGUACGCUUUUAGCGCGAGAGAGAAAUGGAGGCCCUGAUUGCCUCGUACGGAGACUCGUCGUCGGGCUCAGACUCCGAGUCGCCGGCUCCACCUCCACCACCACCUCCGGAGCUCAACAACCCUCAAGAACCGACCCCUGCGCUGCCUCCACCUCCUCUGUCACUUCUCGACAGCCCCAAUUCCUUCGGUAACCUCUGAUUCCCAUCAAUUUUCAUCUUUUAGCUUUCUGUUGUGAUGGCUUUUUCCGAGUUGCCCACCAAGUGUUUGAUGUUUUGCCUCCGAAGAAUUUCUGGACUUAUCGGCAAGCGCCCAGCCGAGCAGAGUUCGGAACUUUCCUCACGUCGAAGGGAACUACGCAGUACAUGUAUACAUCCCAGGUUAUCAAAAUUCUCGAAAUUUUCAGCUCCAUUAGCAAAUGCGAUCGCUUUGCACUUAGUUUUUGCUUGUUUAAUUGUGUGGUUCCAGUUUAUAUACCACCAGCACCAAGGAAAGAGAUGGCCUUGUUUUUGAACAAGCUAGCUUCUCUGCUGCCUGGUCUCCAUGCGGUUGACGUUGACUUCCCGCUUGACAUUCUGCGUAAGGACGAGCACAAGCUUGAACAAGUUGCUUUAGGCAGAGAGUUCCAUAUAAGUCUCGGAAGAACUGUUCCGAUGCGGGUGCACCAGAUUGAUUCCUUGGUGACAAUGCUGCGGCAGAAGCUUCAGAUUCAGAGGCGGUAUGGUUACAUUUACAUUCUCUUGUCUGCAUUGCGUGAAUUUAGUUCUGUUAUUUAACAUAAUUCUGUAAGCCUGUUUUCGUAUAAAUGCACGGUUGAAUCAGCUUUCAUUGUCUACAAGUCUGAAAUAUUUUAACUUCCAUUGAUUUCAGAUAACAAAGCAGAUUCAAGCUGUGAAUGAGGUGUAUAAGCUUCACAAUCUUCCUGAAUUUUACAAGGUUAGCUUUUUCGUGCUUUUCAAACUCGAAUCGGUUCCUGAAUGUAUGACAAUAUAUUGGAUCAAACGAUUUCUCAAAACACUAAUUCACUUGAUGGGGUCUUGGUGAUCACAGGAUCCACGCCCUCACAUCUCGGUAGCUUGAGCAUUGGGUGACAUCAGCAAUUCCCUGAACAAAGUGGUUGAAGAAGAAAGACGAAGAUCUACCAUCGGAGGAUCGUUACAGAAAUGUAUUUUUACCAGUAAAUUCAAUGGUAUCGAUAUCGAAUGUAGGAUUGGUAAUAAAACACACAAAAUAUGUAAAUUUUCUGAAGAAUAAUGUAGCCAUUUAACUGUAUUGUGAAAUUCCGAGAAUAUAUGGCUGAGCAUUGGAUGAGAAGACAUUUCUUCGUUGGUGUCGAACUUCUUGUCGAAGGUAUUGGCACCAGUGUAAACGUCAUCAUCCAUGUUGAUGGUAAUUACUUACCAGCUACUAAGGGUGUCGGAACAACCUUGCACGCACCCUCCUGUGCAUUACUUGGUAUUGUCUCGGAUUCUCCAAACUUGAAUGCUAAUGUAAACCCACUCUUGACCUUUCCGUCAUCUGCAAUUACCGGAAAGCCGGCUUGGAUGUUGCCGUUGACCUACCAAACUUAAAAUACCGACGAAAUGUUGGAGUACUUCAGUGUACUACUCGUUUUUGUAUGCGAGAGCUCCACCUCUAUCGUUGUAACAGCAUCUGAUGCGGACUAGUCCUUCAUUCCCGUUACUCUUUGCCAUCUCCACUUCAAACUUGGUGUGAUGGCUCCCGGCCUCCUCUCCGGUGAAAUUGAGUAACCCCGGAGCUGGCGUGCCAUCAAGAUUUCCGUUGUGUCUCUAUUUGCUGUUGUGGUUCGGUUCCACUAUAAACUUGGCAGAGUUAGCAUUUUCAUUCUGUUGUCUGUAUAUCUUGAUAUUACAAGUAUUUGUUGUGCAAAAUGCAUGCUAAGUUCAAGUUAUGUUUAUAUGUGUGUGUGUGUUGCCACUUUUCCAACGUUUUCUCCAAAAUUGUGACGAGCAACAAAGCAGUUUUGAUUCCGUGCACAACAACGAUACCUCGAAAGAAAUUGAUUCUUCCCCAGAAAGAUGUUUUAAAACAAAGUUGAACAAGGGAAGAAAACUUUUGAAUCGCAAUCAGAUGUCUGGUCAAAUUCUUUAACAGUUGAUGUAUACAGAAGUUCCUUGCUUAUGACACGACUUAUGAGAGGAUGUAUGUAUUGCAUUUGCAUCAAAAGAAAGAAAGAAGGUUGUAAGUGGUAAGGGAACGACUACCGAUGCCGCUCCACUUCUAAUCAAAGGGAUCGAUCCGAGGGUCGUGUUCACUUGCCAUCGCCAUUCCAGUGCAAAGGCAUGUCGGGCACAUUACCUGCCACAUUUACAGACGCAAUGUUAGAUAUAGCUGCCAUUUGGAAGUCAUCUCUCAAAAUUUUGCUACUAAAUUAAUCUUAAACUUCAUUUCCAGUGCAAUUUUUUUCUUCUGAAUUGUCUUUCACAUGCCCGACAAAUAGAAGUAUCACCAAACAUGUGAUAUAGAGCAUCUAAGCGGCAGGCACUAAAAGGAAUUUAGUAUGCAAUAAACAUUCAACGGACAUAAUUAUAUGUCUAACCUUUCCCGCUCCUGAGCAAUUUGAACAUCGUUCAGUUUUUGGCAGAGAUAGGGGUUGGUUUCCGCCAUCAGCUGUCGAUACUGGUUCAGUAAGAACAAGGGUUCCAGUGCUGGAGCAACGAGCACAAGCAAGAGAUCCUGCGUAAGUAUCAAAUACACAGGUAAGUUGACAUACGAAACCAAUCCGAACAUCUCCAUCGUAUAUAUUUAAAGCUACAGUACAUAAAACUAAAAGUCAGAAAUAUAGGACAUUAUCACACCAGUUCCAAGACAAUAUUUGCAUCGUUUAUGCUCCUGCUGUUUCACAUUGUUUAUUUCAACUACCAUCAAUGCUGAGAUCACUCCGACUGCUCCUCCAGAGAAUGACGCCACUAUGGGAUCAACUUGACUGCAGUUUGAAAGUAAAGGAGAUCAAUAAACGAAACUGGUAACAACAUAGUAUCAACAUUAUUUAGCUUCGUUUCAAGAAAGAUGACAUCCUAGGUUUUUCUAAUGUGUAAAAAUUGAGGAUCCUCGUAAAAUUUGACUAUAUCGGUUCCCAAAGCAUUUGAUUCCUACGUUACAGACGGAAAACAGCAACAAUCGAAUUUAAAGAUUCAUAACACGAUAGAUGGUACAAAAUUUCAAAACGAUAAUUACUAGAGAACAGGAGGGUUAAUAGCCUGAGAUAUGAGCAAUACCUCAACUGCAACGGCAGAUGCAUAUUUACUAUAAAGUCUUUAUAUGAUGUGCCUCCUAUUCCCAGCUUCAACUCCAACUGAAAGAUGUAAAGGUAAUUGUAGGCAAAGAGUUACAAACAUAACCGAAUCCAUGUUUUAUAAGCAACAACUACACUUAUUUUGAUAUGUUUCCUCAUUUUUUACUUGCAAAUUCCAAACCAUAUUGUCGGACCAGUAAAAGAAAAUAAUGUUUAUGAUAACUGUUAAAACUAAUUACAACAAGUUAAUGCAUAAAGAACUUACGGAGGGUGCUAUGAGGCCACCGAAAAGGAUAAACCCCGCAAUAAUUGAAUAACAAACAGCAUAAUACUGCUUAAGGUUGUCUGAACUCUGCAAGCAAUGAAUUCACCUUGUGAUUAAUACUUUGCACAAACACUAGUUUUCGCAAUUUUUUAUGAAUCGACAAAAGGCUACAACAAAAUAUGGCUAAAACAUGUCGGGGAUAUGAAAAUACAUGUCUUCACAGGGGCACCAGCUUACCAGGGGAGGCAAAAAUGGAAUGAACGAUGGAAAACUAGGAAGUUCGUUUUCUUGAUCUUCAUUUACCGCUCCAAGCUCUGCACGUUUAAUCCGCUGUUGUAUCCUCAGCCUGCGAACCUACGCAUAUCGAAGCUCAUUCUUAAAGAACACAUUUCUAAUGGCAAUUGGAGAGUAAUUUAAAACAUGCUACACUGAGAAAGUGGUAGCAACUAGCAAUUGCUCUCACCUCCUCCAUAUGCAAGAAAAUUUUGUUGCGACGACUCCGAAUAUUAUCUUGAAUUUCCUGCAGCUCCAUUGUGGCAAAAUCCUGCACUGUUUCAGGCCCCUCUAUGAUACAAAAUCUGCACCAUUAAGCAUGUAAAAAUUAAAAAUUACAAGCUACAAAGCAAUUUCCGUAUAGUUGUUGGGUUAAAUAACAUCAACAGCAAAUAAAUCACAUAGGUUUUUCACAUAAAGUUACAAACUUUCAAGGACUAAUAAGCUGUCUGCAAUCUCAUAAAUUUCACAGUGCAAAGUAACAAUCCAAAGCUUGGAACUUUAAAUUUCCACCUUCUGUUAAUUUUUUAGUGCACCUGGUGUCGUUAGAUUCGAGUAGUAUGUCACAUUAAAUUUUUUUUUUCUGUGCAUGCAUUUUUUUUUAAAAGAAAAUUUAUAUUGUUAAAGAGCGAGUUCGAAACUAUUACAUUAUGGAAGGACAUAGUACCGAAACUCCGACGAUCAAAAACAAAAUCAUGUACAACCACUCCAAGCAGUCAACAUGGCCAUCACAUAUUGAAUCCAAAAUGUUGACGCCCCAUUCGCUGCAUAUAAUGUACAGACGAGCGGCAGCUUCAACCAGUUCUGCCAUAUCCGGCUGGAUGAGAGCAGCUAAAGACAUGAUUGUUCCCUAAUAACAUGAAUAAAUUGAGUAAACACCAAAAGUAGCAGCAAGGGAAGGAGAUGUGAAGUAUAUGAAGAGGUGUAAGACCUGUGAAUGUCCAGCAACAAAGAUUUUGGAGCUUGUUGUCGAAUAAUGCAACGCGUCAUUUCUGGUAGAUCAAAUAGAGCCAAUUCCCGCCAACUCCAAUUCCAAAAUUUCUACAGUAAAGCAUAAAUCUUAUUCUCUCUUCUGAUAAAGAUGAGUGUCCCAGACUCCAACGUGUUCCACACACAUUCCCUACCCAUACAUCGAAACCUUCAUCUGCAAGGACGAAUCCCAGCGAUUCUUCUGGAGAAUUUAAGAAUCAUGCAUCACCUGGUUAAGAUCAAGAAAAGCCAGUAACCAAGUUCAAUUGAGUUAAAAUGUAUCCCAUGGAUGUUCAUCACUUUGCCCAAUUGUUCUUUUCAAGAAAGGAAAUUUCAACAGAACCUGAAAACUUCAGAUCAGGGGGCACCAAAUAGUGAGCUAUACAUUCAAAAUUUGAAAUAAUCAACUUAGUAGGACCAGUAUGUUGAAAAAAUAGGAAGGAGCUAUGAAAGUAAGACUUUUCACUAAUCAGGCGUCCAGAGAAUCCAUAUUUUACCCGCGUAUCAGUUACGGGGAACACUCCCCACCAGAGCAAUCUCAUUAGUCCUUCACAUCUCAACCGUACAGAAGUUGCACUAACAAACAUGACUCCUAUUAGUCCUUCACAUCUCAAAUCCAGGAAGUACCCAUCUUUCGUCUGAAUCUGGAAAAUAAGCAGCAGUCAAUUUAACAAUCUCGGUAUCUCAAAGUUACUCACUUUAAUCACAAAUUUAGCAAUUAAACAUAUAAAUGGGCAUUUUUUUAGGGAAAUAUUAGUAUAGUACUCACUGUGUGCUCGGAGCAAGAGUACCCAGAAAGCUCAAUGAGCUGCGCACAGAGGACUGCAGUGGUGAACGACAGCGACCGCACAGAGGACUGCAGUGGUGAACGACAGUGACCAAUUCUGUAAAAUUUAGUCGAGUUUUGGGAAAUUUCUGCAGCGAUUUCGGAGGUCAAGAGGCUGAUAAGGAAAGCCGCGACCAAAGGGCACUGGUCUGGAAGAAAGGCUUUGGUCGCCGCUAUCGCAAUUCACGAAGGAAGAAGUGCCCCAAAACAAUUUCGGCCCUGGACAGGUGCACUGUUUGCACUGAGCCAGGGCCGGCCCUGAAUCGCGAUAACGUCCUUCUCCAAACAGUAUAUAUACAGAUGCUAGAAAAAUCUACCGGAACUAUUCAAUUCUAGCGUCUACAGCUUUAGCAUUAGUUGGUACAAGGGGCAUUCUUCCAAAGAGGGAGAUGAAAUCGUUGAGGCACCAAAUAGUGAGCUAUACAUUCAAAAUUUGAAAUAACCUCUUGGUAGGACCAAUAUGUUGAAAAAAUUGGAAGGAGCUAUGAAAGUAUGGCUUUUCACUAAUCAGGCGUCCACAGAAUCAAUAUUUUACUCACAGAUCAUUUACGGGGAACACUCCCCACCAUAACAAUCUUUUUAGUCCUUCACAUCUCAAACCAAGUAGAAAUUGCAGUAACAAACACGACUUCUAUUAGUCCUUCACAUCUCAAACCCAGUAAGUACCCAUCUUUCGUCUGAAUCUGGAAAACAAGCAGCAGUGGAUUCAACAAUCUGGGUAUCUCAAAGUCACUCACUUUAAUCACAAAAUUAACAAUUAAACAUAUAAAUGGGCAUUUAUUUAGUGAAAUAUUAGUAUAGUACUCACUGUGUGCUCGGAGCAAGAGUACCCAGAAAGCUCAAUGAGCUGCGCACAGAGGGACUGCAGCGGUGACGACGGCAACCGAUUCUGUAAAAUUCAGUCGAGUUUUGGGCGAUUUCUGCAGCGAUUUCGGAGGUCAAGAGGCUGAUAAGGAAAGCUGGGACGGAAGGGCACUGGUCUGGAAGAAAGGCUCAGGACACCGCUGUCCCGAUUCGUGAAGGAAGAAGUGCCCCCAAAACAAUUUCGGCUCUGGACAGGUGUACUGUUUGCACUGGACCAGGGUCGGCCCUGGCGAUAACGUCCCCCAAACAGCACAUAUACAGAUGCUAGAAAUAUAUAAAUGUAACCUGAAACUACUAGAACCAUUCAAUUCUAGCGUCUACAGCUUUAGCAUUAGUUGGUACAAGGGACAUUCUUCCAAAGAGGGAGAUGAACUCAUUGAGGCUCUUAUUUAUUCCUCCUCUUGAUGUGCCCUUUUAGGCUGCUAAUUCCACACGAUCCAAUCUCAUACAUCUUCCCUGCAAAAGCAUGUGUGCCUGACUUCAAGAUCAAAUUUUUCCAACAAAAGAAACUUAAAGAUCAAACUCGCUAGAGGAAUAAGUGGUGCACAAGGGUGUUAAAAUCUUGACAUAUGUAUAUUUUUGGCAGAUUUUAUGUGAGCAUGCAACUAAAACUGGCAUCACUAUCAAUGGUGCACAAAGAUUGGUGGAAAACUUUAACAGUUUGAGUUGUAACUUCUCCAUUGUAUUUGUUAAGGCAAGACGGAUGUCAUCUAUUCAUUUUUCUGUAAAACUUAAAAGGCUGCAUAGCAGCUCUUGUUCGUUGUAUUGAAUACCGUGGUUUUACUGAUGAAUGCAGAGUUUGCUGAUGAUUCAUACGACAAGCAAUUGAAAAUCCCAUCAUUAUGCCCCCCAUAUACCAGAAGAAAAAAAAGUCAUUUACACAAAUUCAGAGCGUUCAUCCACUGUAAUUUGCAGAUAUAGAAACGUUAAGAUAAAAGGAAAUGCAAAGUACCUUUCACCAAAUUGGAGGAGCACCGGUGGCAUUAGCAAGUUAGCAACGGGAAUUGACAUACCAAUAUCUUCACAGUUUCUGCACAAGCACAAAUCAAAAGAAUCCGGAGGUGGAGUUAUGUACCUCUCCUUGGAAAAUGCCACCUCUUGGGAUUUCAAAAUAUGCGGCCGUGGCUAGCCGUCUGACCACGCCAAUUCCACCAAAGCCGCCGCAACGCGGUGUAGUGUCCGAUUGAUUGCUUCAAAUCAGAGCUUCGUAUCCAUGUGUUUAUCAGCAGAGAGUACCCAAAACCCCUGAAAAUUAUUUCUUUAUUCAGAUAAUAAAAUAUCCCAAAUUUCGAAUUUUAAUUCCGAAUCAAAAAUAGGGUUUGAAUUUUGAUUACCUAUAAAUUGGGGGGUUGCGGUGGAAAGGGAGUCAGCCAAGACGGCGAUAUGCGUCCUCGAGAGGGCUAUGAAAAUACAAAUUACAGAGCGUGUUGGGACGAUGUACAAGGCUUUUGCAGUCUCUCAAAUAUAAAUACCGAAGCUCCGUAAGGCGUUCAAUCCAGGGGGAAAGCUCUUUAAUAGAUGUUCCAUCCAGGAAAAGACUUCUUAAUCCUUCCAUAUUUUCUUCAAUGCUUGGAAACAACUCAAAUUUUGUACAACCGGAAAGAGAGAGAGAGAAAAGGGACUUGAGCUGACAAAUGCUGCUUGGAAGACUCUUAAGUUCUUUGCAAUCUUUUAGAUUCAAAUGAUUCAAUCCCGUAAGAUUAUUAAUUGACGAGGGCAGUUCUUUAAUUUUUGACCCGGAUAAAUUAAGCUCUUCUAACUCCUCCAUACCUUCUGAAAUCUUUGGAAACAUCUCAAGACUAGAGCAGCCAGAAAGAUUAAAGGUUUUGAGAGAUUUCAUACGAAUGCUGCUUGGAAGACUCUUAAGUUCCGUGCAAUUAUGUAGAUUCAAAUGACACAACCUCGUAAGAUUAUUAAUUGACGAGGACAGUUCUUUAAUUUUUGAGCAGGGUAAAUCAAGCUUUUCUAACCCCUCAAUACCUUCUGAAAUCGAUGGAAACAUCUCAAGACUGAAGCAGCCAUAAAGAUUAAAGGUUUUCAGACAUUUCAUAUGAAUGCAGCUUGGAAGACUCUUAAGUUCCUUGCAAUCUUUUAGGUUGAAAUGACUCAACCCCGUGAGAUUAUUAAUUGACAGGGACAGUUCUUUAAUUUUUGACCCGGAUAAAUUAAGCUCUUCUAACUCCUCCAUACCUUCUGAAAUCUCUGGAAACAUCUCAAGACUGGUGCAGUCAGAAAGAUUAAAGGUUUUGAGAGAUCUCAUACGAAUUUUGCUAGGUAGAAUCUUAAGUUCCUUGCAAUCUUUUAGGUUGAAAUGACUCAACCCCGAGAGAUUAUUAAUUGACAGGGGCAGUUCUUUAAUUUUUGACCCAGAUAAAUUAAGCUCUUCUAACCCCUCCAUACCUUCUGAAAUCUCUGGAAACAUCUCAAGACUGGAGCAGUCACAAAGAUUAAAGGUUUUGAGAGAUCUCAUACAAAUUUUGCUAGGUAGAAUCUUAAGUUCCUUGCAAUCUUUUAGGUUGAAAUGACUCAACCCCGAGAGAUUAUUAAUUGACAGGGGCAAUUCUUUAAUUUUUGACCCGGAUAAAUUAAGCUCUUCUAACUCCUCCAUACCUUCUGAAAUCUCUGGAAACAUCUCAAGACUGGAGCAGUCAGAAAGAUUCAAGGUUUUGAGAGAUCUCAUACAAAUUUUGCUAGGUAGAAUCUUAAGUUCAUUGCACCCAUGCAGAUCCAAUAAAACAAGGUUUGUAAGAGUCGAAAUAGACGGGUGAACCUCAACUAAGCUUAUACAACUUCGAACAAUUAGCCUCUCAAGAUUUGGCACAUUUGUGAAGUCAGGGGUUUCCUUAAGGGAUUGACAAUAACUUAAAUUGAUGAAUUUCAACUUUUC
rnacentral:lncRNA from 1 species